UAUUUUCUGAUUAUUACAUAAGGAGCUUGCCAUAUACAGAGUUUUGAGUUGCUGGCCAACCACUGAAAUCAGGUGCGCAACCAACAUUUACGUUCUACCAUUAACCAAACUCAGAAGUCCAAGACAUAAAGUACCUUAAAAACAACAAAAAGAUACUCAUAAGUUGGAUUCCGCAAAAUCAGACUGCGUCUAUUCCUCAAGUACUUCACUGAUCAUCAGCACUCAAGAGAACAUUCUACCUUCUCACGCUUGAGUGUAUAAAAAGAUUUUAGCUUCUCAAUCCGGUAACUUCUCCAAAGAUUUAAAAGGAACAUCUAAAGUUGCCUCCAACGAUUUUACUCUGCCUUGGAUCUCAACCACUUUAGGACAUCACUGCAGAUAAAAUUUCUGGAGCUUCUUCAGGUUGGUCAGGUCAGGCAACUUGUCCACAGAUGGAACUCCUUCAAGCUUGAAGGCAAUUGGGUUCUCCAAAACUUGGAGGCUUCUGAACUCUCUCACUUUAGGGCGACGACCAACUUCCAAAUCUGACAGCGCCUUCCAAUUUGAAAGCUCUAUUCACGUUUUUAUUUCCUUGCAUGAUUCGGUAUCUAAGUACAACAAAUUUGGGGGAAGGCCAGGUCGGCAGUGCAGCUUCUUGGAGGGGACCAGUUCAGGUUCCUUGAGCUGUGAAAGAAAAAUGAUGUCUGAAGAUGGGGUGAUGAAAUAAUGAGAUUCCAACAGCAAGGAUUCCAGCUUCCCUAACCUUCUGAGCAACGAAGGACUUGGAGCUUCAAUGAAAUUAGAAGCAUCAUCCAAAUUGUCAAAACCUGAAUUUUACAUGCAAUUUGAAUAUUGAAUUAAUAAGUUACUUAUCAUCAAGUGAAUGUACAUAAUUUUUUUUACUACUUUACGUAAUUAAAACCUUGUACAGAAGAUCUGCCUUAAAAAGAUAUGUAGAAGCGCAAAUCUAAACAUCCCUAAACUCCGAACCAACCAAUAUGUAUAAUAUUUUUGAGGGAAUGAGUUGACAUUCAGUAAAUGAUAGCUCUACUUCCAAAAUGGGAGGCCUACCCACUACUCAACCCGAGAACAUAACAAUAGCAAUUUGCAAAUAAGGUCAUAUAUUAUUAUCAAUAGGAAAACCAAUAUUCACCUAAGACAGUGUAAUCCGUGCAUUAUAUAAAAAUGACUAUAAUUAUCUGUGCAAUGAAUAAAAUAGAAGCAAUGUAUGAUAUUCGUUUUAACGCUUAAAUGCACACAAUUGAUCAUACCAAAUCUCAUGAUGUAUAGACAUCAACAGCUCAUCGAUAGACACAAGUAUUUAUCUAUUACCUACUUGCUACUAGCCACGACUCAUCUUGACUACCUCAACUAACAAGACAUUGUGACCACUAAAUAAUGCAAGAAGAAAUCAUAAAUACAUAUUUACCACGCUUCAUCCCAUUCAUCACAGGUAUCCUCCAACGAUGAUAAAUACAGUACAAACGCAUAAUGACAGCUAUCCUAGACUCAAUUCUCAUCAAGAUUCAUACCCAUUCUAUUUUCUUUCUUCUCUCAAUCUUGGACCUCAAGUUCAUAAUAUCAUACAUAGGCUAUUCAAGUCACAUCAGGUUACACAAGUCAUAUAAUUUCAUGUAUAAAUCAUUGUACUUUACAUUUUCUCAAUCUUAUAGAGAACGGUAGAACAUCUGUCUUUUCCCAGAAUCUUAUAUACAUACUCAGAAAAAUUAAUUAUAGUGUUGGUAUAUUGCUAACAACACUCGUAGAAUUUCAAUGGAGUUGGUAAUUUACUUAAUAUGGGGAACAAGCACACUUGGAAGGUGCAGCACAGUGGAAAGUUGUAUGCCAUGUUCAAAAGUAUUGUUAUUAAUUUACUUACGAUACUGGUUAAAUUUCAAAUGAGUUGAUAAUUUACUACUUCAUUGAAAUAUUAGUAAAUUUCUGAUAGUGUUGUUAAUUCACUUACAACACCGGAAAGUUUCCAGAAGACUUGGUAAUUUACCAAUCUAGUGGGAAAUUGCUAAAUUUCCGACAGCUUUGGUAAUUUACUACCUCCUUACCUAACAAGCAAGUAACCAGUCAUUUUCUUUUACCUAACAAUUCCAAAUUUGCUGGUAAUACCACCAAAAAUUUCAAAGGAAGGAACUAGAAAGGCAGUAAUGAAUCCACUGAGAAGCAACUGCAGAAAUCUGUUUUAAGUUAUCAAAACUAAAGAACCUUGGUGACCAUUGCACAUGAUCAUUACCUAGGGAGCGUUUUAUGUUUACGCUGGACACAAUGUUUUGCCCCUGCUUCUUCGUUUCUUCAAUGUGGAAAUUUUGAUGGGAAAUCAGCGACAAUUCUGCGAAUAUGGUUGCUGAUGUCUGAUAGAAUUCGCGACACUGAAUGCAACACAUUCUCAGGGUAAUGCCUCAUGAACAAUAAUCUCUACGAAUGAAAUCUGGAGCAAGUGAUUUAAUCACUAAGUAAAGUAGGACCACAACAGACCAAGAGAAGAAGAAAGAAAUUGCAGAACCAAUCGAUUAUAGUAAGAUUUCAUGCCUUCCAGGACAAUAUUUCGGUUUUAGCUAGACCUUGACAAGCUCAGAAGAACAACUGAUUCGCCAUGUAUGGUUUGAACUAGUUCCUAAGGAGCGAAAAUCAAUCCCCUCACGGGUGCAGAACCGAACUGAGGCACAGGAGUAGCAAUGUGUUUCAAUAGAAUGCGACUUGUGGUUUAGACCAAAGCUAUGCAGAUGGAACAUAAAUUCAAUCCCCUACUUGGAGAAAUCUGAGUUUUAUUGAGAAGCUGGUGGAUAGAUGUGGCAUUGUGUUUCCAGAUCUAAGGCCCAACUGUAGCAUAGAUGGAAGCAGAUGAGCAGGGUUUAGCAUGUGACUAGAACUAGGCAAAAGCUAUUAGUGUUAGAUGCAAAUGACAGGGAUCAAUCAUCGAGUCAACUAUUUAAAGAACUGAUACUGAUUUGAGAAUCGCUCUAUUGUUUCCAUUGCAUUAUAUACCUAGUUGCAUUGCAGAACAGACCCAACUCAUGAAAAUGGCAGUAGAUGAGAGGAAUUACUGGAGGUGGAUGGGGUGAAGGUGAAGUGUCUGAAUCAAAUGCUGAGAAGCCAAUAAAAAUCUUGGCUCUGAGUUCAGCUGAAGAAAGACUCUUUAUUAGAUAGUCCACUCACCCUUGUGUCUUGCUUAUGCAGGAAGGUGAGGACUUAUUAGUUGCAGGUACACUGAAAGCCGAUGACUAUUGAUGACCGAAGGUGCCAAAACAAGGAAGUUGGGAUGUAAAGUAACCCUCCUGCACAGAAUAGUUGCCUGAGUUAUGACCUUGCAAGACAAACAUUUGAAGGUUGAGGGCUCUGGAGUGUGUGAAACUGCUUAAUACAGUUAACCAUGGAUGGUUCGAACAGUACUUCCAAGCCAUACUGGUGUGUUUGAUUAGCACUUAGGAGGUGAGGCGGUCAACCACCCUCUUAUCUAGUUGACUUGGGGUAAAAUGAAUUGUCCAUAUUACCGCUAGAAGGAAUCCUCAAAUAUUUUUCUUUUGAACAAGGAAAAUUUAAUUAUCGUAUUAUUUAGAUUUUAAUGGUCCAACCAUUGGAAAUUACAAUUGGUUAUUAAUAUUAUGCUAUUAUAAGUAAACAAAAUAUAAUCAACUUAUAUUUAUAUAUUAGCUAUGAAUACUGAUAAAUAAAUAAUAGAUUGAUACCAAAAAUAAAAUAAAACAAUAGAUUGAUAUAUUGAUGCACUCCACCAUCUGUACCAAUUCCAUAAGACACCACUUACUGUUGACAUAGCCUUUAGAGAAGAUGGGUAUCAAGAUUUUGGACUGCUCAAUUGCUUGGAGAAGCACUGAACCGAUCUCUUCGCCAGUACGAAGCUCUUCGUUAUCUCUGUAUGCUCAAAUUCCAGCAUCAAUGAGACUGGUAUACAGGAUAUCAGCAAUAUCCAAGUGUGUAUCGGGUCCUCUAAAGCUCAAGAAUACUUUGUAACAUGUUGACAUGGCUUCACAACUUCCAGCGUUUGAGAUGAUUCCUCAGUAGACAAGCAGCAGCAGAAUCGCCAACGGCUUCUGUGAUCCCGUUGUCUGUUUUCACCUCUUCACUGGUUUGUACAGAAAGAUGGAAACAAUGGAAGCGACGAUCAAUGCUGAGUGCGAGGACCGACCUCGGUGCACCCUCUAAACUUAUAAAAACAAUGCUGUGAAGAUGUCUGUCAGGAUGGGAAACAAAUGUAUGUGAGAUCUGCUCAGGUCAAUGAUUGAUGUCAGCCUUUUUCUGGGUAACAUUGUAUCUAAUAUAUAUUCUAUCGUCUUCAAAAACUAAAGAAGGAUGCUUCCUCUUCACUUCAAUCGAGGCAUACACGAUUUAGUUAUUUUUGUUGGCCAUAUACACAUGAUUAAAACGCGGCCUCUCUAUGGCAACCACGAGGGAGGAUAAGAUAACCUCAACGGAGCAUGCCAACAAAAGAGACAGCUUUUACCGUAUUAGUGAUGAUUACCUUGGAUUUUUUACUAUCAUUCUUCGUAUACAAAAGCUACUAGUCCCUGAUAUGUUGAUGAGUCCGUUAAAACUUCAAAAAUUUCUCACCCCUCAGAGGAGGAAUUGCUUAUAGCAAACAUUGGUAUGUCCAUUAAAUAUUUUUAUUAUAAUAGAUAGGGCGUGAAAAGGGGUUUACUUCGACCAAAAUUCAAGCACGACCCAAAGAUUUCAAGCCACAGAUCCUGAAACCUCGAACUUAGGCUUGGCUCAAGACAAUAUGAAAUGGCAUGACUCGUAGUAGUUUGAUGCAACUGGUUUUCACACACCUCAAUAUUAGUCCAUCUCACAGGCAACCGCAAUGGGGCAUUCUCUCAUAUUGGCAAGGUGCUUCCUGAAGUGCUUCUAACAAGGUUUGAACUAACACCACGAGGAAAAAGGCAAACUCCCUUGCUAAUUUCUAAUAGGCUAAGAGUGACUUUUUCAUAUGAAAAUAAAAUUGCUCACGUGAAAAUACUAGUAAGUGAUAGAUAUGCACUUGCUUUUAGGAGCAACUACUAAUCAUGAUGAAAAGAUCCCUUCUUAGAACAAUUGACAUACAGAUGAAAAAACAAAAAAUAUGAAGAGUUAUUGAGGGAAGACUAAUAGACGAAAGACUAUUUAUCCUUACUAAGUACUAAUGAUUACUUAUUUUCUUCUAAUCACGGCAGAAAAUUUACUAAUAAAAGUACCUAGUACAUUGACACUUACUUUUUCAAGUGAUUUGAUAUCAACCGAGUGCAGGUUUUUCUAUCUGAUAAAAACAUAUUAUAUCUUAAAUGAUAACUUCCUAAUCAUGUGAAAAAUAACUUAUCAUAAGUAUCUAUGUAUUCUCUUCUCUAGAGCAAGCAUAUAUAAGUAGUUAUAAGUUUUAGGCCAAUUACCAUACAAAAAAAAAAAAUUCCCAACUUUACACUUGUGCUAAUUUUUUUUGUCAAGUAUAAUGCAUAUGAAAGAGACGUCAGAACUUAUUCUUUUGUGCACAAUCCAUCCUCUGUUAGUCCAUCAGCCAGCAAAGAAAAAAUGGUCGUUGCCUUAUUGAUGUGGCGACUAAGGUGACUAAUUAUCACCAUGAAGCGUCAUUAUAAGUAAUUAAUAUAAAUCGAUAGUUAAAGAAGUUACUUUUGAAGAUUAGAGAAAAAGGCAACAGAGGAAAAAAGCAUCGAUAUGAUUUAGUGGUCUUUUCGAUUCAGGAAUUUCUAUUAGCUCAGUUCAAAGAAGAAUAUGCUAGUAUUUUGCCAGGUAUACUAUUGAGGGCAUGCAGCUGCAACCUCGAAAGGUGGUACACAUUGUAAAGUUCUUAGAUACAAUCGACAUAAACUUAAGGCCGAAAAAGAGAGCUAGUGCAAAGUUCGGUUAUCAAAUUUUCCAUCAAUUUGGUCCUUCAAAAGUUUUGUGUUCUUUGGACUCUAUAGCUUCUUCCUGAAGGUGGGAAAUUCACAAUCAAUCUUUAUACUCUUUCACUGUCUCGACCGCCACAUGAAAGAAUACGAACUGUGGAGAGAGCAGAAGACUUUCAUAUCAUUGACAGUCUGUACAUGAGAAAAUGGUAGGAACAGAAGAUGCACAGCAGAAGCAAUAUGAAAAAUAAUCUUCGAGCCUUAGCUCUUAUUCAACAUUAGAAUAACAGUAGAAGGAGCUUGCAAUACUUAAAGCUUCUGUGAUGCCGCCCAACCCCUGAAAUCAGGCGGAACCAUCGCCUACAUUCUUCCAUCCACCAUACUUAAAAGUCCAGGAGAGAACAAAUAUCCUAAAAAAUUACUCUGACAAGUCGGAUUCCACAAGAUCAGACUGCGUCUCCGCCUUCAAAGUCCUCCACCGAUCAUCAUAACCCAGAGAAUCUUCUACCUUCUCACACUUAUGUAUAAGCAAAGAAUUCAGCUUCUUGUGGCUUGAUGGAUCGGGUAACUUUCCAGAAGAUUUACAGGAACCAAUCCAGACCGUCUCCAACAAUUCUGGUCUGCCUUUGAUCUCGAUCACUUCGGACAGCACUGCAGAUAAAGUUUCUGGAGCUUCUCUAAGUUGGUGAGGUCAGGCAACUUGUUCACACAUGGAACUCCUUCAAGCUUUAAUGCUCUCAGGUUCUCCAAACCUUGGAGGCCUCUGCACUCACUUUAGGGCAAUGAGCAACUUCCAAAUCUGACAGCACUUUCAAAUUUGAAAGGUCUAUUAAUGUUUCCUGCAUGAUUAUAUAUUUAAGUACAACGAAUUUGGGGGAAGGUGAAAUAGGCGUUGCAGCUUCUUGCAGUGGACCAGUUCAAGUUCCUUGAGCUGUGAAAGAAGAAUGAAGAUGGGGAGAUGAAAUAAUGACAUUCCAACCGCCAGGACUCCAGCCUGCCUAACCUUCUGAUCCAUUAAGAACUCGGGAGCUUCAUUGAAUUCAGAAGCAUCCUCAAAAUUGUCAAAACCUGGAUUUUCCAUACAAUUUGAAUGCCAGAUAAGUAAGUAAUUUAACAUCGAAGGACACACAUUAAAGAUCCACCUUUGUAGAAACACUAAUCUAAAUGUCUGUAAACUCCGAACCCAACCAAUAUAAACAAUAUUAUGGACAAUAUUUUGGAGGGAUGAGUCUAAUCUCAGUAAAUGAGAGUUCUAGGUCCAUGUACCCAUCAGUCAAUCCGAGAACACAACAGUAUAGUAACGAUUAUGGUCAAUUGGAAAAACAAUACUCACUUGAGAUAUGUAAUCCAUGCAUUAUAUACAAAUGACUAUAAUUAUCUGUGCAAGGAAUCAAAUAGAUGCACUCCAAUGCAAACAAUUGAACGUACUAAUCUCAUGUGUGCAAUACCUGUUGCUCAUCCAUAUACACAAGUGAGUAUUUAUACCAUACUUGUCACUGGUCAUGACUCAUCUCGACUAACGAGACAUCGUCACCAACUCAUGAGAUGAAAUCAUAAAAACAUUUUUGUCACGCUUUAGUCCAUUCAUCAGGGAUAUCCUCCAGCAAUGACAGAUACAAUACUCUACACCCACAUGAUGAUGGCUAUCCCAGACUCAUUCUCAUCAAGAUUCUUACCCAUUCUAUUUUCUUUCUAGUUCUUGGACCUCAAGUUCAUAAUAUCACAUACGGGCUAUUUAAUUCACAUUUUUUUACACAAAUGUUAUCAUUUCGUGUAUGAAUUAUUGGACUUCAUGUCCUUUCGACCAUAUAGAGACCUUGUUUGAAAGGUAGAAUAUUCGUUUUUUCUAGAGUCUUAUAUAUGUACUUAGGAAAUUCAUUGCAGUGUUGGUAUAUUACUAACAACACUUGCAAAAUUUCCAUGGAGUUGGUAAUUUACUUCAUUAUUAGAAAAUUACUAGCAAGAUUGGAAAAUUACUGAUAAGAUUGGAAUUCUACCAACACAGAAAGUUUUCGAUUUUCCACUGCAUGGGAUCGUAAAAUUUUGCAAAGCUUCGUAAGUCUCUACCUCUGCAACAAGAACUUAAAUCCCAACUGAUAAUUUCAAUUGUUGAAACUAGAAAUGCAGUAAUGAAUCAAUCAGAAGCCCCUUUAGAAAUCAAUUGUAAGUUAUCAAAACUAAAGGACCUUUGUGACCAUUGCACAUGAUCAUUAACUAGGAGGGUUAUGUUUGCACAUGAACAUUACCCAGGGAGGGUAAUGUUCAUGCUAGACAAGAUGUUUUGCCCUACUUCUUCAUUUCUUCAAUGUGGAAAUUUUCAGGGAAAUCAGCAAAAAUUCUGCGAAUACAGUCACUGAUGUCUAAUUGAAUUCACAACACUGAAUGCAACACAUUGCACAUUAAUCUCCGCGAAUGAAUUCUGGAGCAAGUCAUCUUGAAUCCUCGAUGAAUUUCCCCCAUGACGAUAUUAAUUAAUAAUUACACCCACUAAAAAUUUCAGAGGUAAGUAGGACCACGGCAGACCAAGAAAAAGAAGAAAGAAAAUUGCAGAACCAAUCGAUUAUUCUAAGUUUUCAUGCCUUCCAGGACAAUAUUUCGGUUUUAGCCAGACCUCGACAAGCUCAGAAGAACAACUGAUUCCCCAUGUAUGUUUUGAACUAGUUCCUAAGGAGCGAAAAUCAAUCCCCUCGCGGGUGCAGAACCAAACUGACGCACAGGAGUAGCAAUGUGUUUCAAUAGAAUGCGACUUGUGGUUUAGACCAAAGCUAUAUUAAAGAUUAGAUGCAGCUAUGGAAGAAAAUCAAGUGAGUCAGCUCCCGAGCGAGUUCAUCGAAAGGCUGUUUUCAUUUCGUAGGUAUGACAAGUCACGACUGAAAAUAAUAAAAACCAACUCAAUCCGUCCCAAAUCUUUUCCUAAUCUAUCACAGAUUGCAUCCAAGAUUCGCAUGCGGACCCAAUUCAUGAAAAUGCGAAGAGAAAAUUACCAGAAAACCAAAUAAAGAUGCGAAGAAGGAAAAAGCAAGACCUUUUUUUAAGACUCGUGGGAACAGAUGGGCGGGCAGGAAGACGGGGGUGGCAGUCCCCGGAGGGAGAUCUCCGCCUGGUCGAAUCGCGUCUCGUUCUUGCUUGCGCUCGGGGUCGCCGUCGCGUUCCUUCACAAUCGGAGUCCGUCGCUGCUUGUUCUGGGUGAGCUCCUCGCUCGGGUCGUCGCCGAUGACUGAUGAGGGGAGGAAGACGAAGGAAGGAGAACGAAAGAACGUGAGCAGACAGAGGGGGGGCAGCGGGAGAAAAAACGAAACAAAAAAAAAAAAAAGGAGAGAGAAAAAGUUGAUAUUUCUUAAAGAGUGGGUCCCACCUUUACGCGUCAUUUGGAGAUAAUAUUCCUCACUAAUCUGAUACGGAAUCUUCUCUCCGUGAUUUCAGUUCUCUAAACCAAAAUUCUUGAUAGGCUCUCCCCACUUUUUCACUUCGAGAUAAUAUUCCUCACUAAUCUGAUAAGAUUCUAGAGAGGCUCUUCUCACUUUUUUCAAAUGUCCGUACUCAUCGGAUUCCAGAGUCUCCUCCAAUCUCUCACAUUCCUUUAUACGCACGCACUCUAGAUUCUUUAAGCUUAAAGGAUCAGAAAAUUGAUGCAGAGACCCGCAGCCACUUAUAUUAAGGAUUUGCAAUGAUUCUAGCCUACCUGGAAUCUCAACCACACGAGGGCAAUGUUCUAAAGAAAAAGCAUACAAGUUCUUGGUAUUGGUCAGGUCAGGCAACUUCUGUAGCAACAGAAGAUUAUAUAUAAGUAACCACUCCAAGUUCUCCCAAGCUUCCAGGCCUUGAAUCUCUUCUACCUUCCAACAACUAGCUAUACGAUAUAUUUGUAUAUGCUUGAAGCUCAAUGGAUCAGGCAGUUGUUCGAGUGAUUGACAACGCACUAAAUCAAAAUACACCAACGAUUCUAGCUGACCUCGAACCUCAACCAAUUUAGGACAAUCAUUUAUGUAUAAAUCCUGGAGCUUCUUCAAGCCGGUCAGGUUGGGCAACUUCACCAGUGACGGAAGAUACCCAAGACUAAGCAAUCACAGGCUUUUCAAAGGUUCCAGAACUUGAAUCUCUAUUAGUUGUUCACAAUAAGAGACUUCCAAUUCUGAUAACUUCUCCCAAUAUGAAAAAUUUAUUGACUUUUCCAUUAACCCACGCCCAUCCAAAUGGAAGUAUGACAAAUUCUGAGGAAGCUUAGGUAGGCAUUUUAGAUUAUUUGCAAGGAGUUUAAGCUUCCUGAGCUUCGAAAGGAGAUUAAAAUCUAAAGGUAGGGUGACCAAAUAAUCACAAUACAACCCCAAGGACUCUAGCUUUCUUAACCCUCCGAUCCAAUUGAGGCUUGGAGUUGGACGGGAAGGGCUCUGAUACUCUAAUUUCAACAUCAAAACUCUCAAAUUUAUUAGGUUCGAGAGAUCCGGGCGUCUCAUCUGUAGAUUAUUGGUUAGGACUAGUUCGGUCAAACUUUCAGGAAGCUUAGGUAUAUUGGAAAUUCUCGUGCCUGAUAACGUCAAGAUUCUUAGAAAUGAUAGUUUUCCGAUCUCACUUGGAAUUUCCCCACUCAAAUAUCUACAACUGCUGGCAUGGAUCUUUUCAAGCUUCUCCAAUGAUAGUCUUCCAAUCUCACUUGGAUUUUCCCCACUCAAACAUCCAUAACUGCUGGCAUAGAACUCUUCAAGCCUCUCCAACUUCCCAAGGGCGCUAGGUAGCUUUUCUAACAUGGAGUCAAAGAUCCUUAGUAUUCUCAAGUUCUUCAUCGUCUCUAUUGAGUCGGGUAACUCUCGUAUGCUUGAACAAGAAAGAUCUAACUCGACGAGAGAUCCAAAAUUUCCAAGUGGAAGUUCACUCAGUAAGCGACAUGACGCUGCACUGAGAGUUUCCAAUUUCUCCAUUCCGUUCCAUUCAGGAAUUUUGGUAACAGAUGUCCCAUCAAGAAGAAGUUCUCUCAAGUCUUCCAUUUCUUCCAUCUCGUCUGGCAAUGUCUGAAGUUUCCCACAAUAUUUCAAGUUUAAUAACACUAAAUGCUUUAACCUACCGAUAGACCCAUGGACUUCAACCAGUUCCAUGCACCCUUGAAGAAUCAGUUGCUCUAAAUUUUCAUGAGCAGAAAGGUCAGGAGUUCUAUGCAAGUUUCCACAUCCAGUCAAAUUUAGAACCUUCAAAUUCUUUGUCAUCUGUAAUGAAGAGAAGAGGUUGAUUCUGAAUAAAUUUUGAGAUACUGGACAGCAAAGUCAAUAUAGCAAAUUCAUGUCGAAAUAAUACCGUACCUUGAGGUGGUUCCAUCCCUCCCACUCAUCAGUAAUUUCACUCCUUGAUAGAUCAAGAAUCAUUAGCUUCUUAAGACAAAUUGUGAUGAAUUUGAAAUAGACAGGAAAGUUAUGCCAUGAGAGCAUUAACAAAUUAGGAAGCAUGAUCAGAUUCCUCUGGCACAAGUUAGUAGAAGGAAAAUGCUGACCGUUGCUCUCAUCCAAGUCUACACAAUCCACUUGAAGAAAUCUUAAUUUUGAUAGGCUUAUAGAUUCUUCCUUCUCAAUGAAGUCUUGAAAUUGACGAUCAAACCUUAGACAUAUUGCUUCAACGUUUUCUCUUCCCUGCCAAAAAAGAAAAAAAAAAAAAAACAUCAAACAAAAGCUAGUGAUCCCAUAAUUGCCUAUUGAAGGCAUUCGUGUUGAAUAUACUUGAUAAUGUACUUCUUACAUAUAAUUAAAAAUUAAUUUGCAAUAUAAUUUAUAGAUGAGCAUGUGAUCAUACUAAGCACACAAGUAAUGACUCGGUUUAGAUAGAAGCAAAUAAGCAAAUUCAAUGUGUAUAACUCGUCUCUUUGAAUAGGAACAACAUUGAAAAUACUUUACCUCCUUUAUUUCAAGGACAUCUAUCAAUUCCUCAUGAUCCCACACCCGACUUUGCUUCUCUAGCUUAAAAUGAGCUCUUUGACGAACAAUGUCUCGCCCAAGGUCUCUUAGCUGAUCAUGCACCCACAGUCGGUUACCUUGGACAAUCUUCAUUAACGAUUUCCGUUUGAGGACUUCAAGAGAAUAUUUAGGGAAAAGCUUAUGGCUGGCCCACAUGUAAGUCACAAUUCUCACAUCAAACCCAACAUAGAAGCAACAAAUAUCAAGAAAUAUUUCCUUCUCUUAAGGUUCUAAUGCCUCAAAACUGAUGUUUAGCUUCCUUUUAACCUCUGUAGAGGGAAUAGCUUUCAACCUUUCUAAUGUGACCACCCAAAACUCUCUGUCUUUUCCAGCUAAAAAUGAACCUAUUAUCUCUAGAGCCAAAGGAAGAUGACCGCAGAUUUCUAACGCUUUUUUCGAGAGGGAAACGUAUUCUGCUGGGGGACGAUCUCUUCUAAAGGCAUGUUUGCUAAACAGUAGAAGAGAAUGAUUGAAAUCCAUUUCAGUAAGUUCGUACUUAAAAUCAACAUCUUUGAGAACUUCCUUGUUUCUUGUGGUAAUAAUAACCUUACUUCCUCUGCUGUACCAGCAUUCACCUAUCCCUACAAGAGUGUUUAGCUGAGUGUUUUGGUCGACAUCAUCAAGCACAAGUAAAACCUUUUUAGAGGAUAACCUCUCCCUGAUCUCAGUAAUCCCUUCAUUAAUACUAUUGAUGGAUGGCCAUUCCAUUCUUAGGACUUUAGAGAGAAGCUGAUUCUGCAAAAUCACAAUCUUUGUCUCUCGAAUGUUAGACAGGAAGCAACAGUUAUCAAAAUCAGCCGACAGUUUAUUAUAGACGAUAGUGGCAAGAGUUGUCUUUCUGACACCACCCAUACCAUGGAUGCCAACAAUCUUUGUUCCAGUGGCCUGUGUACCCAUCUUUUCCAUGAUUUUGUCCACAUAAUCGAGUUUUGUUCCAGCGGUUUGUGUACCUAUCUUUUCCAUGAUUUUGUCCACAUGAUCGUCCAUUUCAACCAAGUAAUAAGGUUCUGCCAAGUUGUUCUUUUUUAACUUGAUCAACAGCGUCCGAACAACUUCUUCUGUGAACUCCCCUUUGCCUCUAACAAUAGUGAAGGCAAAAGGACCAAACUGUUAAAUUGAGAUGAACAGAAUAAUACCAAGCUACAAACAAUCAUGAACAAUAAUAAAUUCAAAUACCUCUCCUUGAGUUCCCAUCCUCUUAAAUCUCCAACCUUGCUGAGAGCUGUCUUCCACUUCUCAAUAGUCUCAUUAGUGAACCGCUUCUUAUUUUUGUGUGAAGUAAUGGCCUCACCGUAACUUCCAGUUUGGUAACGAACCUCAGCUGGUGUUAUGUCAUAGAAAAUUGGCAUGAUCUUUUGUCCCCACUUUUCCUUGCACUCCACCAUGUGGACCAACUCCAUGAGGCACGAUGGACUGGCAGCAUAUCCUUUAGAUAAGAUAGGAAUCGAGAUUUCCGACUGCUCAAUUGCUCGGCGAAGCUCCGGAUCAAUCUCUUCCCCAAUGGGAAGCUCUUCAUUAUCUCUAUAUGCUCGUAUUCCGGCACGAAUGAGGCUGUUGUAAAGGUAAUCAACGAUGUCACGGCGAGUGUCUGGUCCUCUGAAACUCAAGAAUGCUUCAUAAACAAAUUCCGUUGGCUUCUCCGUUUCCUGAAUUCUCAGAGGACUCGCAAUGACCUGACAAUAUUCCAUGUGAAAAACGUUUACUAUGAAAGCAGGGUGAUAAUUAUCACCAUUUCUCUCAGAAACUCUUCUGUUUUAAGUCUUUCUAGGAAGAAAACCAAGAUGACAAAUGCACGAGCUCCUUCGUGGCCUUGCACUACACACCAAAAUAUGACUGAAUAUUUUAAAAUAAUAUAGUAGAGAAGUGGACCCAUCUCAAUUCUAAAGGAAGAAAUUUUCAAAGUAUUGUGGAAUUAUGGGUUAUAGUUCACACUUGAAAUUGAUUUGAGAGAAUAAUAUUUUUUGAGAAGAUAAAUCACUAUCAACCUAUAUUAGUCCGCACAUCAUGCCUGCUUCCGCUUGUAGAUUGACUAAUUAUUUUAUUGUUUGAUAAGAAAUUAUAAUGAAACAUUCCUCUUUUAUUUUACCAAAAUAGAUUUGACAGACAUACCGCGACCCUCAAUUAGUGCUCCCUUGGCCUUAACGGACGCAAGCGAAGAAUCGCCCCCAAUGAAGAUCUCUAAUUGGAAAAGUGAAAUCAAGACAUUGCACCGGAGCUAAUUCAACCCUCUCCGUUGGACCAGUUUCUAGAAAGCAUUAACCGAUCUCCAAUUGCAGUCAAAUCUUAGUUUAUUAACAUACCGGCACAGGGUCAAAGGCGAGCAUUAGAAGCUAACGUUCGCAUUUGCCAGAAAGUAUCAGCAUAUCAGAAAAAGAGGGGUGAAUUACUAACCAAUAAUGUAGUUGAUGAAAUUUCAGCAGAAAAAAGAAGCAUGAACGCUAUAAUUGUUUUUCCAGAAAAUAAGUUUGAACACACAGGAGCGCAGGAACGAGAACUGUACUUUACAGAAGCGGAGACUUCCAGUGGACCACAGAGUGCUACGUUAUAGUCCUAUUCAUUUCGUCUCUACUGUUGAAUACAGUGUUAAGGGUAUCUAUUUUCUGCGUAGGAGCGUUCUUACUGCUAAUCACUAGACAAUAAUGUACGAAUUUGUCAUAUUGAAGUCUCUUAAAGAUACCACUAUCACCGUUCGCACAAAAUAGCUUUUAGCGCCAGCAAUCCACGCGAAAACUCAGAGAGACAGAGAGAGAGGGAGAGAGUAUACCCGGGUGGCGAGCUCGUAAGACUGAGCGUUGUCGAUGAUGGAACCGGACUUGCCUCCGCCUUCGCCGCCCUCCCUCCUCUUCUUCUUGCCGCUCCUCUUCUUUGGCUCGUCGUCGCGAGGGCCGCCGCCGGCGCCGCCGAGGAGCUCACUCCGAGGCUCGACACCGCUCGUCUCCGCUUCAGCUUCGUGCGGUCUCUUCUUCUUCGCCAUUCCCGCUCUCCGAUAUCAGAAAGUUUUGAUCUUUCGACACGGUAAGAGGUCGACUGGUGAAGGGAUUAGGCGUCGAUGUUGGUGGUGGUGGUGGUAUUGCGUUUCAGGAUCUGAGGCCUGACAGUUGCAUAGAUGGAAGUGGGUGGGCAGGGUUUUAGCAUGUGACUCGUGAGUUAGAGGCUAAAGCUAUUAGUGUUAGACGCAGCUGGCAGUGGUCAAUCAUGGAGUCAACUAUUAGUUGUUAGACGCAGCUGGCAGUGAUCAAUCAUGGAGUCAACUAAGGAAAAAAUUGGAUGCUGAUCUGAGAGUCCCUCUAUUGUUUCCAUCAAAUUCUGCAUCUAGUUGCAUCACAGAACUGACCCAAUUCAUUAAAAAUAAGGCAAUAAGCGAGAGGAAAUUACCGGAGAUGAAGGGGGUGAAGAUGAAUAGUCCGGAUCAAAUGCUGAGAAGCAGAUGAAGAUCCCAGGAAUAAACGUUCUUGGCUUUUGAGUUCAGCUGAAGAAAGACGAGACUUAUAUAAGACGGUGAAUUCACCCUCCUUCGCCGUGCCCUUCCAGGAAAGUGAGGACUUACUAGUUGCAGGGAAACUUCGGCCCGACCGUGAAAAUGUGAAUACGCGUUUUGCUCUUGACUUUCGAGUAAACGAGUUGAGUUACUGGGAAAUUUCUCGAAGUCCGGAAACCUUUUGGUACGAAGGGCGAGAGUACAAGAGGAUUUUCAUUGCAUGUUAUUAGUUUAAAAAUCAUACAAUUUAUAUUAAUUGAUGUUCUUUUAACGACGAUGAAGGUGAAUCCUAGGCCCAUUCAAAUUUUAUAUAUAUUAAACCAAAAAAUGUAGAGUCCAUGUAUUCUACAUAUGUCAGAGUUACACACAAUGGGUUCAAAAAACAAAAAGAAAUUAGAAAAAAUAGCGUCACUAAUGUGAUAACUUCCUCACAAUACUUACUUAAAUUUAUUACUUUUUUGAGAUUGAUUAAGUAAUAUAAUUUUCAUUUGACGUUCAUCUAAAUACCAUAAUUAAUUUUUUAGUCACUUGUGCCAUGACUCGUCAAAUCGUGAGGACCGCUGGUCUACCACUGUCCUUCUAGGUUCUCCACUUUUGACGCUUCCUCUUUUCUCCAAAUUUUUACUUUAUUCUUUUUAAUUUUUUCUUAAAAUCUGCUGACCUAGCAGCUAUAUCAAUGCCUCCAUCUUCAAGGAAAAAUAAUCAUGAUCAUUUUUCCUAUUAACUGAAUCAGAUGGAGUUAAUAGCAGGACUUAACCGCACUAAUUUAAUGAAUUUUAAAAUUUGAUUACACUUUUUAAAAAAUUUAAAAUUUGAAGGCACUUUUGCAACAUAUUUUAAGAUUUAUGGAGCAUUUAUCCCCUCUUAUGAGAUAAUAACACAAAUGAUCUUUAAACUUUGAUUUAAUAUGUAAUGUUAUCCUUAGAAUUUUAAUUUGUUCAAUGGGAUAUUUAAAAUAUUGAUAGGUGUUCAAUUUAGUCUUUAGAUUGAAUGCAUUAUUUCCAUAUAGUUUAGCAACUAUAUUGGAUAUUUGUUAAUAGUUCAUGGAUCACAUUAAAUAAAUUAAAAAAAUUUAAAAUGACAUAACAUAUUUUGCCAAAUUUCAAGGAUCACAUAAAAUAAAUUCCAAAUUCAGAGACAACAUUAGAUAUUGGACAAAAUAUAAGGAUUAUUUAUGUCUUUUUUUUUUCAUUUUUUAAAUCUAAAACUCCAUAAACUUAAGGAUAGACAAAUAAUUUACAUAUAAUUUUUUGAUAAUUUUCCGAGAUUUGAACAAUAAUUUAAAUUUUGACAAAAAAGUAAAAGAACUAUUAUUUAAGUCCAAGCAAAGAGGCAUUAGAUCAAUUAAUUUUCGCCAUUUCUUUACAGUGUCACUUCGCGUGGGCACCAUUUUCAUGGGAGAGACGAUUGCUGCGUUGACGCCCAGGAAAGUGAGGACCCGCUGGUUGCAGGGAAACUUCAAGCCAACCGUGAAAAACGGAAUACGUGUUUUGCUUUCGACUUUUGGGGAAAUGGAGUUGAGUUUCUGGGAAAUUUCUCAAAGUCCAAAGAUUCUUCGGCACGAAAGGCAGGAGUACGAGAGAUUUUCAUGGGUGUUAUUUGAUUAGAAAUCAUUCGAUUUAUGCUAAUUGAUAUUCUUUUAAUGACGAUAAAACCCUAAUUUUGUAGGUGAAACCCAAGCCCAUUCAAAUUUUACAUAUACUAAACCCAAAAAUGUAGAAUUCAUAUAUUUUAGUUAAGGGAAAAUGCCACAAAAAAUCCCAAACUUUAUUAACCGUGACAUAAUUACUCCACCAAGAACAUUUUCGUCUUAUCUUUUCUAUUCUUGCUUUUUCUUUUUCUUUUUUUCCUUUUUCUCUCUCUAUCUUCUCGCCGCCAAGAGAAGAAGAAGAAAAAAAGAAUUUUUUUUUUUAUAAAAAAAAUAACGAAAAUAUUCAAUAAUUUAGAGUAAAUGUGUCACACAAAUACAAGUUCAUGAAUUUUUGUGUCACAAAAAAAUUUGAGGUAAAUAUGUCACGGUUAGCAAAGUUUGGAGUUUUUCAUGUCACAACAAAAAGUUUUUGAUAAAUUUGUCACUUUAGGCAAAAUUUGGGAUUUUUGAUGGUUUUUGAGUUUGUAAGACAAAAAGGUUAGGAAAAAUAACACCAUAAAUGCCAUAACUUUUGUACAACACUCACUUAAGUACUAUAACUUCUUCUUUUUUGGAUUAUUUGAGUGAUAUAACUUUUGUUGGGCACUACUUAAAUGUCAUAACCUUUUUUUUCGAUCACUUGUUCCAUAACUUUUUAAAAUCAUUCACCAAGUGUUGAAAAUUUGACUUGAUAUAAUAUGCUUGAUGAACAUUUUUAAAAGUCAUAGCACUUAAGUAAAGUUAUGACACUCAAGUAGAUUUUCUUUAAAGGUUACAUCACAUAAAUAAUUGGGGAAAAAAAUUAUGGCAGUAAAGUAAAUGUCUUACGAAAAUAAUGACAUAUAGGGUAUUUUAUUUGUCAAAAGUUGCAUUCAGUCAUAUAGGAACAAAGCUCCAAAAAUAUUAUAAUACUAGUGAAAGCUUACCAACUAUAGAUGGUUUGAACAUGACUUUCAAGACCAGGGACAUCAAUAUGUGCAACCAUAGUAGUGUGUUUGGUUAGCAUUUAGCAAGUUGGGUAGCCACCUAACCGUUGUGUACUUGGAAUAUUUGGGGUGAAAUGGUAAUGUCCAUAUCACCACUGGAAGGCAAGGCAUCGAGAAACUUAUUUUUUACCAAGGAAAAUUUUAAGAGAAACUCAAUUAUCUUAUAGUCCAAAAAUUGGAAAUUACGAAAUUAUAAGUAAAUCAUUAACUACAAAAUGCAACUUAACUUAUAUUUAUAAAUUAUUUAUGAUUAAACAUAGAAUUAAUAAUAUGUUGAUAUGCAUCGAUGAUGAUUGAUCAACAAAAGAAUUAUUCCAUUGUUUUUAAACAAUGACUGGUAAAUUAAUUUAAAUUACUAUCAUGAUAAUGUACUAUGGAUAUCUAAAUCUAAAGGAAAUGCAAUCAUACUGUAAAAUCUAUGUUAAAUAUUGUUAUUUUUAUUGCAUUUUAUUCUCAAUUUGGUUUUCAUAAAAGUUGACGUGGCAUUUUUCAUUUGUGUUUAUUUUAAGAGAGGCGCUUAUGAGGAUGCUAAUGCCAAAUGUUCAAUUUUCUAAUCAAGAUAUGAAAAAUUGUUUGAAAAUUUUGGAGAAAUAAAGAUCUUAAAAAAAGGAUAGAAAAAUCAGACAAGAAAUCAUUCUUAAGAGGUGCAAAAGUCUCCAUCAAGUAGCUUGGAACAUCAUUUAUUUAAAAAUUAAAAAAAAAAGCUCCAAACAGUGUUCAUGACGGUGGAGAUUGCAUUUGUUGUUGCAUGAAUUCAUCCUACCAUAAUCAAAUUUAAUUCGUGAAAUUUAAUCUGCUUUUGGUUUCGUGUGAAAUUUAUUUGCCCACGUCAUUGACGAAGCUCUUGAAGAAGCAUGGGAAGGUGGUAGAGAGGGCCAAGUUGGCUUUGCCGAAGUCCGGCGAGGAACGUUGGCCAACCACCGUCCUUCUUGGUUCUCCACUGUUUGACUCUUUCUCUUUCUUCCAAAUAUUUUUUUUUCCAGGAUUUUAUUUCUAGAAAUCCUGGAAUCAAUUUUUUUCCCUUUUUCUUACAUUUUUUCUUAAAUUUUGCUGACAUGGCAGACAUUUCAAUGCCUCUAUCUUCAGAAAAAAAAAAUCAUGUUAUUUUCUCCCAUUAGGUGAAUUGGACAGAGUUAAUAGCAAGAUUUGAUUACGCAAAUUUAAUAAGUUUUAAAAUUUAAUUGCCCUUUUUGAAAAUUAUAGAAUAUGAUUGCACCUUUACAAUGUACUUUAAGACUUAUGUUUAUCUCCCCUUAAGAGAUAAUAACACAAAUGAUCAUUGAACUUGACUCAAUAUGUAAUAUUAUUCCUAAAUUUUUAAUUUGUUUGAUGUGAUCUCAAAAUUAUUUAUAUUUGUUCAAUUUAAUUUUUAGACUAAAUUUGCCAUUUCCAUAUAAUUUAAAAAUUAGAUUGAACCAUAUUAAUAGUUCAUGACUGCAUUAUAUAAAUUAGAGCUUAAAAACAAUAUAACAUAUUUGGACAAAGUUCAUCAAAUUAAACGACUUAAAAAUUUGGGGGUUAUUUAUGUCAUUUUUUCCAUUUUUUUAAAUCAAAAACUCUAGAAACUUAAGCACGACACAUAGAUUCACAUAUAAUCUUUUGAUAAUUUUUUGAAAUUUGAACAAUAAUAUAAAAUAUAACAAAAAAGUAAAAAAAAAAAAAAACUAUUUUUCACUUUUUUUUUAUAACUCCAGACCAGCAUUAAAUCAAUUACUUUUCGCCAUUUCUUUACAAUGUCCCUUCGCGUGCCGGAUGUUAUAAGAGUAAUAAGAUGCAGAGGACACCUUUUUCACGGGAGAGACGACUGAUGCAUUGCCAUGUUCUUCAGCGAUAUCCUCCCAACCAUCCAUCACUAUGUCUCUCUCCUCGCAAGAUGCGUCUCCAAGAAACACCUGAAGCUCGGCAUGACCGUCCACUCCCACCUCAUCAAGACCGCACUCGCCAGCGACUCUUUCCUCGUCAACCAUCUCAUUGGCAUGUACUCCAGAUGCUCUUCCAUCCCAAGCGCCCACAAGGUUUUUGAUGAUCUUGAUAUAAAGAACAGUUACUCUUGGAACACCAUCAUAUCUGCAUAUGCCCGGAUAGGCGAUUUCAAUAAAGCACUCGUCUUGUUCGAUGAAAUGCCGCAGAGGGCUCUUGUCUCUUAUAAUUCCUUGAUUUCUGGGUUGUCCCGUCAUGGGUUUUAUGUGGAGUCUCUGAGCGUCUUCAUGCAUAUGCAACAAGAAUAUGAUUGGCUAUUCAUGGAUGAGUUUACUUUUGUGGGUGUUGUGGGUGCCUGUGCUCACUUGGGUGCAUUUAAGUUCUUGCGCCAAGUUCAUGGAGUGGCCAUCGUAAUGGGCUUGGAAUUUGCUAAGAUAACUUACAAUUCCCUGAUUGAUGCUUAUGGUAAAUGUGGUGGAGUCGAUAUAUGCCGUGUCUUGUUCGACGUUAUGCCUGAAAAGGAUGUCGUGUCGUGGACUUCCAUGGUUGUUGCUUAUACGCGAGCUCAUAACAUAGGUGAUGCUUGUGCAAUAUUCAACAGUAUGCCAGCGAAGAACACAGUCUCUUGGACUGCACUGAUCUCAGGCCUUGUGCAGAAUGGCCGUGGUGAUGAAGCUUUGGACCUUUUUGUUCAAAUGCAUGAGGAAGGAAUACAGCCAAGUCCUCAUACUUUUGUCAGUGUUCUAUGUGCCUGUGCUGAUCGAGCACUUGCUGAAAGAGGCAAACAGAUCCAUGGUUGCAUCGUUAGGACCUGCUUUAAUGGAGAUUUGGAGAACAUAUUCAUAUGGAAUGCUCUAAUUGACAUGUAUUGCAAGUGUGGUGACAUGAGAUCAGCUAAGAUCUUAUUCUUGAGGAUGCCAAAAAGGGAUAUUGUUUCAUGGAAUUCGAUGAUAACUGGGUUCGCACAAAAUGGGCUGGGGCAUGAGUCACUUGUUUUUCUCAGGACCAUGCUAGAGACAAAUGCAAGACCCAACCAUGUCACGUUUCUUGGCGCUCUAUCUGCUUGCAGCCACACAGGUCUAGAUAUUGAAGCGCUUCAGAUUUUCAAUGCAAUGGAAAAGGAUUACAGCCUUCAACCCAGAUUAGAUCACUAUGCUAUUUUGGUCGAUCUGCUCGGGAGGAAAAACAGACUUGAGGAAGCCAUGGAGUUAAUAGAGAUUGUCUCAAACAAAUCAAACCAUGUUGGAAUGUGGGGUGCACUUUUAGGUGCAUGCAAAGUCCAUGGUAAUCUAGUUAUUGCCCGAAAAGCUGUGGAUGCUCUACUGAAUUUGGAACCCCAAAAUGCUGCGAGAUAUGUCAUGAUAUCAAGCAUAUAUGCUGCAACUAACAGAUGGGAUGAUUCCUGCAGAGUAAGGAAGCAGAUGGAGGAGAGAGCUUUAACAAAAGAUGUGGCAAACAGUUGGAUUGAGGUAAAGAAUGAAAUGCACAAAUUUCCAGCAAAGGACCAAUUCCACUAUCAGAUGGGAGACUUAUACGAAGUGCUCGGGAAACUAGCAUAUCAUAUGAAGGAAUCUGGAUAUGUUCCUGAGCCCAACUUAAGACUCAUCUUAGCUAAUUAUGAUGAUGAUGGUGGGUAAUGAAUACAAAAAGGGUUCAGACGGAAGAUGCUGGAGAAAAAAUAGAAGGCUACAACUGCAAGGUGAUAGUUCUCGUACUAAUGAACAAUUCAUACCUUCCUGGAGAACAUCAAGUCAAAGAUACCAUGAAGUUUCAGGAAGGACUUAUGGUCCACAGAAAAUCGGGCAUCAUGAAAGCCUCUCGUUGUACCUGGAGGUUUUGCGUGAGGUAGGUGGAGAUUGCUCAGAUGCUAUCUGGUAAUGGCAUUCUGUGUACAUAUUUUCGGAUUCUGACCUCAUUGUGUCUGGAACAAUGGAAAGCGUCUACCUUGCCAUUAUUGGUUCUUUUGGAUGCUGCCUGACCGGAUCAAAUUUUUCUCUUGGGUUAUGUCCAUAUCCCUUUGAGGGAAUAGAUAGUACUGCAAAAUUUUUCUCUCAGGUUAAACAUGAUGUCCCUGACCAUGGCGUGACCUGGAACAUCUCUCAGAACUAUAUACAGCUUGAAGCUCCAUACUAGUCAUUGUCCCGUGAUUUCUUGUCAGGCUUAUGCUUCCGCAACAACCAGUUUACAGCUGACAAUUUUCCAUGAAGUGUUGAUGAAAGGUCUAACUACUACAAAUCUGGGAUGGAGUUCCAUUCUUUGUUUUCUUCUCAAUGAGUGUUUAUUGUUCUUCAGGAAUUCAGGAAAGUAUGUGCAUGGUCAAAUAGAGGUUAUUGGCUAUGAUUUUUUUAGUUGUGGCUGAUGGUUUCAUUAUUGUCCUAUGGGAUCGCUUAGGAGCGACCUGUAUUUGUUUGUGGUGCUGGUCUGCUCCCAACAGUAGAAAUUACCUCAGGAUUUGACUGUACACGUACAACUCAUGGUAUUUUCUUCUACAUCUUGACAUAACUACAUCAAGAAACCAGAGUGGAUUUUUUAAAUCAUGCUAAGGACAGAUGUAUUUGUUGACAGAAGGUGUAAAAUAUUUUGCAUGCAAGGCACUGUGCGAGCGUCAUUGCAUCAGUUGAUUGAGGCAAUUGGAAUUGCCGUCUGUAAUGCAGUUGUUCCAACAUCCCUGAUUAUUUUUGGCCCCUACUUAUGCCAUGCUUCAGUUUCUUCCUUUGCAUCCGAACUACUUUUUCUGUUUUGACAAUUGAGUACUCUCUUUCCGAUGGAAGAAACAAACAGCUGUAGAGGUGACGAUUCUCUUAGGGUAAUCUCCUAGCAAUGUGAAAUAAUAGAAUUUACUAGCACAUCUGGGAAAUUACCAUCAUCCACUGAAAACUACAAAUGUAAGAUAAAAUAUCAUUGGCUUUAGCUCAUGGAUUUGUGGAAUUUUUCGCUAUAAGAUAUAUACAUGUAUAUAAUAUUUUUUGGUUGGAAGAAUCCCAGGACAACACUUAUUCUCUGCAAGGUCAAUCCUUAAUUUUCUAAGCAAGGGAUGGAUGGAGCACUCGAGUACUGUGAAUUUUGUAUACGAAUCUAAGAAGAUUAUCAAGUUAAAUUAGUCUUCGCAAGAAUGAGCUAGAUUUUUAUAGGUGAUAUGUCUCUUUCAAAUGUUUGUGGUCUAGACAAUUUCCUUAUUAAAAGAUCCUGUGGAUGUCUUAGUAAUCUUGGGUUUCAGUUUCAAAAUUCAAACAACUACAUCUUUCAUGACCGUCCGCAACCACUUGAUCUUGCUAUUUAUAUGUACUUUAUUCUAAUGUGCACAAUAUACAACCAUAAUGGUGCCUCUGGUUAUAGAUUCGAAAUGAGUCUGCAAUACGGUAACUAAUAGUAAUGCUAUAAGUUACUAUUUUACUUGGUUUGUUACUAGAAUAAUAAAGGUAUGAUAACGUCCAAAUUGCUUCAUCAUCGUACCUAACUAUUUUACUUGGUGUGUUACUAGAAUAAUAAAGGAAUGGUAACGUCCAAAUUGCUCCAUCAUCGUACCUAUUCUUUCUCCCUCUGCCAAGACCGCCACCAUGGCUAGUGAUUGCUCCUCAUGAGGGGUUGCCGCCUUGUAGGCAGUGGGUUGCUAGCGGGGUUGGUGGUGGUGGGCCAAUACCGGUAAGCCAGCAUGGGGCGAUGGUGGCCGUUAAUGUUGAGCAGCAAUGGUCUUUAGUCGUGUGCGGGCAAUCCAAAUAUCCCCCGAGAUUAGGAAUAAUAUUUUCGAAGCGCUCUAUUCCAUUUAGCUCCGUAGAUACAAUUACCACUUGUGAGUAGGUAUUACCAUAAGCUGAAUACGUAAUGACAUGUGAUCGAUGUCUUUCUUUAAUCUUUUAAAAAAUCAAAUUCAUAUCGAAUACCGGCGAGAAUAAAGGAAAAAAAAAUCCAAUUGGCAAGGAAGUGCCAAAUUCGAUGUCAUGUGACCUUUUGGACGCGAUAUGAGAGAAAAUAUGGGAUGGGUUCCUGGAAGACGUCCGUCAUGGGGAUCCAUGAAAGUCCAUGAAAAACCGUUCGUCCUGAAGAUGUUUUCUUCAUUUCAACAUAGCAAUCCUCAAAAUUCUUCUGUUACUUCUGAUUUACUACUUGUAGGUCAAUAUUUCUCCUCCAUUGGAUUUGACAGGAAAGAAAAUGGCACUCGGUCAGCCUAGUUAUAGCAUAGAUGAAAGUUCCAGAGAGAGACUAUUUUAGCAUUGUUUCCGCCUCUCCGUGUUUUUAUUUAAUGAUGUUUGGGGGGUAAUUUGAUUUUAAAAAAAAAAUUGAAGCGACAAAGAAAGAGGUUUCUUUUGUCAAGGCCGCGUUCAUGUUAUUGUCCUUUUUCUCUGCAAUGUGAAAUGUACGGGCAGGUAUUAUUAGCCAUACCUAGCAAUUUCACCAGCUUAGUCUAUGUGGGGACACAAUCCCAUGGUUCCAUAACUUUGAAUAAACACACUAAAUUAGCACCAAAUAUUUAUUUAUUUAUUUAUUUUGCAACAUGAAUUGGCCCGCCCACAAGUAAUCCGGUGCGGGCUGGGCUGAUUUUGCACCAGAGUUGCUCUUCAACUUUACCGGUAGCGUUAGUAAUUCACUUAUGACACCGAAAUUUUUUCCAAAAGAGUCGGUAAUUUACCAAUUUUUAUAAUUUACUAUCUGUUUACCUAAUGAGCAAGUAACCACUCAUUUUCUUUUACCUAACAAUUCCAUUUUUGCUGUUAAUCCCAUCCAAAAAUUCAAAUUAUGAAACUAGAAAUGAAGUCAUGAAUCCACUCUGAAGCUGCUGUAGAAAUCUGUAUCAAGUUAUCAAAACUAAAGAACACUUGGUGACCAUUGCACAUGAUCAUUAGCUAGGGAGCGUUUCAAGUUUAUGCUAGACCCAAUGUCUAGCCCCUCCUUCAUUUCUUCAAUGUGAAAAUUCUCAUGGAAAAUCAGCAACAAUUAAGUGAAUAUAGUUGCCAAUGUCUGACUGAAUUCGCAACACUGAAUGCAACACAUUCUCAGGGUAAUGUCUCGAGAACAUUAACAUCUACGAAUCAAUUCAGCAGCAAGUCAUCUUGAAUCCUUGAUGAAUUUCUUCCAUGACGAGAUUAAUCACUAAGCACACCCGCUAAAAUAUUAGGAGUACGUAGGACCAAAACAGACCAAGAGAAGAAGAGAGAAAUUGCAGAACCAAUCGAUUGUAUUAAGGUUCCAUCCCUUCCAGGACAAUAUUUUGGCUUUAGCUAGACCUUGGAAACCUCAGAAGGAUAAACGAUUUCCCCUUCUCAAACUAUUCCACCCGUAAGGUUUGGACUAGUUAGCUCCUGAAGGGAAAAAAUCGAUCCCCUAAUUGGUGCAGAAGUGAACUGAUGCAGAGGAGUUGCAAUGUUUUUCGAGAGCACGCGACUUGGUUUGGCUUAAAGCUAUUACAAUUGGAGGAGUUCAAUUGAGUCACAGCUCACGAAGGAGUUCAAUGGGAGGCUGUUUUCAUUGCAUAGAACUCAAUUCAAUCCCACUCUUUUCUUAAUCUACCACUAGUCGAAUCAAAAUUCACAGACAAAACCCAAUUAAGGCAGAGCAGAAACAAAAUAAGAGAAUCACCAGAAAAGGAGUGGGUGACGAUGAAGAAUCAAAUUAGACAGCUGCCGAGUCUGAAUGAAAAUGCAGGAAACCAAAUAAAGAUGCAGAGAAGGGAGAAACCCUUCUUGGCCUUAGUCAGCUGCAACCAAAAUGACAAAAAAUAAAAUAAAAUGAAGGCUUUCCAGACAAUCUAUUAAACCCUGGGGGAACAGAUCGGUUGGCAGGAAGACGCGGUCGCUUUCCCGGAGGGAAAUCUUCGCCAGGUCGAGUCGCGUCUCGUGCUUCCGCUCAGUGUCGCCGUUGAGGGCCUUGAUGGUUGGGGUCCGUUGCUGCUGCUCCUGGGCGAGCUCCUUACUCGGGUCGUCGCUGAUGAGGGAGGAAGAGAAGGAAGAAGAAGGAAAGAAUGUGAGGAGAGACAGAGAGAGAGCAACGGGAGAAAAAACAAAACAAAAAAAUAAAAAAAGGAGAAAAAAGUCGAAAUUUCUUAAGAGUGGGUCCCACCUAUACACACGUCAUUUGAGAAAAUAUUCCUCACCACCACUCUAGUAUGGAACAUUUUCUCCGUGACUUCCUGCCCACCACCCUCGGCUUAUCCGGCUUUCCGUCAGGAUCCUCGCUUUUUUCAAAUCCCUGUACUCAUCGGAUUCCAGAAUCUCCUCCAAUCUCUCACAUCCUCUUAUUAUUAAAUCCUCUAGCUCCUUGAAGCUUGAAGGAUCAGAAAAUUGUCGCAGAGACUCGCAGCCCCAAAUUUCAAGUCUUUUCAAUGAUUCUAGCCUACCUCGAAUCUCAACCUGACGAGGACAACGCCUUAUCUUGAGACCCUCGAGCUCCUUGGCAUUGGUUAGGUCAGGCAACUUCUCUAGCAACGGAAGAUCCCCCACACAUAACACCCUCAAGUUCUCCGAAACUUCCGGGCCUUGAAUCUCUUCUAGCUUCUGACAUUCAUCUAUAUAUAAUGAUUUUAUAUACUUGAAACUUAAUGGAUUAGGCAUCUUUUCGAGUGAUUUACAGUUAAAUAAAGUGAGGUCCUCCAACGAUUCUAGCUGACCUCUAACCUCAACCAAUUUAGGACAACUUUCUAUAUGAAUUCUUCGGAGCUUCUUCGAGUUGGUCAGGUCAAGCAACUUUGCUUGCGACACAAGACAACUAAGACGAAGCUCUUUUAGGUUCUUCAAAUGUUCGAGACCUUGAACCUGCACACAAUUAUAGACUUCAAAAAAUGAUAACUUCUCCAAAUAUGAAAGAUUUAUCACUGCAUUGUCCAUUAACCUGCCCCCAUAUAUCACAAAGUAUGACAAAUUCUGGGGAAGCCUAGGUGGGCAUUCUAGUUGAUGUACACAGAGUUUAAGCUUCCCGAGCUUUGAAAGGAGAUUAAAAUCUGAAGGUAGGGUGAUCGGAUUAUCGUAACGCAACCACAAGGUUUCUAGCUUUGUUAGCCCUCCGAUCCAAUCGAGACUUGUAGCUAGACAGGAAGGGGUUUGAUACCUUGAUUCCAAUGUCAAAACUCUCAAAUUUAAUAGAUUCGAGAGAUUUGGGCAUCUCAUAUUUACAUUAUAUUCCAGGUAUAAAUCGGUCAUACUUUCAGGAAGCUUAGGUAUAUCGGAAACUCUCGAGCUCGAUAACCUCAAGAUUCUUAGAAAUGAUAGUCUUUCAAUCUCAUUUGGAAUUUCCCCACACAAAUUUCUACAACUGUCAACAUGGAUCUCUUCAAGCUUCUCCAACAACCCAAGGGCACCAGGUAGCUUUUCUAAGGGGGUGUGAGACAUCCUUAGUACUCUCAAAUUCUUCAUCGUCUUUAUUAAAUCAGGUAACUCUCGUAAGCUCGACUGAGAAAGAUUCAACUCAACGAGAGACCCAAAAUUUCCAAAUGGAAGUUCACUAAUACUUGUUUCUGACAAGUCAAGAUACAAUAGUGAUGUUGAGCAACUAGCUAAAUUGCAUUCACUUAGUAAUUUACAGUAAGUUGUACUAAGGGUUUCCAUUUUCUCCAUUCCUUUCCAUUCAGGAAAAUUGGUAAUAGAUGUCCUACCAACACGAAGUUCUGUCAAGGCUUUCAGUUCCUCCAUCUCGUCUGGCAAUGUCUGAAGUUCCCUACAACCUUCCAAGUUUAAUAAUACUAAAUGCUUUAACUUACCAAUAGACUUAUCAACUUGAACCAGUUUGUAGCACCCUUUAAGAAUCAGUUGCUCUAAAUUUUUAUGAUCAGAAAAGUUAGGAGUCCUAUGCAAGUUGUAGCAUCCAGUCAAAUUUAGAACCUUCAACUUUUUUGCCAUCUGUAAUGAAGAGAAGAGGUUAAUUUGGAUCGUUUUGAGAUACGGGACAGCAAAGUCAAUAUAGCAAAUUCAUGUUGAAAUAAUACCGUACCUUGAGGUGGUUCCAUCCCUCCCACUCAUAUGUAAUUUUACUCCUUGAUAGAUCAAGAAUCGCUAGCUUCACGAGGGAAAAUGCGGUGAAUUGGAAAAAGAUGGGAAACUCAUGCCAUGAGAUAUACUUCAAAUUUUGAAGGAUGGGUAGAUUCCUCUGGAACGAGUUGGUUGAAGGAAAAUACUGAAUGAAUUUAGACCAUGAGAGCCAUCUCAAAUUCAGAAGGGUGGGUAGAUUCCUUCUGAACCAGUUGGUAAAAGAAAAAUGCCGAACAUUGUUCAUAUCCAAGUCCCCACACUCCACUUGAAGAAACCUUAAAUUUGGUAGACUUGCAAAUUCUUCUUUCUUAAAAAAGCAUCGAGAUUGAUGAUCAAACGUGAGACAUAUUGCUUCAACGUUUUUUGUUCCCUGCCAAAGCAAAAAAGGGAAACAUAAGCUGGUUAUCAUAUAAUCACCAGUUGAAGGCAUUCAAGUUGAACAUGCUCAAGGACUCAAGGAAUGUACAUCUUAUUCAUAAUUGAAACUAAUUUAAAAUAUAAUUUACAGAUGAGCAUGUGAUCAUAGUAACCACACAAGUAACGACUUGGUUUAGAUAGAAGCAAAUAAGCCAAAUCAACGUGUAUAACUUGUCUCUUUGGAUAGGAAUAACAUUGCAAACACUUUACCUCCUUCAUUUGAAGAACAGCAAUUGCUUCCUCAUGAUUCCACACCCGACUCUGCUUCUCCGGUUUUAAAUUAGCUCUUUCACGAACGAUGUCUCGCCCAAGGUCUCUUAGUUGAUCAUGCACCCAUAGUCGGUUACCUUCUACAAUCUUUAUUAACGACCUCUGUUCAAGGACUUCAAGAGAAUAUUCAGGGGAAAACUUAUAGCUGUCCCAUAUGUGAAUCACAAUUCUCACAUCAUACCCAACAAAGAAGCAACAAAUAUCAAGAAAUAUUUCCUUCUCUUGAGAUUCUAAUGCCUCGAAACUGAUGUUCAACUUACUUUUAACAUUUCCAUUUGGAAUAGUUUCCAGCUUCUUCAAUGUGAUCUCCCAAAUUCUCCUCUCUUUUCCAUUUAAAAGUGAACCUAUAGUUUUAAGAGCCAAAGGAAGACCAUCGCAGAUUUUUAGUGCUUUUUUGGAGAGGGGAACGUAUUCUGCUGGAGGAUUGUCUCUUCUAAAGGCAUGUUUGCUAAACAGUUUAAGAGAAUGUUUAAAAUCCAUUUUGAUAAGUUCAUGCUGAAAAUCAACACCUUUGAGAAGUUCCUUGUCUCUUGUAGUAAUAAUAACCUUACUUCCUCUACCGAACCGGCAUUCAUCCGCCCCCACAAGAGCAUCCAGCUGAGUCUUUUGGUCGACAUCAUCAAGUACAAGUAAGACUGUUUUAGAGAACAACCUCUCCUUGAUCUCAGUAAUUCCUUCAUUACCGUUAGUGAUGGACAUGCAACUUGUUCGUAGGACUUUAGAGAUGAGUUGAUCUUGCAAAGUCUCAAUCUUUGUAUCUCGAACAUUUGACAGGAAGCAACAGUUAUAAAAAUCAGCUGAUAGUUUAUUAUAGAUGAUUGUGGCAAGAGUUGUCUUUCCGACACCACCCAUACCAUGUAUACCAAUAAUCUGUGUUUCAGUGGUCCGUUCACCUAUCACUUCCAUGAACUUGUCCACUUGAUUGUCCAUUUCAACCAAGCAAUUAGACACUGCCAAGGAGUUCUUUUUCAACUUGAUCAAAAGCAUCUGGACAACUUCUUUUGUGAACUCGCCUUUGCCUCUGGCAGUAUUGAAGGCAAUAGAACCAAACUAUUAAAUCAAGAUGAAUAGAAUAAUAUCUAAGGUACAAACAAACCAUGCACAAUAAUAAAUUCAAGUACCUUUGCUUGAGUUUCCAUCCCUUUAAUGAUCCAACCUUGUUGAGAGCUGCCUUCCAGUUUUGAAUAGUCUCAUCAGUAUACAGCUGCUUAGUUAUGUGUGACCGAAUGGCCUUGCCGUAACUUGCAAUCUGGUCACGAACCUCAGAUGGUUUAACGUCAUAGAAAAUCUGCAUGAUCUCUUGUCCCCACUUUUCCUUGCACUCCACCAUCUGGACCAACUCCAUUAGGCACCAUUCACUCUCAGCAUAUCUUUCAGAAAAGAUAGGAAUUGAGAUUUUCGAUUGCUUAAUCGCUUGGAGAAGCUCUGGGCCAAUCUCUUUCCCAACAUGAAGCUGUUCAUCAUCUCUAAAUGCUCGUAUUCCGACAUUUGUGAGGCUGUGGUAAAGGUAAUCAGCGAUGUCGUUGCGAGUAUCAGAUCCUCUAAAACUCAAGAAUACUUCAUAAUAAGGCUCCACUGGCUUCUCCAUUUCUGGAAUUUUCAGAGGACUUGCAACGUCUUGAUAUCCCACCUGAAAUAUUCUGUUUUAAGUCAUUCUAGAAAAGAACCUUGAUGACAAAUGCAUGAGCUCCUUCUAGGGCCUUGCACUAGACACCAAAAUAUGUCCAAAUAUUUUAUUAACAGUACGGUAGAGAAGUGGACCCAUCUCGAUUCUAAAGGAAGAACUUUCCAAAGUAUUGCAGAAAUUAUGAAUUUUAGUCACACUCGAAAUUGAUUUGAAAAAAAAAAGAAUAUUUCACGCAGAGAUAAAUCACUGUUAACCUAUUUUUGUCUUGAACUCUUUCUUUAGGUGAUAAAAUUUCUCUUGAAAGAUGACGUUGAAUGUCCUUUGCACAUAAGCACCUAAAGUUGCUUGUAGCUUGACUAACUUUGUCAUUAUCUAAUAAGAAAUUAUAAUAAAACCUUCCUCUAUUAGUUUAACCAAAUUAGAUUGGACAAAGACAUUCCACAACACUCAAUUACUAGCUCCCUCGACCUUUACAGAUGCGGGCAAAGAGUUCAUUCCCCUACGACAAUCUCAUUAGAAAAAUGAAAUCAAGAAAUUACAAUAAAGCAAAUGCAACUCUCACCACCGGACUAGUUUGUAAAGAGCAUAAACCGAUCCCUAAUUACAGCCAUCUCAUAGGAUAUAAAAAAAGAAGAAAAAGAUACACGGUCAUGGGCGAGCAUCAGUUAGGCUUGAAGCUAUUAUCCACAUUUGCCAGAAAGUACCAGCAUAUCAGAAAAAAAGGAUUUAAUUACUAAUAAAUUAUGGAGCUAAUAAGGGUGUGCAUGCAAACGUUUCUGUUUCUCAUGGUUUCUGUUCUUUUGUUCCCCGGAACAAAAAAAGAACAGAAACCUAUUUGCUAACGCCACAUUGUUUUUUUGUUCCCGGGAAUAAAAACUUAGCCCGGGAAUGCUUUGGGAACAGAAACAAGAAGCAAAAAAAAGUUGCUUCUUGUUCCCGGGAACAAUUGCUAGAAAUAAGCUGAUUUUCUUUUUUAAUUUUCUUUUAUUUCCUUUUCUUGCCGCGACCACCGUCAACCGCCCGGAGCCACCGCCCACCGCCGCUGCCGCCGGUCGCCGCCGCCGGUCGCCUGCCGUCCGGCGGCCGCCGGUAGCCGGACGUCGCCGCCGCCGACCGCCGGACGUCGCCACCAUCCGCCGUUCGCCACAGUCACCGGCCGCCGCCGUCCGCCGCCGUCGCCGGUUGCCGCCGGUCGCCGUUCGCCGCCCGCCGGCAGCCGUCUCCGGCCUCCGGUCGCCGCUGCCGUCCGCCGUCGCCGCCGCCUCCGUCCGCCGGUCGCUGUCCCCGGCCCGCCAGCCGCCGCUGCCGCACGACCACCGGCCGCCGACCGUCACCGUCGGGCGCCGCCGGAAGCCCAUCGGCCGCCGACGACGGCCGGUAGCCGACGGUCCCAUGGAAAUAGAAUCUUGAUCCUUCUAAUUUUUAAAUGACCAUGGUUCAUGUCAUACACCAACAUAAUGCCAAUCAAUGAAAUGAUGCAAAUCAUGUAUACAUGAAGAUCAUCUCAAUGGGAAUAUAAAUUAAUAUCCCAGUUUCAAAAUGCAAUGAAAAGAAUCACUAACUUGAUAUACUCAACUUUAGACAANNNNNNNNNNNNNNNNNNNNNNNNNNNNNNNNNNNNNNNNNNNNNNNNNNNNNNNNNNNNNNNNNNNNNNNNNNNNNNNNNNNNNNNNNNNNNNNNNNNNCGGCAAUCCGUCGGCAAGAUUAACAAAUGAAUAAAUACACAAAGACAUUGUUGCGUUAUCAAACGCACUUCUAUUCUUUUUCUAUUUCCAAGAGUAGAAAUUUUGUGUCGUUAUCAAACGGGGUUCUUUUACUCAGAAAAUUGUUCCCCGGAGCAGAAAUAGAAACGAACCAUUUCUGAAAAAAAACUCCUCCCCGGAACAGAAACGUUUGCAUGCGCUACCUAAGAUUUCAACAGAAAAUAGAAGCAUGAAUGGUAUAUAACCGUUUUUCCAGAAAAUAAGUUGGAACACACAGGAGUGUAGGGAUGAGCUAGGUAGCACAGACACGUUCAAAGGGCCUCCGUGUCAUGUUGAACACCCCGACAUGUGUCCGACACGCUCGGACACGCUCGAACACGUGGUCAACACGUGUCUGAGUUUCCGACACGUGGUCAACUCUUUCCGACACGCGCAUCGGAGCGUGUCCGGAGGUUUGUGGGCGGAUCCGCAGGUGCGAAGGGAAGAAAGUGAUGGAGGGUGAAGGCAAGGGUGAGGGAGCUGAGGCGAUGCCGCGAGCGACGACGAGGGAGGGCUCCGACCGUCGACUGCAAGGGCUUCGACCGCCGACUGCAACACUGAGAAGCUUUCUCGAUCGUCUUGGAUGGUUGUGACUGCCAACUGCAACGUCGAGAUGGAAAACGGAAAGGUUGCGAUGGAGGGCUGGAUGCGAGGCUACGACGGCAAAGGGGGGAACGGAGGCGAGGCAGCGGUGAGAGAGGUGGAGACCGAGCGAGGGAGAGGAGAAAGAAGGCGAUCGCCGAUUGCUAGGGUUUUCAAUUUUUGGAAGAAGAACAAGGAGAGAGAGGAUGUGUCGACGGCUAUGUAGCACCAACAUGGGACACGACACGAGUGUCCGACACGACACGACACGUCGACACGUUAUUUCUAAAAAAUAGAGAAUUCCGACACGUUGCGACACGUUGUAUAUUAAAUGAAUAUUUUUAUUUUUAAUUAAUUUGAUUCAAAUUCAUAAAUAAAUAAUUAAUUAAAAAAAGAGCCUAUAAUAAAUUUAUACUAAUAAUAUUAACAAAUCAAUUCAUUUGAAAUUCAAAAGAUAUAUUCAUAAUUAAUGCAAAAUGUUUUUUUAAUUUUAACAAAAGUUAUAUGAAACUAAAAAUUAAUAAGAAAUUAAAAUCAAUUUAUCUAAAUAAAUCCAUGAUUUUCUACCAUAACCAAAAUUUAUCAUUAUUCAAAAUUUAACAUUUUUAUUUUUCGAAAUCAUUUUUUAAUUUUAUUUAUUUAUUUUUCCGGUUAAAAAAAUAAUCCCCAAAAUCCAACCCUUCUUUCGUUCCUCCUUUUCCCUCCACCCCACGUUUAUUUUAAUUUUUUCCCUCCCCCCACUUGACAGUGACAGGUGAGCUGUCACUCCGUUCGUCGCUUCGUCUCGCCAGCGCUCGCGACCUCUGCUCCCUCGCCCUCCCUCGCCUCCACCCUCCAUCAGUCUUCCGGACAUGCGUCGACACGCGUGUCGAUAAAAGUUGACCGCGUGUCGGAAAAUCCGACACGCGUUGACCGCGUGUCGGAAAAUCCGACACGCGUUGACCGCGUGUCCGACCGUGUCCGAGCGUGUCCGACACGUGUCGGACACGACACGGAAGCAUGGACAACGUGUCCGUGCUUCAUAGGUCGACGGCUUCUUGGGGGAAAAAAAGAAAGCCUCGUGCAGUGCAGCGUGACUUUGGGAAGAGACGUGUGCAGGCGGUGGGUGGGGUGGGGGAAAUAAAUGGAUGGGACCAUUUAACCCUAAAAAGAAAUAUUAAAUAUUAAAUAAUUUUAUUUUUUUUGGCAAAAUCUGUAAAAAUUCUCUCUUUCUUUUCAAGACGAUGAGAGAAAUGGAUCGAGAGCCUUUGCGUACGUUGAAUAACUUUAUUAAUACAUGUCACUAGUAUAGAUUUAUUAUAGGCUUAUUUAUUUAUUUAUUUAUGAAUUUGAAUAAAUUAAUUUAAACAUAAUAAUUAAUCAUGUAUAUAUAAAAAUAUUUAUUUAAUAUUUAACGUGUCAAAAUUUUCUAUUUUUUGAGAAAUGACGUGUUGCGUGUCGUGUCGUGUCGCGUGUCCAUGUCGCCGUGUCUGUGCUACCUAAGGGAUGAGAGCUGCAUUUUACGAAAGCAAGAGAGUACCGGUUCACCACAAAGUGCAACAUUGUAGUGUAUUCAAUUGUCUUUACUGUUAAAUACAGAGUUGAGGGUACCAAUGUUCUGCCUAGGAGCAUUCUUACUGCUAAUCACGUGACAAUAAUGUACGAAUUUGUCAUAUCAAAGUCUCUUAAAGAUACCACUAUUUCUGUUUGAGCAAAAAAAGAAUAAAAUCCAAUUCGUAAUUACCAGAAUUUGUCGUAUCAACAGACCCAAUCAAAUUAAUUUAGCUUUUAGCCCCGGCCCAGUUCCUAAAGAGCGUAAAUCCGAUUCCUAAUUACAGAAAUCUCUGAGAUCUGUCGACAAACUAAUGCAUAGGAGUGGCAUUGCGUUUCAGGAUCUGAGGCCUGACAGUUGCAUAGAUGGAAGUGGAUGAGCACUGAGCAGGGUUUUAGCCUGCGACUCAAGUUAGAGGCUAAAGCUAUUAGUGUCAGACGCAACUGGCAGUGAUCAAUCAUGGAGUCAACUGAGGAAAGAACUGAUGCUGAUCCGAGAGUCCCUCUCUUGUUUCCAUCAAAUUCUGCACCUAGUUGCAUUACAGAACAGACCCGAUUUUAUUUAAAAGAAGGCAAUAAACGAGAGGAAAUUGCCGGAGAUGGAGGAGGUGAAGAUGAACAGGAUCAAAUGCUGAGAAGCAGACAAAGAUCCCAAGAAAAAGCAUUCUUUGACAGACCUCAUUCGAUUCAGCUUUCUCGAGGGCCCAAAACACUUAGGGAAAAUAUUAGGCGUUUGGUAAGUAUUUUUAAAAGUCCCUUAGCUAAACGUCAGCAGAAAUGGGAAUGCUGAAAGUAAUGGGAAUGCUGAAAGCUCAACGCAGGUCGAACCUGCUUUUGAGCUUUUAGCAUUUCAAACCUACUUUAUACUAAUCAUCCGCGUCACUGUUCACUUUCUUCCCGUUCAUCUUAAUCUCCACCGAUUUACCACCUAAGAGUUAGGUCUUCUCCGGCAACCACCGCUUGGGGUCGCGCGAUCCGCGACUCAGGCGACGCCACCUGAGUGCGUGACCUCAGGCCGCCAGAUCUGGCGGUUCGGAGGCUAGAUCAGGCCUCCGCGACCUCAAGCCGCCGAAUCUGGCCGUCCGGAGGCUAGAUCUCGUCAUCCGGUGGCCACAUCUGGCGGUCUGAAGGCCAGAUCUGGCCGUCCGGCGAUUAGUCGGCGGCGGCCAACAGCCAACCUACACCGAAUUAAGUUUUUAGAUUAAAAAAUUAAAAAAUAAUAAAAAACCUUUAUAAAUUGGGUUAAUACCUUGAAAAACCCCAAACUGGUACACCUGUGACAAAUUUACCCAAAACUAUUUUUUUAAUCACCAAAAACCCAAAAUUGGUAUACCAUUGACAAAUUUACCCUAAACUGAUAUACUUGUGAUAAAUUUACCUUAUGUUAGUUUUUGUUAAAUUUUACUAUUAAAUUAUUAAGUUAAAUGACACGUAAUAGUUCAUCGGUACACUGAUUUGGGAUUUUACGCUCCGUUUGUCACAGUUUACAAUAUUUGUGAUUUUUUUUGCGGCAUUAAUCCAAUUUAGGGAAUGGUAUAUUUGUCAUAAAUUUAUCAGUUUGGGGUUUUUUGCAAUCGAAUAAAUUAGUUUGGGAUAAAUUUGUCAUAAAUGUAUAAGUUUAGGAUUUUUUAUGGUUAGUCUGGAUAAAUUUGUCACAUGUGUACCAGUUUAGGAUUUUUUAUGGUAAAAAAAAUAGUUUUGGAUAAAUUUGUCACAUGUGUACCAGUUUGUGGUUUUUCAGGGUAUUAACCCUUAUAAAUAUGGAUUUUACAAAAUGAUAUUUAUGCUAAAACUAUUUUCUAAUAUUUGGCUCGCUGUGCCUCAAAAUGGGAGUCGGCUUUGGGCUUACCGUCCCUCUCGCGGUCUCGGAAGGUCGCGGGCUGAGCGGCGCCGAGGACGAUCGGGACUUUCUUCUGCUCGCAGAGGCAGGAGGGAGAGUAACAGCUCGGGUUUUGUUGCGCUUUAACUAGCUUGGGGCUUGGGAAAUGGACGGCCCUGAUUUCUCCGGCUACCAAAUGGAGAAUCCUCGCUGUCAAAUGAGAGGGCUGGUUAAGUUUCUUGGGCCUUGACGUUGGUGAUUGGAGAUGGGCAAGGCCCACAAUCCAUGUGGGUAAUGCAGCGCAUAAAACAAGCAGUCUGGCCCAAGGCCUUAAGAUCCACAGCAGAAGCAAUACGAAAAAACCCUUCUACGUUGGAAGCUUAGCCUGGAUUUAAUGGUAACACAAUCGAGAGAAGAAACAUUUGUACUGAUAUUUUCUGAUUAUUACAUAAGGAGCUUGCAAUAUACAGAGUUUUGAGUUGCUGGCCAACCACUGAAAUCAGGUGCGCAUCCAACAUUUACAUUCUCUACCAUUAACCAAACUCAGAAGUCCAAGAGAUAAAAGUAUCCUGAAAACAACAAAAAGAUACUCGGACAAGCUGGAUUCUGCAAGAUCAGACUGCCUCCUUUUCUUCGUAUCCUCCAUCGAUCAUCAGAACUCAGAGAAUCUUCUACCUUCUCACGCUUGUGUAUAUAAAAAGACUUUAGCUUCUUGAAGCUUGAUGGAUCCUGUUUAGUCUGCCUUGGAUCUCGACCACUUUAGGACAUCACUGCAGAUAAAAUUUCUGGAGCUUCUUCAAGUUGGUCAGGUCAGGCAACUUGUCCAUAGAUGGAACUCCUCCAAGCUUGAAGGCACUUGGGUUCUCCAAAACUCGGAGGCCUCUGAACUCUCUCACUUUAGGGCAAUGGGCAACUUCCAAAUCUGACAGCGCCUUUGAAUUUGAAAGGUCUAUUGAUGUUUUUAUUUCUCUGCAUGAUUCGGUAUUUAAGUACAGCAAAUUUGGGGGAAGGCCAGGUCGGCAUUGCAGCUUCUUGGAGGGGACCAGUUCCUGUUCCUUGAGCUAUGAAAGAACAAUGAUGUGUGAAGAUGGGACGACGAAAUAAUGAGAUUUCAACAGCAAGGAUUCCAGCUUCCCUAACCUUCCAAGCUACGAAGGACUUGGAGCUUCAAUGAAUUUGAAAGCAUCAUCAAAAUUGUCAAAACCUGAAUUUUACAUACAAUUUGAAUAUCGAAGUAAUAAAUAACUUAACAUCAAAUGAAUGUCUACAGUGAGAUCCUAACAGCAAGGAUUCCAGCUUCCCUAAACUUGUACAGAAGAUUCACCUUAAAAAUAUAUGUAGAAGCGCAAAUCUAAACGUCCCUAAACUCCAAACCGACCAAUAUGUAUAAUAUUUUUUAGGGAGUGAGUUUAAGUUCAGUAAAUGAAAGCUCUACUUCCAAAAUGGAAGACUUGGGGCACGUUUGGUAACGUUUCUGUUCAAAAAUUGUUCCAGGGAACAGAAAUAGAAAAAAAGUGUUUCUGUUCCGGGGAACAAUUUUUUACCAGAAAGAUGCGUUUGGUAAAUUUGUUCCGGGAAAAAAAAUGAAUAGAAACACGUUUGAUAAAUUUAUAUUCUUUUUUUGUUUCUUUUAAUUUUUUAAUAUUUUUAUUUUAUUUUUCCUUUUUUCCUUUCUUUUUUAUUUUUUCUUCUUUCGGCCGGUUGCCGGUCUUCGGCGACCGGCCGACGGGGCCGGCAGCCUCGCCCAGCCACGGCGAGGCUCGGCCUCGCCAGGGGCCGGAGACGCUUCGGCGAGGUCGCCGACCCUCGACAGCGUCGCCGGCCCUCGACAGCCAGUCGCUGGCCAUGGCCGAGGCCGGCGACCGGCCAAAGAAAAAAGAAGAGAGAAGAAAAGUGUUUCUUCAAAAGUGUUUCUGGAGCAAGAAACAAUUUUUUUUUGUUUCUCAUUUUUGUUCUUUUUGUGUUCCAGGAACAAAAAAUCUGAUUUUGAACAAAAACGCAAACAAACGCGUUUCUGUUCCUUUUUUUGUUCCCGGAAACAAAAAAAACAAAAUUUCUAUUCAUAAACAAAAAAAAAAGAAUGAAAACAUGCAGCCCAUUGACAACCAUUAUGUUCAAAAAAUAGUUUCUAGAAUAGAAAUAGAUUUUUCAAUUUCUAUUUCUAGAAGAGUUUCUAAGUAAAAAUAAUCGUUUGAUAACAACACAAAAUUUCUACUCUAAAAAUAGAAAUUCGUUUGAUAACGACACAAAUUUUUUUCCUUUCGGACAAUAAUGGACCGACAAUCAGCAAGGAUGGACGGCCGGUGGCGACCGGCGACUGGCGGCCGGCGGCGGCGGCAACCGGUGACUGGCGGUGGCGGGGCCGAUGGCGGCAGCGAGGUCGGUGGCCGGCAGCAGCGGGGGCGAAGAAUUUUUAUUUUUGAUUUAUAUUCAAGAAAUAGAGAAAUAUAAAAUUUUAGCUUUUGAUUUCUCUUCCAAACCUAUUUUUGAAAUAGUAAUCUAUUCCAGAAAUAGAAAAACUGAAUAGGUUUAGCAAACGGAUUUCUCUUCCAAAAACAGGUCUGGAACAGAAAAACUAUUGCUGGAACAGAAAUGUUGGUUAUCAUGCACCCCCUUACUCGCUACUGGACCCGAGCACACAACAAUAACAAUUAGCAAAUAAGGUCAUAUAUUAUUAUCAAUAGGAAAACCAAUAUUCACCUAAGACAGUGUAAUUCGUGCAUUAUAUAAAAAUGACUAAUUAUCUGUGCAAUGAAUAAAAUAGAUGCAAUGUAUGACAUUCAUUUUAACACUCAAAUACACACAAUUAAUUAUACCAAAUCUCAUAAUGCAUAGAUAUCAGUAGCUCAUCGAUAUAAACAAGUAAAUAUUUAUUCCCUACUUAUUACUAGCCACGACUCAUCUCGACUAACUCAACUAAUGAGAUAUCGUAACCACUGAAUAAUGCAAGACAAAAUCAUAAACACAUAUUUACCAUGCUUCAACCCAUUCAUCACAGGUAUCCUCCAACGAUGAUAAAUAUAGUACAAACGCAUAAUGAUGGCUAUCCUAGACUCAUUCUCAUCAAGAUUCAUACCCAUUUUAUUUCCUUUCAUUUCUCAAUCUUGGACCUCAAUUUCAUAAAUUCAUAUAUAGGCUAUUCAAGUCACAUCUGGUUAUACAAGUCAUAUAAUUCCAUGUAUAAAUCAUUCUACUUUAUGUCUUCUCAAUCUUAUAAAGAACGGUAGAACAUCUGUCUUUUCCCAGAAUCUUAUAUACAUACUCAGAAAAAUCAAUUAUAGUGUUGGUAUAUUGCCAACAACACUUGUAGAAUUUCAAUGGAGUUGGUAAUUUACAUGAUAUGGGAAACAAGCACACUUGGAGAGCGCACCGCAACAGAAAGUCGUAUGCUGUAUUCGAAAGUGGUGUUACUAAUUUACUUAUGAUACUGGUUAAAUUUCGAAUGAGUUGAUAAUUUACUACUUCAUUGAAAUAUUAGUAAAUUUCUGAUAAGUGUUAGUAAUUCACCUACGACACCGGAAAGUUUUUAACAGACUUGGUAAUUUACCAAUCUAGUGUUUCAAGAGCAUUAGACUUGGUUAGGCUAAAAGCUAUUACAAUUAGAUGCAGAUUGAAGAGUUCAAUUGAGUCACAGCUCAUGAAGGAGUUCAAUGGGGGUCAUUAAUCAUUCAGAAGCCCCCCGUAGAAAUCUGUUUUAAGUUAUCAAAACUAAAGGACCUUUGUGACUAUUGCACAUGAUCAUUAACUAGGGAAGGUUAUGUUCAUGCUAGACACAAUGUUUUGCCCCUACUUCUUCAUUUCCUCAGCGUGGAAAUUUUCAUGGGAAAUGCACAACAAUUCAGUGAAUAUGGUCGCUGAUGUCUAAUUGAAUACGCGACAUUGAAUGCAACACAUUGAACAUUAAUCUCUGAGAAUGAAUUCUGGAGCAAGUCAUCUUGAAUCCUCAAUGAAUUUCUCCCAUGACAAGAUCAAUUACUAAUUGCACCCUCCAAAAAUUUUAGAAGUAAGUAGGACCACAGCAGACCAAAAAAGGGAAGAAAGAAAUUGCAGAACCAAUCGAUUAUAGUAAGGUUUCAUGCUUUCCAGGACAAUAAUAUUUCGGUUUUAGCUAGACCUUGAUAAUCAGAAGAAGAAUCGAGUCCCAGUCGACUAUAUUACAUAAGAUAAAUGAAAUCAGAUAAAUCCCUCCCCCCACCCAAAAAAAAAAAAACUGAUUCCCGAUGCAUGUUCUGAACUAGUUCCUAAGGAGCGAAAAUCGAUCCGCUAAUUGGUGCAGAAGUGAACUGACGCACAGGAGUUGCGAUGUGUUUCAAUAGAAUGUGACUUGGUUAAGGCUAAAGCUAUUAAAGAUUCGAUGCAGUUACGGAAGAAAAUCAAUCGAGUCAGCUCCCGAGUGAGUUCAUCAAAAGGCUGUUUUCAUUGCGUCUGUAUGAUAAGUCAUGACUGAAAAUAAUAAAAACUAACUCAAUCCGUUCCAAAUCUUUUCCUAAUCCGUCACUGAUUGCAUCAAAGAUUCGCACGCGGACCCAAUCCAUGCAAAUGAGAAGAGAAAAUUACCAGAAAAUGAAGACGGGUGAAGAUGAAGAAAACCAAAUGAAGAUGCAGAGCAGGAAGAACCCUCGUUGGCCUGAGUCAGCUGCAACCAAAAUGGAAAAGGAAGACCACAAUCUAUUAACCCCUCGUGGAACAGAUCGGCGGGCACGAAGACGUGGUCGCAGUCCCCGUAGGGAGAUCUCCGCCAGGCCAUAUCGCGUCUUGUGCUUCCGCUCAGGGUCGCCGUCGCUGCUGGCUCUGGGCGAGCUUCUCGCUCGGGUCGUCGCUGACGAGGGAGGAGAAAGAAUAUGAGAAGAGGGGGGGGGGGGGGGGGGGGGGGGGAGAGAGAGAGAGAGAGAGAGAGAGAGAAAGAGAGAGCAACGGGAGAAAAAACGAAACAAAAAAACAGAGAGAGAGAGAGUUGAAAUUUCUCAAGAGUGGGUCUCCCGACUCUCCCCUACACCUAUACGCACCGUUUCGAGAAAAUAUUCCUCACUACUCUGGUAGGUAAUCUCUUCCCCGUGAUUUCCUGUCCGGUGGUAUUCUUACCUCAAAUACUGCGAAGGGUCCUCUCACUUUUUUCAAAUCUCCAUACUCAUCAGAUUCCAGAAUCUCCAAUCUCUCACAUUCUUUUAUUGCCAAUUUCUCUAGCUUCUUGAAGCUUGAAGGCUCCGAAAACUUUUGCAAAGACCUGCAGCCUUCAAUAGAAAGCCUCUCCAGUGAUUCUAGCCUACCUGGAAUCUCAAUCAAACGAGGAAAAUGACCUAAAUUAAAAUCAACAAGCUCCUUGGCAUUGGUCAAGUCAGGCAACUUCUCUAGCAACGGAAGAUUCCUCACACAUAAGUAACUCAAGUUCUUUGAAUAUUCCAGGCCUUGAAUCUCGUUGAGCUUCGAACAGUGACUUAUCAUUAAUACUUCUAUAUGCUUGAAGGUUAAUGGAUCAGGCAGCUUUUCAAGUGAUUGAUAGUGCCAUAAAUUGAGAAGCUUCAACGAAUCUGGCUCACAUUGAACCUCAACCAAUUUAGGACACUUACUUAUAUGAAGUCCCCGAAACUUCUUCAAGCUGGUCAGGUCGAGCAACUUCACCAACAACGGAAGACGAACAAGAUGAAGGGCUGCCAAGUUUUUCAAAUGUCGGAGGCCUUGAAUCUCCAUUAGUUGUCUACAGCAAUGGAAUUCCAAUCUCGAUAACUUCUCCAAAUAUGAAAGAUUUAUCGACUUUUCCAUUAACCCACGCCCACGAAUAAUGAAGUAUGACAAAUUUUGGGGAAGCUUAGGUAAGUAUUCUAGGUUAUGUGCGAUGAGUUCAAGCAUCCUGAGCUUCAAAAGGAGAUUAAAAUCUAAAGGUAAGAAGAUUAGACCAUCAUAACGCAACCACAAGGUUUCUAGCUCUCUUAAUCCUACGAUCCAAUUGAGGCUUGGAGCUAGAGGGGAAGGGGUUUGAUACUCUAUAUCCAACGUCAAAUCUCUCAAAUUUAAUAGGUUUGAGAGGUCUGGACAUCUCAUCUGUAAAUUAUGGCGCAAGUAUAUAUUGGUCAUACUUUCAGGAAGCUUAGGUACAUCGGAAAUUCCCGUGCUCGUUAAUCUCAAGAUUCUCAAAGAUGAUAGUCUUCCAAUCUCACUUGGAAUUUCCCCACACAAAUAUUCACAGUCAUAAGCUUCAAUCUCUUCAAGCUUCUCCAACAUCCCAAGGGCGCUAGGUAGCUUUUCUAAGAUGGUGCCAGAGAUCCUUAGUACUCUCAAAUUCUUCAUUGUCUCUAUUGAAGUGGGUAACUCUCCUAUCCUCGACAGAGAAAGAUUCAACUCAACGAGAGAACCAAAAUUCCCAAUUGGAAAUUCACUAAUACUUGUACUCGACAAGCGAAUAUAUAACGGUGAUGUUGAGCAACCAACUAAAUUGCAUUCACUCAGUAAUACACAUGAACUUGCACCGAGAGUUUCCAAUUUCUUCAUUCCUUUCCAUUCAGGAAUUCUGGUAAUAGAUGUCUCGUCAAGAAGAAGUUCUGUCAAGGCUUCCAGUUCCUCCAUCUCGUAUGGCAAUGUAUGAAGUUUCGUACAACCUUCCAAGUUUAAAAACACCAACUUCUUUAACUUACCAAUAGACCUAUCAACUUGAACCAAUUCCUUGCACCCUUGAAGAAUUAGUUGCUCUAAAUUUUCAUGAGCAGCAACGUUAGGAGUUUUACACAAGUUUAUGCAUUUAGUCAAAUUUAGAACCUUCAAAUUCUUUGCCAUUUGUAAUGAAGAGAAGAGGUUAAUUCUAGAUCAUUUUGAGAUACAGGACAAUAAAGUUAAUAUAGCAAAUUCAAGUUGAAAUAAUACCAUACCUUGAGGUGGUUCCAUCCCUCCCAAUCAUUUGUAAUCUGACUUCGUGAUAGAUCAAGAAUCACUAUCUUCUCAAGGGAAAACGCAGUCAACUGGAAAAAGAUGGGAAACUCAUGCCAAGAGAGAUAUCUCAAAUUCGGAAGGAUGAGCGGAUUUUUACAGAACUGCUUGGUUGAAGGACGAUGCUGAACAAAUUUAUGCCAUGAGAGCCAUCUCAACUUUGGAUGGUUGAUAGAUUCCUUUGGAACCAGUUGGUUAAAGAAAAAUGCUGGACAUUUUUCUUAUCCAAGUCUCCACAAUUUACUUGAAGAAACCUUAAAUUUGAUAAGCUUUCAAAUUCUUUCUUCUUAAAGAAGUGUUGAGAUCGAUGAUCAAACUUGAGACGUAUUGCUUCAACAUUUUCUGCUCCCUGCCAAAGCGGAAAAAAAAAAUUAAACAGAAGCUAAUGAUCACAUAAUUGCCUGUCGAAGGGAUUCAAAUUGAAGAUACUUUAGGAAUGUGCAUUUUAUUCGUACUUUCAAAUUGAUUUAUAAUAUGAUUUACAGAUAAGCAUGUCAUCAUGGUAAGCAAACAAGUAACGACUUGGUUAAGAUAGAAGUAAAUAGCCAAAAUCAACGUGUAUAACUCGUCCCUCUUUGAAUAGGAAUAACAUUGCACACACUUUACCUUUACUAUGAGGAUAUCAUUUGCUUGUUCAUGAUCCCACACUUGACUUUGUUUCUUUGGUCUAGAUGUACCAAACCGACGAACGAAAUGUCACCCAAGGUCUCUUAGCAGAUUAUGCAUCCACAAUUGGUCACGUUUUGUAAUCUUUAUUAACGACAUCUGUUGGAGGACAUCAAGAUAAUAGUCAGGUAAAAACCCACAGCUUUUCCACAUGUGCCUCACAAUUUUCACAUCAAACCCAACGAAGAAGCAACAAACAUUGAGAAAUAUUUCCUUUGCAUUUGGUUGUAAUGCCUCGAUACUGAUGUUUAGCUUUUCUUCAACAUUUUCAUCGGGAAUAGUUUCUAGCUUCUCUAAUGUGGUCUCCCAAAAUCUUCUAUCUUUUCCAGCUAAAAAUGAACCUAUGAUCUCGAGAGCCAAAGGAAGAUGACCACAGACUUUUACCACUUUUUCGGGGAGAGGGGCGUAUUCUGCUGGAGGAUGAUCACUUCUAAACACAUGUUUGCUAAAUAGUUGAAGAGAAUGAUCAAAAUCCAUUCCAAUAAGUUCGUGCUUCAACUCAACAUCUUUGAGAACUUCUUUGUUUCUUGUGGUAAUAAUAGCCUUACUUCCAUAGCCAAACCAACAUUUACCCAUUCCCACAAGAGCAUCUAGCUUAGCCUUUUGAUCGACACCAUCAAGUAGAAGUACGACCUUUGUAAAGGAUAACAACUCCUUGAUCACUUUUUUCCCUUCAUCGAUAUCAUUGAUGGUCGCUUGUCUCUUUCCUAGGACAAUGGAGAUAAGUUGAUUCUGCAAACUUUCAAUUUUCAUAUCUCCAAUGUUGGACAUGGAGCAACAUUUAGUGGAAUCAGUGGUCUGUUCACCUAUCACUUCCGUGAUUCUGUCCACUUGAUUGUCCAUUUCAACAGAGGAAUUAGACAAGAUGUAAUCUUUAGUAGAAUCAGACAACAGUUUGUUAUAGACGAUUUUGGCAAGAGUUGUCUUUCCAACACCACCCAUACCAUAGAUACCGACAAUCUUUGUUUUAGUGGCCUCACCUAUUAAUUCCAUGAUUCUGUCCACGUGAUUGUCCAUUUCGACCAAGAAAUCAGGUACCGCCAAGUAAUUCUUUUUCAAUUUGAUCAAAACCUUCUAAGCAACUUCUCUUGUGAACUCACCUUUGCCUCUGAUAGUAUUGAAGGCAAAAGAACAAAAUUAUUAAAUCAAGAUGAACAGAAUAAUAUCUAAGGUACAAACAAAACAUGCACAAUAAUAAAUUCAAGUACUUGUCCUUGAGUUCCCAUCCCUUUAAUUCUCCAACCUUGUUGAGAGCUACCUUCCAAUUCUGAAUAGUCUCAUCAGUAUACAGCUGCUUAUUAUGUGUGACUGAAUGGCCUCGCCAUAAGUUGCAAUCUGGUUACGAACCUUGGAUGGUUCAAUGUCAUAGAAAAUUGGCAUGAUCUUUUGUCCCAACUUUUCCUUACAUUCCACCAUCUGAACCAACUCCAUAAGGCACCAUUUAUGCGACAUCCCGAUUUUCCAAUUCUAAUUUUAAUAAAUUGAGACGGGCAUUUCGUUGGUAUGCAUAUAGUUCCUUUCCUUGAGUCAGCCACUCAUGUGAAAAUUAGUCUAUCAGGUAAAGCCGUUAAGAAAUUCUAAUGCAUCAGACUCGAGAAUUUGAUCAGGAAGCGACCUUUCGACCGAGAUAAUCUGCAAGGGUCAUUACGGCACAAAUAAAAAUCGAUUAGAAAUUGGAGAUAGGUCGGCUCGACAGAGGCAUGUGAUCAGGUGUGGGUGAUUCCACUGGAUCGCACAAUUCUUGUCGAUCGGCACCGGACCGACUUUUCUAUUGAUUGGGUACCCUGUGCCCGUAUUUGAAACCUUGAGAUUUCCCCUACAACAGAAAGUUGCGAAUGUGCCAAAGAUGUAUAUUGUGGCUUGAAUUGAUCAACCACAUGUCAAAUGCACAAAAAUUUCUAAAAACUACUCGGUAGGUUGAGCCGCGCUAGUAUCGUGCCAAAGUGAAAUUAACCGUGAAAUUGAGAUCGAAUUCUGAAAUUGGAAGUCCUGGUGUGUCACAAAUUCUAUUAGGAACAUUGGAUUAAAUUAUGAAUUUUAAUUUGGACUCAAUCGGAAGAGAAUUGAUGGGAAUUGAAGAAAUUGAAUGUACAAGAAUUGGACCCCGACGGAAAAUGAAAUUUGCACCCAUUGGAAGAGGUUGUAGAGGAUUGAGUUAGUGGAGUGAUGUCAUGGUGUGGGGACAAGAGUGACUAGGAUCUUGACAAGUGGAGGGAUGAGAUGGGCUCUUGAAAAGGUGGGCUUUCACUUCAUCUUCUUCCUUGAAUCAAGGGAAAUUGUUGGAUUUUGAAGAGAGAGAGAGAGAGAGAGAGAGAGAGCAGCCGGCCAUCAGAACCUCCUUCAUCCGCCCUUCUUCGCUGCUCGGUUGCUCGCUCGGCCGGCCACCGUCUCGCCCGCGUUCCUCGUCGCUCGCCGUUCGUCGGAGCUCGCACGUUGCUGUCCCAUGUGCGAGCUGCCUUGUCUCCAUCCGCCGAGCCUCCCGCGUUGUCGUCUCUCCUCGCCAACAGCUAUUCGUCGUCGCCGGAGUCUCCAUCACCGCCGUUCGUUGCUGUUAGCUGCCGUCCCGAGCCUUAGCUGCUUCCGCCGGUCUUCCUCCGCCUUUCCUCCACCCGAUCAGCCACCGUGCCGCCUCCCUCCAAGCUCGGUUAGUUGCUGGAAAAUCCAGCAAGACCCAGCCCCUUCCAAGCUCGAUUUGGUCUCCUAUUAGUUCUCAUUUGGUGUUGAUCCGUGUAGGUUUGUCGUCGACGUCGUCGUGCUCUUCGCCGGAGACUCAUCGAUUCUGGUGAGUUUAGCUCACUAAACCUCGAUUAGUGGGUUAAUCAUGCCUUAAGUGUGUUUAGCUUGGGUUGAUUGAGAUUAUGUUGUUAGAUUAGUUUAUUUAGAUGUGGAUUAGAUUAAGUUGUUUAAUUAAAGUAAAGUAUGUUUAGUUUAAGGGUUAAGUAGGUUUAUUUUAAAAUAAGCCUUGAUGUGACUUAAAGGAAUUUAUUUAUGAUUUAAAUAAAUGUUUCAAAAUUGUUAGAUUAUUUAAUAAUAUAUCAUAUUCCGAAAAUCAUUAAAAUAUUAUUUAAAAAAAAACUUGAAAAAAUUAUUUUUGAUCCUAAUUGCUCAGAAUUUCGUGCCGAUCGCCGCUGUAUAGUUAGAAUUUGAAAUUGAUGAAUGGUUAAUGCAAAUUGAGUGUUGAUUGUGGAAAAUAUGGAUUUUAUUUAAAAAAUCUCAAAUGUCGGGUUUGACAUCGAAAUUGGAUUUUUAAAGAUUAAUAUUGUAAUUGGGGUAUGUGAGUGAUGUGCAAAGUGCCUUGGGUUGAUUAUGAGUUGCUGCAUGAUAAUUAUGAGGAAUUGUCUUGUGCUAUUAAGCUGGAAUUGCCCCUAUAUGGGAUGCCACAUACAACGGAUGCAAGUCGCAGUUGAUUCUGGGCCCAUGCUCCUUUAGGAACGCCGCCGAUGUACUGACGAAGCCACGCUCCAAGGUGGGGAGGCGAUGCCUGGCUAUAUGUCAGUAGAUAACCGAACUGUGAGUAGGCUAUGCCUUUGUGUGGCAGUGAACAAUGAUUGGAAUGCUUGUUGUGAUUGCGAAUUAAGUGAAAUUGAUUGUGUUCCAAUGAUUUAAGUCCCUGUUGUUACCUGUGAUUGAGUGAUAUGAAUUGUACUAAUCUGCAGGAAGGCAAGAAGGUGAGGUAAGUCUUCUGUGCUAUGUGGCUAGACCACUCUAGGGCGUAUUUUCUUUGUAAUAGGGGUUUAGGAGGGGUGAACUUGCUGAGACAAUGUCUCAUCCCGGUUUGGGGAAAAUAUUACAGGACCGUAGAUGGCGGGACCCCCAGAGACGAAUGGCAUCCCAAUGUAGAUCAUCGAGCAGGUGCACAACUUCCCUGAUCCUGGGAGCCAUUGGGUCUACGAGCUGAUCAGGACUACCAUAUGGAUCCAGGAGCCUGAAGAUGUUAGGGUGCCCCAUAAGUAUAGGGCUUGGUUCCGUUUUUGGGCCAAUGGCUUUAUGAUUGGUCCACUUGACAGUUUUGAUAUUCCACUGGCCGUGAUGGAUGCUAUUCUGGGUGAGGGUGUAGCUGACCUUCCUGAUGGUAGGGUGGAUAACCCAUCGUCUCCGGACCCAGUGCAGUCAGAUGUGGAGGAUGUGGGAUCGACGAACGAGUCCGAUUAGUAGUUAUAGGACCGUUCCUCUUUUUGGUGACCGAUCCAUGUUGCGUAAACUGACCCAUUUUGAUGCACAUAAACUCUGACUUAUUUUUGGUGCAUAUAGUCUCUGAAUCCUAUUUGUGUAUGUAAACUCUGGAAUGAUGAUAUGUGAAAGUAUGUGGUUUGAUUUUGAAUUGAUCUUUCCUGCUGUCCUAUCCCAUAUGAUUUUGAUAGGAGUUUCUUAGCACGUUCCGCAUGCGCAAUAAUAUAUGAAUGGGGUCGGCAACACUACCUGGGAAUGUCGCAUAUUCAUGACCAUAGCGGGUUGUUCACGUGUCUCGAGGUUCGGGGCGUGACAAUUUACUAGCAGCGUAUUCUUUAGAAAAGAUAGGAAUUGGGAUUUUCGACUGCUUAAUCGCUUGGAGAAGCUCCGGGCCAAUCUCUUCCCCAACGUGAAGCUCUUCAUCAUCUCUAUAUGCCCGUAUUCCAGCAUCAAUGAGGCUAUUGUAAAGGAUAUCAGUGAUGUCGUGGCGAGUAUCUGGUCCUCUAAAGCUCAAGAACACUUCAUAAUAAGGUUCCAUUGGCUUCUCCACUCCCUGAAUUUUCAGAGGACUUGCGACAACUCGAUAUCCCACCAGGAGAAACGUUUACUAUGAAAGUGGAGUGAUGAUUAUCAUGAAUGAGAGGAGAUUACCAAAGAUGGAGGAGUGAAGAUGAAGAGUCCGGAUCAAACGCUAAGAAGCAUAUAAAGAUCCCCCAGAUCAAUCGUUCUUGGGUUUGAGCUCCGCUGAAGAAAGACUUUUCGCAAGAUGGCUCGCUCGCCCUCGCAUGCAAUGCUCUUCUAGGAAGGUGAGGACUUGCGAGUUGCACGUAUACUUAAAGCCAGCCGUUGACUUGCCAAUGAUUUGUUGGCGCAAACCACCAGAGUUCAAAUAGACGAGAUUUUAACGCAUGUUAUUAGUUUGGAAAUCAUAUAAUUAUAUUGAUUGAUAUUCUUUUAACGACGAUGAAACCAUUCUUUAGUUGUAGGUGAAACCCUAGGCCCAUUUAAAUUCAACAUAAAUUGAAUCUACAAUUGUAGAAUCCACACUUGUAAGUCUUUGAGAUAAUUUAUAUUAUUCAUAGUAAACUUAUAAGACUGGAGUUAGUUUUUAUGCUCUGUUUGUUUCGUAAAAAAAUAAAUAAUUUGAAAAUAAUUUCUUAAAUAUGAUUACUUGUAUCGCGUGAAAUAAUUAACUAAUGAAAUAUACUUUCAUUGUGAAUGACAAUUUAUGUCUAAAUAAUUUCGUGAACGAUAAAAAUAUCUUUUGUUUAUUCAUUUUUGUAAGCGAUAUAAGUGAUCAUUUUAAAAAAAUCCGUUUCAAAUUAUCAACUUUCCGCAAAACAUACAUACCUUUGAAAAAGUUACAGUGCAAGUGGAUGGUAAUCAACAAUCAUUUUUUAAUUGGCUAUAAAAUCUUAUUAAAUUCAUUAAAAAAGAGAGUACAUCUUGGAUCGCCCCUGGGAGCGGAGAAAUACAACGAUCUUCCAAAAGAAGUAUUGAAAAUCCUAAUUCUAACCUAAGUCUAAAUUGGAAAAUUACGUGAAAAACAUAAACCUUAGUCAACAACCCUUUGGGAAGAUGUGCAUAGCUCAUCAUGCACGGCGCACGGCACAUGUAGAGCACUUGCAUGCCACAUGUAAGACACAUGGAAAUUUCAACGACUGCCGAGGAAAAAUGCGUCGGAAUUGCAUAGGGUCGAAGGCUCAAAUGGGCUAAAUUUAAGAAUUCAAUGAUUUAAAGAGUGCAAUUUGAAUGAAAUUCAUAAAAUCGACUCGGUUUAAAAUUAAUACAUUGAAAUUAUUGUGGAUCAAAUGCUAAGAAGCAGAUAAACAUGCCAGAACAGAAGAAAGACUUUCAUUAAAGAGUCUACUCACCUUCAAGUGCCAUACCCUUGGAAGGUAAGGACUUGCUACUCAUCCUAGACGCAUUAUAAUUUUACAUACAUUAAACCUAAAAAUAUAGAACUGAUACAUAUAACGUAUUUGAGAUGGAUUAUGUUAGACUUAUUCACAAUAAAUUCAUAGACAAGAAUUAGGUUUUAAUUUCAAAAGCUGCAUUUGGCCACAAAGGAAUAACGCUCCAAAAAAUUUACAACAAGCCUUCAAAAAUAGCUAUAGUUGAAAUAUUCCAGAUGAGUUUACCAUGAGGCAGCAAUGCUCUUUUUACAUAUAUAUAUAUAUGGUUUUGUCCCAAUUUAUUUCUCAUAUGCGGGUAAUGGAAACGCUUUCAAAAUAGACAUCUCUCCAAACUGUUCAGAAGCCAUUUGAGUUGCUAAUAAAUCAAAGUUUCCCUAAGCAUGGAGAGCAGAGGGAGCGUAAGUUCUAGACACAAGGUUUGCAGUAAACAUGACCUCUAUGGUCUUUGGCCAAAGCGGCAAUGGAGGUAUUAGAGUCUUGCAUCAAUGUUCACUUGAAGUAAGGGGGAAGGAGUCCAUUUUGGAGGUUCAUUGUUCACAACUCGUGACUACGAGCAACGUUCCAUCACAACUCAUGAUAGAUGUCCUGUAUGUGUCGAAUUACUGAAGAAAGAUCCAUUGGGGAGCGAGCUUCCAGAAUUUUGUUUCGACGCUUCCAUAAACCCACUAAACUAUCUCGACCAUAUCGCAAAAAUCUUCGCAAUAAAUGUCAGGUGGAAGGCCGAAAGCGAGGAGGCGCAGAGAUCACAUAGCACACGUGUAAAAAACAGAACCGCAAAAGAAGUUGAUAUGUCCAAGCCCCAGCCAACUCGACUCCAUACAAUUCAGGUCAUCCACUCUCUUCCCCUUUUGUCAGGGCGAAUUUGACUGAUCAUUAUUUUUCGAAGUAAAAGAGCAGUUUUGUUCUAACUAGAUCUUAGGGAGAGAUAUGACCUUUACCUAUUUAUGGAAUAAAUACGACAUCUUGCCCAUGGAAUGUUGACAAGACAUCGAAUGCAUUUUGUGCAGAUCUCAACAACCGAGAGCAGAUUCUUAUGAAGACUGUACUUCUGAUUAACUUGGAGGUAAAGGACAACCAUGAGGAGGCAGCAACUGGAGCUCAGCUUGCUUUAAAUCUUUGUCGAGAGGUCUUUGACUGUUUGUACUUUAUGUAUUAAUGAUAGUAAGCUUAAUUUCUGUAUGCUGAGAAAUUGCUUAUUGUAAUUUCUGGUCCACAGAUAGAAGCAGCCGAGGAGGAAUCCAUUGAUGAAAUUGUUUCUAAUUUUCAGAACCAGAACAGGCGGAAAUUUUUAUUCAGCAUUUCCUUCUAUUGAUGACCGUGGUGAGGGCAAGACUCUUGCUCUGAAAGCUUUAUGAUCCAUGUCGUUGUUCUGUUAGUAUUUUGUCUGCAAAUUUAUAUGUCGAUGUUCUGUUAGUAUUUUUAUUCUGUCUGUCCAUCUACUUGCACAAUUGGUAAUAUACUUAAAUACAUUACCAGAUUUCUUCCAACGCUGUUACUGUUUGCUUUGCACGAAGCCUUCCCUAGAAAUCUUACCUUUCUAAGCCCAGCGAGCCCUAUUUAAUCCAUUACACAGCUAAUCAUUUCAAUAUACCCUAUCCUGAAUUUGAUCUCUUCUUAUGUCAGGAAGACUGAAUCAGGCUCUCCCAUGUUUCUACGCCUUUGCUUGAUCUUGGUAUUCCAUGCGAAUUGUUGGGUUUGAUGAGCACUUUCCUUGACUACUCGUUAGAGGUAGGUCAUUUUGCAACAGUAUCUCUAUCUGCAUAAUGAGAAUUGUCAUUCUCACGCUUUGAAUUUAAUUUGCUAGAGAAGCCUAUUCUUUGCUGUUAUCGCCAAGCCUAUCAUACUAAUGCGCUGCAUCUAUCCACUUUCAGAUAACACUGCAUCGAUGUGGAAAAGAAAUUCUGAGUCGAACCCUUUUACACUCACCUUAUCUCUGGAAUGUCGACGCAUGAUGAUGUAUUAGUAAUUAGAAGCAAGCCAUGUAUUAGUAAUUAGAAGCAAGCCAGUCUUGCUUAGGAGUGAAAAUUCUAUUAUUUCUUGUAGUUUUUUUUUUUUUUUUUAAGUUUCUUUGUACUGCAGAACUAAUUCUGCGAUGGUACUCAUGUCGAGAGAGUGGGAAGAAAAGGGAUUCCGGCGUAUUGCAUAUAAUUUCUUUGAAUGCAACAGGUUCAAAACCGCCUCUAUUUUCAUUUUUUCUGUAUCGUGCAUAUGAAAAGAAAAACAAGAGAACAGAACCAACCUGACCUGGUCAGUCAUUUGAUGAUUUGGUCCUGUGUUUUUGGCAGGGUUUACAAUUCAAUGGAUCCUAUUUAUUUGAGAUGAGUUGGUUUUUGAAAAGAAAAUUACUAAAAAGCAGAAACUUCUAAUUUGAGUUCAUAUAGAGAUCGUCAGUUUUCUUGCUGGCUUGUUGGUCAUUCCUAGGAUCCUGUCCUUCAACUUGCUUUCCUCACUUCCUGGAUAAAAAUUCCCUUGCGUAUUCAUUUAAAAUAAUAAGCUCUGAUAAUUUGUCGAGAUUACCUAGUACUGACACACAAAAGUCAUCUCCAUGUAUGGCUUGCACCAAGGUUUGCAGUUUCACAUCUCAAAGGGGAGGAUGCUUUCUUGACCUCGGCGCAAGUGUCUUUUUCGGAAUGUUCAAAUGCCAGUCUCUUGAGCCAGUGAAUUCUUCUAUUCUGCUGUUACUUUGAGCCGGUGAAUUCUUCUUCUUCUCUGCUGUUCCUUCGGGAAGACAAUGCAGUCCAUUGAUCCGUCUGUGGAAAUAAAAUUUCUCCUCUUUCUGAACCUUCAAUCUCCUCUGCAUUAAUUUGUAUAACACCGAACGCUCCAGUUAGUUGUGGUAUGCUCUACCCUAAUGCAGAUCUUCUGCUCCUUAUGUACAAAUAGGCUUGUGUUUGCAUCGUGUCAGCUACAACCCAACAGUGCCAGUGAAACUUGGCCAAACAACAGUGCGCAUUAGACACAGAAAAGAGAGCUCUUCUGCUCACACAUAUGAUCAAAUGUUACUAUGGUAUGAAUGAUGAAGAGAAAUUGAAGGAUAAUGACUCUCCAUGAACUAACAAACAGCGGCAUCAGCCAGCAUUUCCAUUUCAGAAUGGCGACAUACCAAUCUCGCUUCAUCUGUCCUAAGAGAUCUUAACAAAGAAUAAAUAUCACCCUUAUGAGUGUGCCUCUUGUCCUUGACAAUGAAGACAUGAACUUGACCCUGAAUUUCUAUCCAGCUACAACCAGGCUGCUUGACUACUCCUCGUUGCCUCAUCAGCUUCCUUAUUCUGACGACAUCGCCCCAUUUUUUGCUUUCCACGUACAUGUUUGAGAGCAGAACAUAAGGUCCAGAGUUCGAAGGGUCAAUCUCUAAGAGCUUCUCCGCUAUGUGCUUUCCUAGCAUUAUAUCCUUAUGAACUUUGCAGGCUGCGAGCAGCGAACCCCAAACGACAGCAUCGGCUUGCAUGGGCAUUGCCUCUAUUAAGUCCUUUGCUUCACUGAGACAACCAGAUCGGUUGAGCAAAUCAACCAUGCACGUAUAAUGGUCCUUUACCGGUGCCAGACCAUACUCCUCGAUCAUCCGCUUGAAAUAAUGGCACCCCUCUUCGACCAGCCCUGCAUGGCUGCAUGCACAUAGAACCCUGAUCAUAGUGACACAGUCUGCUCUCUUGCCAGAUACCAACAUUUUCCUGAAUAUUUCAAGCGCCUUUAUCCCGUAACCAUUCUGCGUAUAUCCGACAAUUAUGGCAUUCCAUGAGACCUUGUCCCUCUCCAACAUAUUUUUGAACACCCAUAAACCAUCUUCCACAGCUCCACAUUUAAAGUACAUGUCUAUAAGAGAAUUUCCAACAAAAAUAUCAGAUUCUUCUCCAGACUGGAAGCGAAAUCUGUGCUUCAAGACAUGAGCAUGAGCCUGCAGCCCCAACUGCAGAUCAGCAAGAUUUGCACACGCAUUGAGCAAAUUUCCAAAUGCGUAGUGCGUCAGCACAAUGGCUUCCCUCUUCAAAAGGCGGAAUAAACCAAAUGCUUCUUCAUUCUCUCCAUUCUGGGUAUACCCUGCAAUAAGGGCAUUCCAAGAAACUACAUUCUUCUCCAUCAACCUUUGAGACUUGCUGCCUUUGCAUACCCACUUACCAUGGAGGUGGCUGACACUAUAUCCCUGGUAGGCAUGCUGUCAAAAACUGCUCUGGCCUCACUAAUUCUAGAGCACUUAGAAUACAUAUCAAACCAAUGCAUUUCCUAAAACGACAUCAUUUCUAAAUUUGUCACAUUUUACAACAUGGGCUUGAAUUUGCAUCCCUUCCUUAAGUGCCGACAGGCUAGCGCAUGCGCUGACCACACUGGCUAAAGUGACCUCAUCUAUAUCAAACCCACAAUCCAUCAUGCUCACGAAAACCUCAAGAGCUUCACUGGCUGGACCAUUUUGUUCAUAACAUGUAAUCAAGCUGUUCCAAGAAACUACGUUUCGAGAACUCAUUUCAUCAAAAGCCCUCUGUGCACAAGCCACGUUGCCACACUUGGAGUACAUGUCGAUAAGAGCAGAGCCCAUAUGAACAUCGGACGAGCACUUGGACUUCGAUAUCAAAGCCUGGAUCUGCUGGCCCAGAUCCAUAUCCCCUAACCCGGCGCAUGCACUAAGAGGACUACGGAAUGAGUACUCAUUAAGCACAUAAUUCUCCCUAUGCAUCUUACCAAAACAUCGCAAGGCUUCUUCGAAUCUUUCAUGCUGCACAUAACCUGACAGCAUCGAAUUCCAUAAGCACUGGUCAGGUUCCGGCAUUGACCCGAAUAUCUUUUCCGCUUCAUCAAGAGAACCCAGUCUGAUCAACCCUCCUAAGAUCGCAUUCCGCGUGAAGGUAUUCUUCUCAGGCAUUCUAUCGAACAUCCUGUGGCCGUCGUCGAGGCACCCGCAUCUCACAUAGACAUCGAUGAGCCGGUUCUGGAUGAAAACCUCGGCGGAGAACUGGGUCUUAAUGAUCCGAGCGUGGAUGUGGCACGCGUCGCGCGCUGACAUGGACAGACCGCAGCCGUCCGGGAGCUUGGCGAAGGGGGACGAGGUGGCGAAAGACAGAUAGCCCGCCAGAGCCUUGACCUGCGCAUGCCUCGCCAUUCCAUCAUAUCAUCGUAAGAAGGGAACUCUCUCGGAGAAGAUUCGCAAAGGUGCAAAUUGAAUGCGAUGGGGAGUUUCUGUUGACCGUUAUAUGCUUCCCCGCUUCAGCCAGACGCGCGGGAACAUGACACGAGCGCUCAUAUGAAGUGGGGCAAAGUUGCAGUGGCAAAAUGGUAAUUUAGCAUAACAGUCUACUAAUUAGACUCAUGACUAUGAAUUAAAUUUUUAACUAUGAGUAAAUCUAAGCUAUAAAUUGAAAUAUGUCACCCUUAAUGGGUAUCUUGUUGUAAGUCACUAAAUUAAGAUUAGUCAUAUUUAAAAUCUAUACUUAUUGCUUUAUCAAUUAUAGUCAUAAGCUUAAUAUAUGACAAGUCAAUUUUAUUGAGAGAUAGCUGGAUUAUUUACAAAUCAAACAUAAAUUCUUGUUUAGUAAUUUUGAUCAUUCUAAUUAUAACUCAUUCUGACCAAAACAAAAAAAUUGUAACUCAUCAUUGAAAAAAUGCAAAAACCAAUUCUAGAGAAUGAAAAUUAGAUCUAUGCUGGAUUAGAUGGGAUAUCUUUUCAUCGGCCCCCUCCCUCGAGGAAUAGCUAACCUUGAUUUUAAGAGAAUAGCUAUUUCUUUGAUGGAGCUAAUCUUGAUUUACUUCUUAACCAACUAAGGACUAUCUUUUCAUGAGUAGAUUGAGAAUAAUGUAGCUAUUGUGAUAUUUUUGUAUUAACUCACAAUAUUGGUAAUGUUCUAACUUAAUUGCGCUUAACUUUAGAGUAAAACUACCAAGAUAGGUGGCUGUACCUUCAUGAGGUCACUUAUCUUGAUAAUGCUCUAACUUGACCACGCUUAACUUUGGAGUGGAAAUAUUUAUUGAUCUCAUGGGGAAGUGCUUGUCUGCAUGCCAAAUGAUAAAAUCGUGAAGUUUGAAAUGGGAUGGGUCUCAAUAGAUUAUAUCUCAAGUGAAUUAACUCAAAAACAUCACAGUUAUCUGUCCUAGAACAAAAGGUGCAGUUGGAUUUUCAAUUAAGACGCUUCUUGUUCAAGUAAGGUUUGUCCCUUUUGUUUUGUUUUGUUUUUUCGCUUUUUAUUUUUAUUUUUUAUUGUUGAAUGAAUAAUUUGGACAUCGUCCUGUUAUGGUAAGAAAAAUCAAUUGAUCUUCUAAAAUGUGCGUUGCUGUGAGCCUUUGUGAGGGAGAGCUUCAUGAUAAGAAAUGAAGCCCAUCUGAACGCACAUCCAAUCUGUCAAGGCUUUGAAACUCUUUCGGCUUUAUGCGACCAAGAACCGUCACAUCUGGGAGUUGUCUCCGGUUUUAGAAAGGUCUAUUGAUGUUCUUAUUUCCUGGUGAAGUAGGAUAUGUAAGACAGACAAAUUCCUGGGAAGCCUAGGUAAGAACCUGAGGUUCUUAAAAACUGAGGACAAGUUUCCUGAGCAGAGGAAGGAGAAUGAGAUAUGAAGAUAUGGUGGUGAUUUGCCGGGCUUUCAAGACUCUAGUUUGCUUAACCUUCCAAUCCACCAAGGAUCAUGGAGCUUCUUUAAGUCCGUAAGUGUCCUCAGGAUACCUCAACGCAUAUAAACACAGCCCAACUUGGACUGAGGUGCAAUAAUAAAAACGAACAUAUUCAUAACUUAUCUUUCUGUAACUCACCUGAACUUCAAGUGCCUCCUCGUAAUUUCCUAUACUACUUAGCUUCUCGAGUUUCAUAUCAUUUGCUUCACGAACGGUAUCUCUCCCAAGGUCUCUUAACCAAUCACGCAUCUGCAGUCGAGAGUCUUUUCUAAUUUUUAUUAGUCAUCUGCUGGAGAACUUGAACAGCUUCUUCAGAGAAGAGAUUACAGCUCUCCCACAUGUGACACAAUUCUUUUAUCAAACGCAAUGAAUAAUCGAGCAAUAUCUAAGAAUAUGUUUUCUGUCAAGAAUCUAAUGCCUCAAUCCUGAUCAUCAACUUCUUUUUAACAUCCUCAUGAGGAAAUUUUUCCAACCUUGUCAAUAUGGUAUUCAGCUUUGUUAUGGUUUUCCCCGACAAGAAUGAACCUGCAACCUCAAGUGCUAGAGGAAGACCAUCGGAAAUAUUCACCACUUGUAUUGAAACAAGGAUGUACCACUUUGAUGGAUAAUCUCUUCCAAAGGUGUGUCUGCUGAAACGUUGGAAAGAAUGAACAAAAUCCGUGCAAGUAAGUUCAUAAGUGCAAUCAACCAUAGUCGCACUGAGUACUCCCACGUUUCUUGUGGUAAAACCAAUCAUGCCUUGCCACGAGAGCGUGUAAGUGUAUUCUUAUGUCGACAUCAUCAGGAAGUAGAACUCUUCCGGAGGAUUACCUCUCCUUAAUUGUAUUUAUCCCUUCAUCACUAUUAUUGAUUUCUGACCAUUUCCAUACUAGAGAUGAGUUGAUUCUGCAAAUACUCUACACUCUUUUGCUUUGACGUUUCUCGAAUGUCAGCAAGGAAGCAAUGGCAAUUAAAACCAUCUCAAAAUUUAUUGUAGACAAUUUCGGCAAGUGUCAUCUUUCCAACACCACCCAUUCCAUAAAUUCUGAUCAUGCUUGUUUCAUUCGUGCGAGCGCCAAUCAUCCUCAUGACUUCAUUUACAUAACUAUCCACUGCAACCAAGAAAUCUGAUAUUACCAGUAGGCCUUUUUCAACUCCAUCAAAACCCCCAACCAAAAAACAAAAAACAAAAAAAAAAACUCAAUGAACUCCAUCAAAACCUUCCUGACAACUUCCUUUCAGAACUUACCUUCCCUCUGAUGGCGUUCAAUGCAAAAGAACCAAGAUGUUGAAAUGAGUUAAACAAAGUUCCUUCCAGGAAACAAACAAGUCAUAAGGGAUGAAUUUAGUUACCUUUUGGGAUUGUUUUGGAAGUCCCUUCCCUUUAUUGCUUUAACCUCAAUGAAAGCAGCCCUCCAAGUGUGGAGAGUCUCAUGAUCAAGCCGCUUCUUGUUUUCAUGAGAAUCAAAGGCUUUGUUGUAGAAGCCAGUUUGAUAUCAUACCCCUCAUGGUCCAACAUCAUAGAAAUUACGUCCUCUUCUUUUCCUGCACUCUGCCAUCUGCACCAAUUCGUUGAGGCACCAUUCACUGGCAGCAUAUCCCUUAGAGAAGAUGGGUAUCAAGGAUUUUUAACUGCUCCAUCGCUUGAAGAAGAAGCCCUUCAUCAUCUUUACAUACUCGAAUUCCAGCAUCGUUCAUGUUGGUAUUCAGGAAAUCAGGUAUGCCAGAGCAUAUCUGGAUCUCUAAAGCUGAAGAAUGCUUCUUAAUCAUAUUUUAUUGAUUUCCCCCUUUCCUGAAUAGUAAGGUGCAACAAUAGCACAUCAAUAUCUGAAAUUACAUAGUCGAUGGUCAUGAUGCGUCAUCAUAAUUAUCUUCUCUUCCUUUUUGGUACAUUUCUGUCACCAAGACUUACCCCAAGACAUUCAUACUGCACCUGAAAAUGUUAAAUACGUAGAUGCAGUGAUGAUCAGGCUAAUUUCUUUCAGAUGCCAAUGCAGAAAUCUAUUCUGGUAUAGAGAACCUCUUUGACAAAAGCAUAUUUUUUUUUCUUGGCAUUUUGUGCGAGCAAUUAGUAAAGCACAGCACCCUCUUUCUUUACGGGCCUCGUAACAGUGAAAGGGGUAAAAUGAAACCUAUAUAAAUGAUAUGUAACGAUUUUCUCUGGAAAGAUGAGCCAUUUCAACUACUCAGAUUUACUAUCCAGACUGCCCAUAUUAGUUUGUUAUAUAAAUGGAAAUACAGUCCUAUUCACUAAAAAGAUGCAAACACUAUUCUGAGUAAUGCUCCAAAUGGCCAAUGAAAUAAGAAAACAAAGAAAAGUGGAGCAACAUUAGUAGUCUGUUUAUUGUUUGACUUAUUUCUGUUUUGAUGCACUACUAAGUGUGAUUAUAAAAAAAAAUGACUUAUUACCUGAUGAUGACUCCUUUGAUUUCAAGUGACGAGGAAGUGGAGUUCUGCAAAAACAUUGUCGCUCAUUACAAAGUUGGAUUCUGAAGCAGAAAUAACAAAGACAUGAGACACUACUUAAUACAGAGGCCAAGAGUUCAACAAGAAGGAAUACGUAUUACUUGGUCCAUCUUAAAUUUUGGUCAAGGCUUCACAACUUUCUUAUCAGAAAGCACUGCUCAAAGAUUGCCUUCCUCCGCAUUCUUUUUCAUUUUAUGCAAUUGAACCUAUAAUUGCAGGUCAAAAGAGAUUAAUCAUAAGUGCAAUUUGCCGCAAAAAAUGUCCCAUCUUUCUGAGCGGCUUAAUUGAUUCUUACUAGGUCAUAGAAAGGAAGUGUGAAUCUACAUCACAGUUAUCUUCAUAACCUCCCUUCUUUGAUGUUAGCCACAUAUUUGACAGACAAAUUAUGUCAAAAGAACAACAUUCAACUAGAAAUUCCGUCAAACAACUCAAAAUCUGCAGGUUAGAUACCAUUUCUAGUUCCCAGAGGAGCUUGGAUUCAUCAUAAGGAAUUCUGCAGAAAGGCAGAAAACAAGGGAUUAUUGAUAGCCAACAUUCAGCUUUGCUAUCCAUAUAAACUCACAAAUCAGCAGACAAUUUAGCAUUAAUUAGCUCAGGUAAUAGUAGAGACACUAACAUUCAUUCAUGAGAGAAUAGGAAAGAAAUAACAGUAUGAUGGUUGACUUGCAACUGAUGGAAAAUCAGAGAUUGGUGUACUGAAGUUCGAAUAAAGUGAAUAAAAUCAAUGGCUUUCCUGUCUCUCUCAUGUGCUUAAAGUUCUCCAAGUUGGCUAUUAUCUCAUCUCUCCAUUUCUGUCCUUAAUUUCAUCUUCUUGAAUCACUAUGUACUAACUCAGAAGAGACUGUGUCAGGCUAUAACUAAAUCCCAUUAGCCAAAUGAAAUCAAAUAAUUCCAAUAUAACUAAUUUAAAGGUUACCUCGGAAACCAUCGAGGAUGUGUGGUGCCAGGCAACACGACGUCGAGAUUGUGCGACCUCUGCAACCACUGCCGAAGGGCUGGAUUUGGGUCGAUCGACCCUCAACCUCAACACACAGUGGCUCAGGCAAAGACAGCAGCUCGACAGUCAGUGCGGCCCAAGUGAGGGCCAUUAGGGCUUCUCGAUGCCAGGUGAGGUGACACCGAGGUUACGUGGCCUCCCCAACACCUGUAUAACUCCACAUUUCUUCCUUUUUUGUGAAAAAAAAAAAGGACAACUAGCCAAAAUGUUGACUGCUCUGCAUGUCUCAUUUGCUAAUGUCAAUGAUACACUGGCUUCACAGUUGCUUCCUCUCUUCAAUGCGUGGGCCAAAAAAUGGUUCAUUUUUCCCCCUUCCACGCUGAUCAACAACUCCAAAUAAUAUAUUGCUUUAAGAUCCUAAGAAGAAGAGAGAUUUGAAAACUGAUUGAUUCAUCAUGAAAUCUAAAGCAGUAAUCAUUACACUUUUCACAGAUCAAUUUGCUGGUUAAUUCCAAUCGGUAAAUAGACUCUCUCUUUGGCUGAUUCCUUGGCUCGACCUAUUUACUUCCUUGGCUCAGACUUGGUGACUUCCUUCAAAGUCCUCCAAUCAUCAGAUCCCAGCAAAUAUUUUAGCUUCUCACACUCAUGUAUCCUCAAAUAUUUUAGCUUCUUGACGCUUGAUGGAGCCGGUAGCUUUUCCAGAUCUCUGCAGAACUCUAUACGAAGUAUCUCCAGUGAUUCUAGUCUGCCUUGAAUCUCAACCAUUUUAGGACAAUUAUACAGUUCAAGUUUCGUGAGCUUGCUUAAGGUAGUGAGGUCAGGCAAUUUUUCCAGUGAUGUAACUCUAACAAACUUCAAUGAUCUCAGGUUCUCCAAGCCUUCGAGACCUUGAAUCUCUGUUAUUUCACAACUUGUAACUUCCAAAUCCGCUAGUACCCUCAAGUUUGAAAGGUCUAUCGAUGUCUUCAUUUGCCAACAACCUUUUAUAACUAAGCUCAACAAACUCGCAGGAAUCCUUGGAAGGCAUUUCACGUUUUCGCACCUGAGCUCAAGUUCCUUGAGUUCAGAAAGGAGAACGAGGUCUGGAGAUAGGGUGGUCAGGUAAGGAGAUUCCAGCCAUAUAGCCUCUAGUUUGUGUAACCUUCCAAUCCACCAAGGACUGGAAGUUUUCUCAAGUUCAGAAGGGUCCAUCCUAGAACUCCACAAGACCAAACUCAAAUCUCUUAAGUUCAAUAGGUUUGAGAGAUCUGGGAAUGUCUUCAUUGACCAAGUGCCAAAGUAAAGACUGGUCAGACUUUCAGGAAGCUUGGACAAUCCCGAAACUCGAGUGUAUGUCAGUCUCAAGACUCUUAGAAACUUUAAUCUCCCGAUAUUGCUCGGCAUUUCCCCUUCCAAACAUCCACAGCGGUCAGCAUCUACCUCUUCAAGCUUAUCCAAUAGUGCUAUGGCACUGGGUAGUUUUCUCAAGGUACUGCAGCAUAUUCUCAGUACUUUCAAAUUCUUCAUAUUUCCUAAUGAAGAAGGUAGCAUUUGAACCUGUGAGUGGGAUAGAUCCAACUCGACUAGUGAUUGCAAGUUCCCAAUGGACUCUGGAAGUUGAGUAAUCUCAGUUGCUACCAACGAAAGCUUCAAUAAUGAUGCUAAGCAGCCAACUGAACUACAAUCAUUCAAAUUUUUACAAUUACGAACACUUAAGAAUUUCCAGUUUCUUCAUUCCUCUCCAUUCGGGAAUUUCUCUUAUUGAUGUGCCAUCCACAAGAAUUUCUGUUAAAGCUUCUAGUUUAGCAAUCUCAUCUGGCAGCUUGCUGAGUUUAGUGCAGAACUUUAAGUUUAAGAAAACUAACUGCUUUAGCUGACCAAUAGAUCUAUCAAUAUGGACCAACUUCUGACAUCUUUCAAGAAUUAAUCUCUCUAAAAAUACAUGAGAUGAGAAGUCAGGCGUUCUAUUUAACUUUCUGCACCCAGUCAGAUUUAGAACCUUUAAAUUCUUUGCCAUCUGUAAGGGAGAACAACAAAAUUUCAAUCCCAUUAAGGAAAUAGGUAAUUAAAAAAAAUAUAUUGAAAUUAUUUUGAAACACCUCCUAGGCUUCUACCUUGAUGUGGCUCCAUCCACUCCAUUUUUUUUUGUAAUUUUACUCCAUGAUAGAUCAAGAAUCACUAGCUUUGUCAGGGAAAGAGCGGUCAGCUCAAAAGUUGCCGGAAAGUUAUGCCAUGAAAGCCAUCUCAACAUUAAAAAUAUGUAUGGACUCCUUCGGAAAAAAACUGGCUGGAAGAACAUUCAAGCAGCAACCACACCGAAAAGAACUGACUUGAGCAAAACAAUGCAGAUUUGUGCUUGUCUCAUUGGAGUUUAUGCCAUCUACUUGCAAGAACCUUAGGUUUGAUAGACUGGCAAAUGCUUCAUAUGUAAUGUUGUAUUCGCAACUACUUUCAAACUUGAGUCAAAUUGCUUCAACAUUUUCUAAUCCCUGGCCAUACAAAAAGGGAAAUAGCAGUUAGAAAGCACAUAGUUCUUGUUUGGAAAAUUAUAUUCACUUGGGGUGCUAUCUUUCCUCGAAAUUUAUAUAUUACUUUAGGAGAUGUGUCGGUACUGUGAGCGGAAAAGAAAUAAUACACAAGAAAUUCUUUUAAUUGGUGAGUAGUUAAAUAGAACGCUCUUGAGAAUGAAUUGACUUUGUACACUCACCUUCGUCCUCAUAAGCAGAUCAAACACUUCAUCAUGAUUCCAUACUCUGCUUUGCUUCUCUGAUUUCAUAGCACACUCUUGACGAAUGAUUUCACGUCCAAGGUCUCUUAGCUGAUCAUGCAUCCAAAGACAGUUGUCUUCUUUAAUCUUUAUUAAAGACAUCUGCUGGAGGACUGCAAUGGCUUCUUCAGGAAAAAGCUCGCAACUUUCCCACAUAUGGAUCACAAUUCUUUUAUCAAAACCAAUGAAGAAACAGGCAAUAUCAAAGGAAUAUGCUCUUUUGUCUAUCAUCUAAUGCGUCAAAACUGAUCUUCAACUUCUUUUUUAUGUCCUCAUGAAGAACUGUUUCCAGCUUCUUUAAUGUGAUAUCCCGUUGUGCUUUGCUUUUUCCAGAUAAAAGCGAACUCAUAACCUCCAGAGUCAGAGGUAGACCGCCACUAAUGUUCACGGUUUUUGCGGAGUAAGGGAGGAAUUCCUCCAAAGGAUAAUCUCUUCUAAAUGCAUGUCUGCUGAAAAGUUGCAGAGGAUGCUUAAAAUCCAUGCAGGGAAGUUCAUAAGUCCAAUCAACUUUGGGCUCAUGAAGAACAUCCUUGUUUCUGGCGGUAAUGAUAAGCUUGCUUCCUUUGCCAAACCAUUUGCGCUUCCCCAGGAGAGCAUCCAGUCGAAUCCUUUUGUCAACUCAUCAAGUAGAAGUAGAACUCUUUUAGAGAAUAACCUCUCCUCAAUUAUCAUGGUCCCUUCAUCCACAUUAUCAAUGUCCAGCCAUUUCCUUCUAAGGAGUAUAGAGAUGAGCUGAUUCUGCAAAUACUCAACACCCUUCUGCUCGGAAGUUUCUUGUAUGUUAAGCAACAACCCUCAAAAUGAUGGGAGAGUUGGUUGUAGAUGAUUUUGGCAAGUGUCGACUUCCCAACACCAUCCAUGCCGUGGAUUCCAACAAUCGUAGUUUCAUCAGUCUCGGCAAACACCAUUCUCAUUAUUUCACCCACAUGAUUGUCCAUUUCAACCAAGCAAUCAGAUACGACUAAGUAGGCCUUUUUCAACUCAAUUAAAACCUUGUUGACAACUUCUUUUACGAACUCACCUUUACCUCUGAGCAUUAAAGGCAAAAGAACUUAGAUACUAGAUUAAGGUGCAAAAAAACUAACCAAAAAAAGCAAUAACAGAAAUUCAUCACUGGAGCAAAACACAUAAUAGACCAUGAUGAAUAGCAAGACCUGUUCGGAUUGCUCUGGAAAUCCCAUCCCUUUAACGCUCCUACCUCAUCGAGGGCAGCCUUCCACCCAAGGAUGGUAUUCGCAUCAAACUGCUUCUUCUUCAUGUGCGAAAGAAAGGCCUCACCAUAAUCCCCAAUUUUGUUUUCGAACCUCGGAUGGCCUGACAUCGAAGAAAAUGGGCAUGAUCUUCUGCCCCGUAGCUCUCUAGCACUCCAACAUCUGUACCAAUUCCAUAAGACACCACUUACUGUCAGCAUAACCUUUGGAGAAGAUGGGUAUCAAGAUUUUGGACUGCUCAAUUGCCUGGAGAAGCACUGGACCGAUCUCUUCCCCAGAACGGAGCUCUUCGUUAUCUCUGUAUGCUCGAAUUCCAGCAUCAAUGAGACUGGUAUACAGGAUAUCAGCGAUGUCCAAGCGUGUAUCCGGUCCUCUAAAGCUCAAGAAUACUUCGUAACAUGUUGACAUGGCUUCACAACUUCCAGCGUUUGAGAUGAUUCGUUACUAGACAAGCAGCAGCAGAAUCACCGACAGCUUCUGUGAUCCCGUUGUCUGUUUUCACCUCUUCACUGGGUCGUACAAAAAGAUGGAAACAAUGGAAGCGACGACCAAUGCCAAGUGCGAGGACCAACCUGGGUACACCCUCUAAACCUAUGAAAACGAUGCUGUGAAGAUUUCUGUCGGGAUGGGAAACAAAUGUACGUGAGAUCUGCUCAGGUCAAUGAUUGCUGUCAGUCUUUUUCUGGUUAACCUUGUAUCUAAUGUAUUCUAUUGUCUUCAAAAACUUGAGAAGGAAGCUUCCUCUUCACUUCAAUCGAGGCAUACACGGUUUGGUUAUUUUUCUUGGCCAUGAACACACACAAUUAAAACGCGGCCUCUCUAUGGCAGCCACGAGGGAGGUUAGGAUAUCCUCGACGGAGCAUGCGAACAAAAUAGACAGCUUUUGCCGUAUUAGUGAUGACUAACUUGGAUUGUUACUAUUCUUCAUAUACAAAAGCUACUUAUUCCCGAUACGUUGAUGAGUCCGUUAAAACUUUGAAAAUUACUUACCCCAUAGAGGUGGAGAAGUUGCUUAUUACAAACAUUGAUAUGUUAAUUAAAUGUUCUUAUUAUAAUAGAUAGAGCUUGAAAAGGGGUUUGCUUCAACCAAAAUUCAAGCCCUGAAGAUUUCAAGCCACAGAUUCCGAAACCUCGAUAUACUCCAUCUCAUAGGCAACCUCAACAGGGCAUUGCCUCAUACUGGCUAGGUGCUUUGCUCCUGAAGUGCUUCUAAUGAGGUUUGAACCUACACCACGAGAAAAAAGGCAAACUAACUCCCUUGCUAAUUUCUAUAGGCCAAGAGUAACUUUUCCAUGAAAACUCUAGCAAGUGAUAGAUAUGCACUUGCUUUUAGGAGCAAAUACUAAUCAUGAUGAAAAGAUCCCUUCUUAAAACAAUUGACAUAUAGAUAAAAAAAAAUUAUGAAGAGUUACUGACUAAUGGAAGACUAAUAGACUAAAGACUAUUUAUCUUUAUGCAAACAUAGGAAAAAAGGUUACUGAGUACUAAUGAUUACUUAUUUUCUUCUAAUCACCACGGUAAAUUUACUAAUAAAAGUACCUAGCACAUUGACACUUACUUUUUCGAGUGAUUUGACAUAAACCAAGUGGAGGUCUUACUAACCGAUUAAAAAUAUAUUAUAUCUUAAAUGAAAAUCAUGUGAUAAAUAACUUCUCAUGAGUAUCUAUAUUCUCUUCUCCAAAGUCUAGCAUAUAUAAGUAGUUAUAAAUUUUAGGCCAAUUACCAUUUAAAAAAAAAAAAAAAAAACUCCCAACUCUACACUUCUGUUAAUUUCUUUUGCGGAGUAUAAAGCAUAUGAAAAAGACGCCAGUACUUAUUCUUUUGUGUACAAUCUACCCUUUGUUAGUCUGUUAGCCGGCAAAGAAAAAAAGGUCAUGGCCUUAUUGAUGCGGCAACUAAGGUGACUCAGUAUCACCAUCAAGUGUCAUUAACAAGUAAUUAAUAGAAAUUGAUUGUUAAAGAAGCUACUUAUAAAGAUUAGAGAAAAAGGCAACAGAGGAAAAAAGUGCGAGGAAAAUCGAGAGAGAGGGAGAGAUGAAAAGAUGACUGACUCAAUUAUCAUGCAAUCACAAACAGUAACGAAAGCAGAUCAAUGUAUAUUAGUUGAAGUUAACGACCAAUUUCAAAUAGUACUCAGGUCUCAGCACGACCACAUCACUACUCAAUCUCAAGCUCAAUCUUUCGGCUUCUCAGUAUUGUUCAUGAUCAAACAUGUUGGCUUCUUGAAGCUGGUAAGGUUGGGUAGCUUUUCCGAGGCAGUCAAUACGGUACAUCUCCAGUUGUUCUGGUCUGCCUUGAAUCUCAAACAACUUAGGACAACUCCACGGGAGAAGUAUAGGACGCCGUCUCUAUUGAUAGCAAAGCUGCAAGUAUUAACGAUAGUCAACAAUCUCUCGCAUCUAAAUGGCUUAGUGGUCUUUUCGAUUAAAUAAUUUCUAUCAGCUCAGUUCGAAAAAGAUUAUGCUGGUAUUUUACUAGGUACACUAUCGAGGGCAUGCAGCUGCCAUGUUGAAAGGUGAUAGGUGGUACACAUGGCGAAGUUCUUAGAUACAAUCGAGAUUGACUUUAUGGACAAAAAAAAAAAAAAGAGCUAGUGCAAAGUUUGGUUAUCGAAAUUUCCAUCACCUUGGUCCUUCAAAAGUUUGUGUUCUUUGGACUCUCUAAGCUUCUUCCUACAGGUGGGAAAUUCGAGAUGAAUCUUUAUACUCCUUCACUCUCUCUCGACCGCUACAUGACAGAAUACGAACUGUGGAAGAGAAGAAGACUUCAAAUCAUUGAUAGUCUGUAAGUGAGAAAACGGUAGGAACAAAAGAUGCACAGCAGAAGCAAUAUGAAAAACAAUCUUCGAGCCCUCGCUCUUACACAAUAUCAGAAUAACAGUAAUAAGGAGCUUGCAGUACUUAGAGCUUCUGAGAUGCCGCCCAGCCACUGAAAUAAGGCGCAACCAUCGCCUACAUCCUUCCAUCCACCAUACUAAAGUCCAAAAGAGAAAAAAUAUCUUAAAAAAUUACUCUGACAAGUCGGAUUCAACAAGAUCAGACUGCCUCUCUGCCUUCAAAGUUCUCCACCGAUCAUCACAACUCAGAGAAUCUGAUAGCUUCUCACACUUACGUAUAAGCAAAGAUUUCAGCCUCAUGUGGCUUGAUGGAUCGGGAAACUUUCUGACAGAUUUACAGGACACGAUCCAGACUGUCACCAGGGAUUCUAGCCUGCCUUUGAUCUUGACCGCUUUAGGACAGCAGUGCAGAUAAAGUUUCUGGAGCUUCUCUAAGUUGGUUAGGUCAGGCAACUUGUUCAAACAACUCCUUCAAGCUUUAACACUCUCAGGUUCCCCAAACCUUGGAGGCCUCUGAACUCACUUUAGGGCAAUGAGCAACUUCCAAAUCUGACAGCCCUUUCAAAUUUGAAAGGUCUAUUAAUGUUUCCUGCAUGAUUCUAUAUUUAAGUACAACGAAUUUGGGGAAGGCAAAAUGGGCGUCGCAGCUUCUUGCAGUGGACCAGUUCAAGUUCCUUGAGCUGUGAAAGAAGACUAAUGUCUGAAGAUGGGGAGGUGAAAUAAUGACAUUCCAACCGCCAGGACUCCAGCCUCCCUAACCUUCUGAUCCACCAAGGACUUGGAGCCCCAUUGAAUCAGAAGCAUCCUCAAAAUUGUCAAAACCUGGAUUUUCCAUAGAAUUUGAAUACCAGAUAAGUAAGUAAUUUAACAUCGAAUGACACACAUUCUUUUGUUACUUUACAUAAUCAAAACCUUGUACAAAAGAUCCACCUAUGUAUAACACUAAUCUAAAUGUCCCUAAACUCCAAACCCAACUAAUAAUGGACAAUAUUUUGGAGGGGCGGGUCUAAUCUCAGUAAAUGAAAGUUCUAGGUCCACCUCCUCACCAGUCAAUCCAAGAACACAACAGUAUAGUAACAAUUAUUGUCAAUUGGAAAACAAAUACUCACUUAAGGUAUGCAAUUCAUGCAUUAUAUACAAAUGACUAUAAUUAUUUGUGCAAUGAAUAAAAUAGAUGCACUCCAAUGCACACAACUCAAUUACUAAUCUGAUGUGCACAAUACCCAUUGCUCAUCGAUAUACACGAGUUAUUUUAUUCCCUACUUGUCACCGGUCGUAACUCAUCUCAACAAGACAACAUCACCACCAACUCAUGAGAUGAGGUCAUACUACAGUCACAUGAUGAUGGCUAUCCCAUAGUCAUUCUCAUUAACAUUCAUACCCAUUCCAUUUUCUUUCUCAAUCUUGAACCUCAAGUUCAUAAUAUCACAUAUAGGCUAUUUAAUUCGCAUCAUGUUACACAAGUCAUAUCAUUUCAUGUAUGAAUCACUAGACUUCAUAUCGUUUCAACCGUAUAGAGACCCGUCUUAAACGGUAGAAUAUUCGUUUUUUCCAAGAGUCUUAUAAACAUACUCAGGAAAAUUAAUCGUAGUGUUGUUAUAUUACUAACAACACUUGCAGAAUUUCCAUGGAGUUGGUAAUUUACUUAAUUACUAGAAUAUUGAUAAAUUCCCAAUAGUCUUGUUCAUUCACUCACGACAAUGGUAAAAUUUCAAAGGUUUUGAUAAUUUACUACUUCCUUAUAUUGAUAAAUUUCUGAUAGUAUUAGUAUUUAUUUAUUAUACAGGUAGAAUAUAAGAAGAUUUGGUCAAUUUAGUGGAAAUUUUAUAAAUUUCUGAUAAUAUUGAUAAUUUACUGCUGAUUUACGUAACAAGCAGGUAACUUGAAAUGCGGUCAUUAAUCAUUCAGAAGCCCCUGUAGAAAUCCAUUUGAAGUUAUGAAAACUAAAGGACCUUUGUGACCAUUGCACAUGAUCAUUAACUAGAGAGGGUUAUGUUCAUGCUAGACACAAUGUUUUGCCCCUACUUCUUCAUUCCCUCAAUGUGGAAAUUUUCAUGGGAAAUCCUUAACAAUUCUGUGAUUAUGGUCACUGAUGUCAGAUAGAAUUCACGACACUGAAUGCAACCAAGAACAUCAAUCUCUACAAAUGAAAUCUGGAGCAAGUCAUCUUGAAUCCUUGAUGAAUUUCUUCCAUAACGAGAUUUAAUCACUAAGUACACCAGCUAAAAUAUUAGAAGUAAGUAGGACCACAACAGACCAAGAGAAGAAGAAAGAAAAUUGCAGAACCAAUCGAUUAUAGUAAGAUUUCAUGCCUUCCAGGACAAUAUUUCGGUUUUAGCUCGACCUCGACAAGCUCAGAAGAACAACUGAUUCCCAUUUCCCCAUGUAUGGUUUGAACUAGUUCCUAAGGAGCGAAAAUCAAUCCCCUCACGGGUGCAGAACCGAACUGAGGCACAGGAGUAGAGAUGUGUUUCAAUAGAAUGCGACUUGUGGUUUAGACCAAAGCUAUUAAAGAUUAGAUGCAGUUAUGGAAGAAAAAUCAACUGAGUCAGCUCCCGAGCGAGUUCAUCGAAAGGCCGUUUUCAUUUCGUGUGUAGGACAAGUCACGACUGAAAAUAAUAAAAAAACAACUCAAUCCGCCCCAAAUCUUUUCCUAAUCUAUCACAGAUUACAUCGAAGAUUCGCACGCGGACCCAAUUCAUGAAAAUGCGAAGAGAAAAUUACCAGAAAACCAAAUAAAGAUGCGAAGAAGGAAAAAGCAAGACCUUGUUUUAAGACUCGUGGGAACAGAUCGGGGGGCAGGAAGACGGGGGUGGCAGUCCCCGGAGGGAGAUCUCCGCCUGGUCGAAUCGCGUCUCAUUCUUGCGCUCGGGGUCGCCGUCGCGUUCCUUGACAGUCGGAGUCCGUCGCUGCUGGUUCUGGGUGAGCUCCUCGCUCGGGUCGUCGCCGAUGACUGAUGAGGGAGGAAGACGAAGGAAGGAGAACGAAAGAACGUGAGAAGACAGAGAGGGGGGGCAACGGGAGAAAAAACGAAACAAAAAAAAAAAAAAAAAAGAAAGAAGAGAGAAAAAGUUGAUAUUUCUUAAAGAGUGGGUCCCACCUUUACUCGCGUCAUUUGGAGAUAAUAUUCCUCACUAAUCUGAUACGGAAUCUUCUCUCCGUGAUUUCAGUCUCUAAACCAAAAUUCUUGAAAGGCUCUCCUCACUCUUCCUCCAAAAGUUCUAGAGUGGCUCUUCUCAGUUCUUUGAAAUGUUCGUACUGAUCGGAUUCCAGAGUCUCCUCCAGAGUCUCCUCCAAUCUCUCACAUUCCUUUAUACGCACGUGCCGUAGCUUCUUUAAGUUUAAAGGACCAGAAAAUUGAUGCAGAGACCCGCAGCCUUCUAUUUCAAGCAUGCCCAAUGAUUCUAACCUACCUGGAAUCUCAACCACACGAGGGCAAUCUUUUAAAGACAACCGGAAAAGUCCUUGGCAUAGGUCAGGCAACUUCUCUAGCAACGGAAGAUUUUCUAUAUAUAAAGCUAUCAACUUCUCUGAAGCUUCCAAACCUUGAAUCUCUUCUACCUUCCAACAACUACUUAUAAUAUAUACUCGUAUAUGCUUGAAGCUCAAUGGAUCAGGCAACUGUUUGAGUGAUUGACAGUACUCUAAACAAAUAGACUCCAAUGAUUCUAGCUGACCUCGAACCUCAACCAGUUUAGGACAAUAAGAUAUCAAAAAACUACGGAGAUUCAAACCGGUCAGGUCGGGCAACUUCACCAAUGACGGAAGAUGCAAAAGAUUAAGCGAUCGCAGGCUUUUCAAAGGUUCCAGAACUUGAAUCUCUAUUAGCUGUUCACAAUAAGAGAGUUUCAAUUCUGAUAACUUCUCCCAAUAUGAAAGAUUUAUCGACUUUUCCAUUAACCCACGCCCAUCCAAAUGGAAGUAUGACAAAUUCUGAGGAAGCUUAGGUAGCCAUUCUAGGUUAUCUGCGACAAGUUUAAGCUUCCUGAGCUUUGAAAGGAGAUUAAAAUCUAAAGGUAGGGUGACCAAAUCAUCACAAUACAACCCCAAGGACUCUAGCUUUCUUAACCCUCCAAUCCAAUUGAGGCUUGGAGUUGGAUGGGAAGGGCUUUGAUGCUCUAAUUUCAAUGUCAAAACUCUCAAAUUUAUUAGGUUAGACAGAUCUGGGCAUCUCAUCUGUAGAUUAUUGGUUAGGACUAGUUCGGUCAAACUUUCAGGAAGCUUAGGUAUAUUGGAAAUUCUCGUGCCCGAUAACAUCAAGAUUCUUAGAAAUGAUAGCUUUCCGAUCUCACUUGGAAUUUCCCCCCUCAAAUAUCUACAACUGCUAGCAUGGAUCUUUUCAAUCUUCUCCAAUGAUAGUCUUCCAAUCUCACUUGGAUUUUCCCCACUCAAACAUCCAUAACUGCAGGCAUAGAACUCUUCAAGCCUCUCCAACUUCCCAAGGGCGCUAGGUAGCUUUUCUAACAUGGAGUCAAAGAUCCUUAGUAUUCUCAAGUUCUUCAUCGUCUCUAUUGAGUAUGGUAACUCUCGUAUACUUGAACAAGAAAGAUCUAACUCGACAAGAGAUCCAAAAUUUCCAAGUGGAAGUUCACUCAGCAAGCGACAUGACACUGCACUGAGAGUUUCCAAUUUCUUCAUUCCGUUCCAUUCAGGAAUUUUGAUAAUAGAUGUCCCAUCAAGAAGAAGUUCUCUCAAGUCUUCCAUUUCUUCCAUCUCGUCUGGCAAUGUCCGAAGUUUCCCACAAUAUUUCAAGUUUAAUAACACUAAAUGCUUCAACCUACCAAUAGACCUAUGGACUUCAACCAGUUCCGUGCACCCUUGAAGAAUCAGUUGCUCUAAAUUUUCAUGAGCAGAAAGGUCAGGAGUUCUAUGCAAGUUUCCACAUCCAGUCAAAUUUAGAACCUUCAAAUUCUUUGUCAUCUGUAAUGAAGAGAAGAGGUUGAUUCUGAAUACAUUUUGAGAUACUGGACAGCAAAGUCAAUAUAGCAAAUUCAUGUCGAAAUAAUACCGUACCUUGAGGUGGUUCCAUCCCUCCCACUCAUCAGUAAUUUCACUCCUUGAUAGAUCAAGAAUCAUUAGCUUCUUAAGACAAAUUGUCAUGAAUUUGAAAUAGACAGGAAAGUUAUGCCAUGAGAGCAUUAUCAAAUUAGGAAGCAUGAUCGUAUUCCUCUGGCACAAGUUGGUAGAAGGAAAAUGCUGACCGUUGCUCUCAUCCAAGUCUACACAAUCCACUUGAAGAAAUCUUAAUUUUGAUAGGCUUAUAGGUUCUUCCUUCUCAAUUAAGUCUUGAAAUUGAUGAUCAAACCUGAGACAUAUUGCUUCAACGUUUUCUCUUCCCUACCAAAAAAUAAAAAAUAAAAACAUUAAACAAAAGAUAGUGAUCCCAUAAUUGCCAGUUGAAGGCAUUCGAGUUGAAUAUACUUGAGAAUGUACUUCUUACAUAUAAUUUAAAAUUAAUUUGCAAUAUAAUUUACAGAUGAGCAUGUGAUCUUACUAAGCACACAAGUAAUGACUCGGUUAAGAUAGAAGCAAAUAAGCAAAGUCAAUGUGUAUAACUCAUCUCUUUGAAUAGGAACAACAUUGCAAAUACUUUACCUCCUUUAUUUCAAGGACAUCAAUCGAUUCCUCAUGAUCCCACACCCGACUUUGCUUCUCAAUUUUAAAAUGAGCUCUUUCACGAACGAUGUCUCGCCCAAGGUCUCUUAGUUGUUCAUGCACCCACAGUUGGUUACCUUCGACAAUCUUCAUUAACGAUUUCCGUUGGAGGACUUCCAGAGAACAUUCAGGGAAAAGUUUACGGCUGGCCCAAAUGUAAGUCACAGUUCUCACAUCAAACCCAACAAAGAAGCAACAAACAUCGAGAAAUAUUUCCUUCUCUUGAGGUUCUAAUGCCUCAAAACUGAUGUUCAGCUUACUUUUAACCUCUGUAUUGGGAAUAGUUUUCAAUUUUUCUAAUGUUUUCACCCAAAAUUUUCUGUCAUUUCCAGCUAAAAAUGAACCUAUAAUCUCUAGAGCCAAAGGAAGAUUACCGCAAAUUUCUACCGCUAUUUCCGAGAGGUAAAUAUAUUCUGUUGGGGGAUGAUCUCUUCUAAAGGCAUGUUUGCUAAACAGUAGAAGAGAAUGAUCGAAAUCCAUUUCAGUAAGUUCGUACUUAAAAUCAACAUCUUUGAGAACUUCCUCAUUUCUUGUGGUAAUAAUAACCAUACUUCCUCUGCCAUACCAGUAUUCACCUGUCCCUACGAGAGUGUUUAGUUGAGUGCUUUGGUCGACAUCAUCAAGUACAAGUAAAACCUUUUUAGAGGAUAACCUCUCCCUAAUCGCAGUAAUCCCUUCAUUAAUAGUAUUGAUGGAUGACCAUUCCAUUCUUAGGACUUUAGAGAGAAGCUGAUUCUGCAAAAUCACAAUCUUUGUCUCUCGAAUGUUAGACAGGAAGCAACAGUUAUCAAAAUCAGCCAACAGUUUAUUAUAGAUGAUAGUGGCAAGAGUUGUCUUUCCGACACCACCCAUACCAUGGAUGCCAACAAUCUUUGUUCCAGUGGGCUGUGUACCCAUCUUUUCCAUGAUUUUGUCCACAUGAUCGAAUUUUGUUCCAAUGGUCUGUGUACCUAUCUUUUCCAUGAUUUUGUCCACAUGAUCGUCCAUUUCAACCAAGUAAUCAGGUUCUGCCAAGUUUUUCUUUUUUAACUCGAUCAACAGCGUCCGAACAACUUCUUCUGUGAACUCCCCUUUGCCUCUGACAAUAUUGAAGGCAAAAGGACCAAACUGUUAAAUUGAGAUGAACAUAAUAAUACCAAGCUACAAACAAUCAUGAACAAUAAUAAUUUCAAAUACCUCUUCUUGAGUUCCCAUCCUCUUAAGUCUGCAACCUUGCUGAGAGCUGUCUUCCACUUCUCAAUAGUCUCAUUAGUGAACCGCUUCUUAUUUUUGUGUAAAGUAAUGGCCUCACCGUAACCUCCAAUUUGGUAACGAACCUCAGAUGGUGCUAUGUCAUAGAAAAUUGGCAUGAUCUUUCGUCCAAAGUUUUCCUUGCACUCCACCAUCUGGACCAACUCCAUGAGGCACCAUGGACUGGCAGCAUAUCCUUUAGAUAAGAUAGGAAUCGAGAUUUCUGACUGCUUCAUUGCUUGGACAAGCUCCGGGCCAAUCUCUUCCCCAAUGGGAAGCUCUUCAUUAUCUCUAUAUGCCCGUAUUCCGGCACGAAUGAGGCUGGUGUAAAGGUAAUCAGCAAUGUCAAGGCGAGUGUCUGGUCCUCUAAAGCUCAAGAAUACUUCAUAAUCAGAUCCCGUUGGCUUCUCCAUUUCCUGAAUUUUCAGAGGAUUUGCAAUCACCUGAUAUCCCACCAGAAAAAUGUUUACCAUGAAAGCGGAGUGAUGAUUAUCACGAUUUCUCUUAGAAACUCUUCUGUUUCAAGUAUCUCUAGGAAGAAACCAAGAUGACAAAUGCAAGAGCUUCUGUGCUUUGCACUAGACACCAAAAUAUAGUAGAGAAGUAGACCCAUCUCAAUUCUAAAGGAAGAAAUUUCCAAAGUAUUGCGGAAAUAUAAGCUAUGGUUCACACUUGAAAUUGAUUUGAAAGAAUAAUAUUUUGAGAAGAUAAAUCACUAUCAACCUAUAUUCGUCUUAAACUAUUACUUAUGUGAUAAAGUUCCUCUUAAAAGCUGACGUUGAAUGUCCUCUGCACAUCAUGCCUGCUUCUGCUUGUAGAUUGACUAAUUAUCUUAUUGUCUGAUAAGAAAUAAUGAUGAAACCUUCCUCUUUUAUUUUACCAAAAUAUAUUUGACAGACAUUCCACGACCCUCAAUUAGUGUUCUCUUGGCCUUAACGGACGCAGGUGAAGAAUCGCCCCCAAUGAAGAUCUCUAAUUGGAAAGGCGAAAUCAAGAAAUUACACCGGAGCUACUUCAACCCCCUCCGUUGGACUAGUUUCUAAAGAGCAUAAACCGAUCUCCAAUUACAGGCACAGGGUCAAAGGCGAGCAUUAGAAGCUAACGUUCGCAUUUGCCAGAAAGUAUCAGCAUAUCAGAAAAAGAGGGGUGAACUACUAACCGAUAAUGUAGUUGAUGAAAUUUCAACAGAAAAAAGAAGCAUGAAUGCUAUAAUUGUUUUUCCAGAAAAUAAGUUUGAACACGCAGGAGUGCAGGAACAAGAACUGUACUUUACGGAAGCGGGGACAUUACAGUCUAUUCAAUCUGUCUCUACUGUUGAAUACAGUGUUAAGGGUAUCAAUUUCUGCCUAGGAGCAUUCUUACUGCUAAUCACUGGACAAUAACGUAUGAAUUUGUCGUCUGGAAGUCUCUUAAAGAUACCACUGUCUCUGUUCGCACAGAAAUUAAAAGAACAAAAAAGUCCCAUCAAACAAAUGAAAUCAACAGAUCCACUCAAACUAAUUUAGCCUUGAGCGCCAGCAAUCCACGCGAAAACUCAGAGAGAGAGAGAGAGAGAGAGAGAGAGAGAGAGUACGCGGGUGGCGAGCGCGUAAGACUGAGCGUUGUCGAUGAUGGAACCGGACUUGCCUCCUCCUUCGCCGCCGCCGCCGCCGCCGACGAGCUCACUCCGAGGCUCGACACCGCUCGCCUCCGCUUCACCUUCGUGCUGUGUCUUCUUCUUCGCCAUUCCCGCUCUCUGAUAUCAGAAAGUUCCGAUUUUUCGACACGGUACGAGGUCGAGUGGUCAAGGGUUCAGGCGUCGAUCUUGGCGGUGGUAUUGCGUUUCAGGAUCUGAGGCCUGACAGUUGCAUAGAUGGAAGUGGAUGAGCACUGAGCAGGGUUUUAGCAUGCGACUCAAGUUAGAGGCUAAAGCUAUUAGUGUUAGACGCAACUAGCAGUGAUCAAUCAUAUGAAGUCAACUGAGGAAGGAAUUUGAUGCUGAUCUGAGAGUCCCUCUAUUGUUUCCCUCAAAUUCUGCAUCUAGUUGCAUUACAGAACAGACCCGAUUCAAUAAAAAGAAGGCAAUAAACGAGAGGAAAUUACCGGAGAUGGAGGGGGUGAAGAUGAAGAGUCCAGAUCAAAUGCUGAGAAGCAGAUGAAGAUCCCAAGAAUAAACAAACGCUCUUGGCUUUUGAGUUCAGCUCAAGAGAGGCGAGACUUCUAUGAGACGGUGAAUUCACCCUCCCUCGCCGUGCCCCCUUCUAGGAAAGUGAGGGCUUGCUAGUUGCAGGGAAAACUUCAGGCCGACCGAGAAAAAGUGAAUACGCGUUUUGCUCUCGACUUUUGAGCAAACGAGGUGAGUUACUGGGAAAUUUCUCGAAGUCCGGAGACUUUUUGGCACGAUGGGCGAGAGUACAAGAGCGUUUUCGUUGCAUGUUAUUAGUUUAAAAAUCAUACAAUUUAUAUUAAUUGAUAUUCUUUUAACGACGAUGAAGGUGAAUCCUAGGCCCGUUCAAAUUUUACAUAUAUUAAAUCAAAAAAUGUAGAGUUCAUGUAUUUUAAGUAUGUCAGAAGUACACAUAAUGAGUUUGAAAAAUAAAAAGAAAUCAGAAAAAAUAGCGUCGCAAAUGUUAUAACUUCCUCAUAAUACUUAACUAAAUACUAUAACUUGUUUGAGAUUAAGUAAUAUAAUUUUCGUUUGAUGCUCACUUAAAUACAAUUUUUUUUUUUAUCACUAGUGCCAUGACUUGUCAAAAUUGUUCACCCAAGAAUGAAUGUUCCCGUGAGGACCGCUGGCCUACCUCUGUCCUUCUAGGUUCUCCACUUUUGACGCUUCCUCUUUUCUCCAAAUUUUUACUUUAUUUUUUUUAAUUUUUUCUUAAAAUCUGCUGACACGGCAGCUAUAUCAAUGCCUCCAUCUUCAAGGAAAAAAAGUCAUGAUCAUUUUUCCGAUUAACCAAAUUUGAUGGAAUUAAUAGCAGGAUUUGAUCGCACUAAUUUAAUAAAUUUUAAAAUUUUCAAAAAAUGCAAUCAAAUUUUAAAAUUUGAAGGCACUUUCCCAACAUAUUUUAAGAUUUAUGGAGCAUUUAUUCCCUCUUAUGAGAUAAUAAUACAAAUAAUAUUUAAACUUUGGCUUAAUAUGUAAUGUUAUUCUUAAUUUUUUAAUUUGUUCAAUGUGAUAUCUAAAAUAUUGAUAACUGUUCAAUUUAGUCUUUAGAUUAAAUGCAUUAUUUCCAUAUAGUUUAACGACUAGAUUGGAUAUCUGUUAAUAGUUCAUGGAUCACAUAAAAUAAAUUCCAAAUUCAGAGACAACGUUUGAUAUUGGACAAAAUAUAAAGAUUAUUUAUGUCAUUUUUUUCAUUUUUUAAAUCUAAAAAUUUAGAAACUUAAGGAUCGACAAAUAAUUCACAUAUAAUUUUUUUUGAUAAUUUUAUGAGAUUUGAACAAUAAUUUAAAUUUUGACAAAAAGGUAAAAGAACUAUUAUUUAAGUCCAAGCAAAGAGGCACUAGAUCAAUUAAAUUUCGCCAUUUCUUUACGGUGUCCCUUCGUGUGGGCACCAUUUUCAUGGGAGAGACGACUGGUGCGUUGACGCCAAGGAAAGUGAGGACCUGUUGGUUGCAGGGAAACUUCAAGCCGACCAUGAAAAAGGGAAUACGUGUUUUGCUUUCGACUUUUGGGGAAAUUGAGUUGAGUUUCUGGGAAAUUUCUCGAAGUCCAAAGAUUCUUUGGCGCGAAAGGCGGGAGUACAAGAGAUUUUCCCGGGUGUUAUUUGAUUAGAAAUCAUUCAAUUUAUGCUAAUUGAUAUUCUUUUAAUGACAAUAAAACCCUAAUUUUGUAGGUGAAACCCAGGCCCAUUCAAAAUUUUUUUUUUUUGGUAAAGGUAAGUAGCAGGCCCAUUCAAAUUUUAUGUACACCAAACCCAAAAAUGUAGAAUUCAUAUAUUUUAAUUAAGGAAAAAGGCCACAAUAAACCCCAAACUUUAAUAACCGCGACACGUUUAUUUCACCAAUGACAUUUUUUUCUUAUUUUUUCCGUUCUUCCUUUUUCUUUUUCUUUUUCUUUUCCUUUUUUUCUUUUUCUCUCUUCCCGCCGCCAUGGCCAGGAGGGAAGAGAGAAGAAGAAGAAAAAAAAGAAAUUUUUUUUUUAAAAGUAAAAGAUGAAAAUACCCUAUAGUUCAGAGUAAAUGUGUCACAUGAAUACAAGUUCAGGGAUUUUUGUGUCACAAAAAAGUUUAGGGUAAAUGUGUCAUGGUUAACAAAGUUUAGAAUUUUUUAUGUUAUAAAAAAAAAUUGUAAAUUUGUCACUUUGGGCAAAAUUUAGAGUUUUUGGUGGUUUUUGAGUUCGUAUGACAAAAAAGUUAGAAAAAAUAACACCAUAAAUGCCAUAACUUGCGUACAAUACUCACUUAAACACUAUAACUAUUUUUUUUUUUUUUUGUGGAUUGAGUGAUAUAACUUUUGUUGGGCACUCACUUAAAUGUUGUAACCUUUUUCUUUCAAUCACUUGUGCCAUAACUUUUUAAAAUCAUUCACCCAAGUGUUAAAAAUUCAACAUGAUAUAAUAUUCUUGAUGACCGUUUUUAAAAGUCAUAGCAGUUAAGUAAAGUUAUGACACUCAAGUGAAUUCAUUUUAAAAGUUACAGCACAUAAAUAAUCGGGAAAAAAAAUUAUGGCAGUCAAGUAAAUGUCGUACGAAAGUUAUGACAUAUGGGGUAUUUUAUUUGUCAAAAGUUGCAUUUAGUCAUAUGAGGCGGUUUCCACCGCGGUUUCUCUCCCCCUCGCAUGUGAUUCCGAGGGUCAGCUUCCACCGCGCGUGAUGGUGGCUGUAGUGUCAACACCGAUGAACACUAAUAAGGCGGCGGUAGCAAGGGUGGCAAGGGUGACGAGUCGAGGAGGAGGAGGCGGUGCAAGUCGCGUGAGGCUUGCAAGGCCGCCGCUCUAGCGAGGGCUCGCCUCGUGCCUCGACAACAAGGCGAGCCUUCGCCAGAUCCGGCGGGGGCUCGCCCUGCCGUCACUGGGCACGUGCCAACUAGCAAGGUGAGCCCUCACCAAACUCGGCGAUGGCGAGGCCCCCCUCGCCGGAUUUGGCGAGGGCUCGGCCCGCCAACCGCCUCAGUCCGGCAAUCAGCUAGCCCUCUCCUCUGGCCGAUCGCCGGAGCUAAGGGAAGAAGGAGGAGAGGAGGAGGAAGGAGGGAGAGGGAAAAAAAAUAAUAAAAAAUUUCAAAAAAUAAAAUAUUAUUAAAAAAAUGUUGUCGGCACCAACCGGCCAUUUUUAGCCGGAUGGACCGAUCGGGAAGAAUUGUAAAAGUUUUAGGACUCAAUUGAUCAAAAAAAUAAGUUUAUGACUGAAUUGUCACAAUUGCAAUAUGUUUAAGACUGUUUUGGUAAUUUUCCCAUAAAUAAAGCUCCAAAAAUAUUUGCACUACUAGUGAAAGCUUACCAACUAUAUAUGGUUUGAACAGAACUUCCAAGAUUGGGGACAUCAAUAUGUGCAACCAUAGUAGUGUGUUUGGUCAACAUUUAGCAAGUUGGGUAGCCACCUGACCGUUGUGUAGUUGGAAUAUUUGGGGUGAAAUGGUAAUGUCCAUAUCACCACUAGAAGGCAAGGCAUCCAGAAACUUAUUUUUUACCAAGGAAAGUUUUAAGAGAAAAUCAAUUAUCCUAUAGUCCAAAAAUUGGAAAUUACGAAAUUAUAAGUAAAUCAUUAACUACAAAAUGCAACUUAAUUUACAUUUAUAAAUUAUUUAUGAUUAAACAUAAAUUAAUAAAUAUGUUGAUAUGCAUCGAUGAUGAUUGAUCAACAAAAAGAAUUAUUACAUUGUUUUUAAAUAGUGACGGGUAAAUUAAUUUAAAUAACUAUCAUGAUAAUGUACUAUGGAUAUCUAAAUCUAAAGGAAAUGCAAUCAUACUGUAAAAUCUAUGUUAAAUAUUGUUAUUUUUAUUGCAUUUUAUUCUCAAAUUGGUUUCGUGCCAUUUUUCAUUUGUGUUUAUUUUAAGAGAGGCGCUCAUGCGGUUGCUAAUGCCAAAUGUUCAAUUUUCUAAUCAAGAUAUGAAAAAUUGUUUGAAAAUUUUGGAGAAAUAAAGAUCUUGAAAAAAGGAUAGAAAAAUCAAACGAGAAAUCAUCCUAAAGAGGUGCAAAAGUCUCCAUCAAGUACCUUGGAACAUCAUUUAUUUAAAAAGAAAAUUGAAAAGAAAAAAAAGCUCCAAACAGUGUUCAUGACGGUGGAGAUUGCAUUUGUUGUUGCAGGAAUUCAUCCUACCAUAAUCAAAUUUAAUUCGUGAAAUUUAAUCUGCUUUUGGUUUCGUGUGAAAUUUAUUUGCCCACGUCAUUGAUGGAGCUCUUGAAGAAGCAUGGGAAGGUGGUAGAGAGGGCCAAGUUGGCUUUGCUGGAGUCCGACGAGGAACGUUGGCCAACCACCGUCCUUCUUGGUUCUCCACUGUUUGACUCUUUCACUUUUUUCCAAAUAUUUUUUUCAGGAUUUUAUUUCUAGAAAUCUUGGAAUCAAUUUUUUUCCCUUUUUCUUUUUCUUAAAUUUUGCUGACAUGGCAGCCAUUUCAAUGCCUCUAUCUUCAGGAAAAAAAAAAAGUCAUGUUAUUUUCUCCCAUUUACUGAAUUGAAAGGAGUUAAUAGCGAGAUUUGAUUAUACAAAUUUAAUAAGUUUUAAUAUUUAAUUACACUUUUUCAAAUUUAUAAAAUAUGAUUCCACCUUUAUAACGUACUUUAAGACUUAUGUUUAUCCUCCCUUAAAGAUAAUAAUACAAAUGAUCAUUGAACUUGACUUAAUGUGUAAUAUUAUUCCUAAAUUUUUAAUUUGUUCGAUGUGAUCUCACAAUUAUUUAUAGAUGUUCAAUUUAAUCUUUAGACUAAAUUUGCCAUUUCCAUAUAAUUUAAAAAUUAGAUUGAACAUUAUUAAUAGUUCAUGACCGCAUUGUAGAAAUUAAAGCUUAAAAACAAUAUAACAUAUUUGGACAAAGUUCAUCAAAUUAAACGAAUUAAAAAUUUGGGGCUUAUUUAUGUCAUUUUUUUCAUUUUUUAAAAUCUAAAACUCUAGAAACUUAAGCACAACACAUAGAUUCACAUAUAAUCUUUUGAUAAUUUUUUGAAAUUUGAACAAUAAUAUAAAUUUUAACAAAAAAGUAAAAAAAAAAUUACUUUUUACUUUUAAAAAAAAAAACUCCAGACAAGCAUUAAAUCAAUUACUUUUCGCCAUUUCUUUACAAUGUACCUUCGCGUGCCGGAUGUUAAGAGUGAUAAGAUGCAGAGGACACCUUUUUCAUGGGAGAGACGACUGAUGCAUUGCCAUGUUCUUCAGCGAUAUCGUCCCAUCCAUCCAUCACUAUGUCUCUUUCAUCGCACGAUGCGUCGCCAAGAAACACCUGAAGCUCGGCAUGACCGUCCACUCCCACCUCAUCAAGACCGCACUCGCCAGCGACUCUUUCCUCGUCAACCAUCUCAUUGGCAUGUACUCCAGAUGCUCUUCCAUCCGAACCGCCCACAAGGCUUUUGAUGAUCUCGAUACAAAGAACAGUCACUCUUGGAACACCAUCAUAUCUAUAUAUGCUCGGAUAGGCGAUUUCAAGAAGGCCCUCGUCUUGUUCGAUGAAAUGCCGCAGAGGGCUCUUGUCUCUUAUAAUUCCUUGAUUUCUGGGUUGUCCCGUCAUGGGUUUUAUGUGGAGUCUCUGAGUAUCUUCACGCAGAUGUCAAAAGAAUAUGAUUGUCUAUUCGUGGAUGAAUUUACUAUUGUGGGUGUUGUGGGUACCUGUGCUGACCCGGCGCAUUUGAGUUCUUACGCCAGGUUCAUGGAGUUGCCAUCAUAAUGGGCUUGGAAUUUACUAAGAUUACUUAUAAUUCCCUGAUUGAUGCUUGUGGGAAAUGUGGUGGAGCCGAUAUAUGCUGGGCCUUGUUCGACGUUAUGCCUUAAAAGGAUAUUGUGUCGCGGACUUCCAUAGUUGUUGCUUGUACAAGAGCUCAUAACAUAAAUGAUGCUUGUGUAAUAUUCAACAAUAUGCCAGCGAAGAACAGAGUCUCCUGGACUACACUGGUCGCAGGCUUUGCAACAGAACUUGGACUUCAAUAUCUGCAACCAAAAUUGUAAGUUAGGUUAGCACUUAGCAGGUGCGGCGGUCAUCUAUCCAACCUUUAUCUAGUUGGACCACUUGGGGUGAAGUGGGGGUAUCUCUAUUAACCCUAGAAGGAAUCCUGAAAUUUUUGUUUUGCCUAAGAAAAUUUGAAGAAAAAUUUAAUCAUCCUAUUAUUUAAGAUUUGAAUAGUCCAAUCAUUGGAAAUUACGAUUGGUUAUAAAUAUUAUAAAAUGAUAAGUAGAUGACGAAGCACAAAAUAUAAGUCAACUUAAUUAUAUUCAUAAAUUAGCUAUGAAUAAAAAUAAAUAAAUAACAGAUUGGUAUAUUGAUGCUAAUUAUUCAUAUAAAAAUUGUGCCAUUACGAUUUUUUUUUAAAACAAUGACAAAUUAAAUGAGAUUUCUAGUAACGCAAUAUUGUACUAUAGGCUAACUUUAAUUUAUAGUAAACACAAUAAUAUGGUAAAAUCUACUUUAAAAUCAUAAUGCACGUGAUAAAUUACUGAUAGUGUUGGUAACUUACAACAAUAGUUAAAGUUCAUUAAAAUGUUGGUAAAUUUCUGAUGGUGUUAGCAAUUUACUUACAAUACUGUUAAAAUUUCAGAAGAAUUUGCAAUUUACUAAAUUAAUGAAAAACUGAUAAAUUUCAGAUAGUAUAGGUAUUUUACUACGAGUGUACCUAACAAGCAAGAACAGGUCUUUUUUUUUUUUUUUUUUUACCAGCACGAUUGCCAGCAAAAUUGCAAUAUUACCAACAGGGAAGACUUUUCAAUUCUCAAGUCCUGCGGGACCGUAGACUUUCGCCAAAGAUUCAUACAUCUCCGUCCCUGCGACAAAAACUUAAAAGCCCACUAAAAUUUCAAAUGGUGAAAUUUGAAACGCAGUCAUGAAUUCACUCUAAAGCACAUGUAAAAAUCCAUUUUGAGUUAUCAAAACUAAAGAAGCUUUGUGAUCAUUGCACAUGAUCAUUAACGGGAUGAUUAGCCCCUACUUCUUCAUUUCUUCAGUGUGGAAAUUUUGUGAGAAAUCAACAACAAUUCUGUGAAUAUGGAUAUAGUUGCUAAUGUCUACUUAAAUUCGUGACACUGAAUGCAAGACAUUCUCAGGGUAUUGUCUCAAGAACAUCAAUCUCUGUGAAUGAAUUCUGGAUCAAGUCAUCUUCAAUCCUUGAUCAAUUUCACCGAAAGCCAAAAAUUGCCCUUCAUAUCAAAUGAGGCGACAAUGCCGGAAGAGUGCUACUACCAAGGACGGAUAGAGCUGUCGCUUUUCAAAGAAAUUAUUACAAACGAGGGAAAUUUCAAAUCACCUACUCGUAGAAGAAUCCAUUUUGAAAUCAUCUCUCGACUCUAAAUACGUUUCUAACGAUUUUCUCUAAGUUGCCUCUAAUUGAAGAUAAUUUUUUUAAGUUCAAAUCUGACAGGAAGUUUUUCUGCUUGUCGUAGAAAUAUAUUGAUAUUCACAUCACUUAGUCAUACAAGAACUUUACAUUACAAUCAUGGGAUGUCUUCUCAAAUAGGUUGACAAAGUGAAUGUUGCUCAUUCAUAUGAAAAGUUGAGGGUAGGUAGUUGAUACAAUCCGACGACGAGGAACGGAGGUAGGUCGAUACAAUCUCCCUCCCUCCCCCCUGACGUAGGUAUCCAAAGUGAGCUGACAAUCAGAAAAGAACAGGCGAAACAAAGAGAGAUGACCAACAUCACGCCCUCGUGGAACAGAGCAAAGCGCAGGAAGACGUGGUCACAGACUCACAGUCCCAGAGAGAGAUCCCCGCCAGGUUGAUUUGCACAUCGUGCUUCCACUCGGGGUCGCCAUCGCAUUCCUUGACGGACAGAGUCCCUUGCUGCUGGUUCUGGGCGAGCUUCUUGCUCGGGGGUCGUCGCUGACGAUGGAGGAAGAAGGGAAAAAAAAAUGGAGUGAGAAGAGAGACGCAGCUGGAAGAGAGAAGAAAAAGGAGAAGAAAGUCGAAAUUUCUCAAGAGGGGGUCCCAUUUGUACACGUGGCCAUCGAUUUACGGUCUCAAGUAUACUCUAUACAUGGCACAACGUAUUACCCUCCCAAGUUCUUUUGUCGGCCUUGCCAAUUUUUUCAGAUUUGUGCACUCAUCGGAUUCCAAAGUCUGCUCAAACUUCUCAGAUUCACCUAUAUAAAAACUUGCCAGAUUCUUGAAGCUUGAAGGAUCAGUUAACUUUUGCAGAGACCUGCAGUGAUAAAUAGAAAGCCUCUCCAAUGAUUCUAGCCUACCUCAAAUCUCAACCAGAUCAGGGCAACUUACUACAUUAAGUGGCUCAAGCUUCUUGCAAUUGGUCUGACGGAAGAUUCCUAAGAUUUAAGUACUUCAGGUGCCCCGAAUCUUCUAGGCCUUGAAUUUCUUUUAGCUUCCAACAGCCAGAUGUAAGGACUUGUUCUAUAUUUUUGAAGCUUAAUGUACUAGGCAACUUUUCAAGAGAUUCACAGGACAUAAUAUAAAGUAUCUCUAACGAUUCUAGCUGACCUCAAACCUCAACUAGUUUAGGACAAUUUAAUAUCCACUUUCCUUUUAUUGAUGACCAUGGCGAGGGCAAGACUCAUGCUCUGAAAGCCUUAUGAUCCAUCUCUUUGUUCUGUUAGUAUUUUGUCUACAUAUUUAUAUGUCAAUGAACUGAACUUUGGGUUUCUGUUUGUCCAUCUACUUGCGCAAGUGGUAAUAUACUUAAAUACAUUACCAGAUUUCUUCCAACCCUCUUCCUGUUUGCUUUGCAUGAAGCCGUCCUCUAGAAAUCUUACUUUUCUAAGCUCUGCGAGCCCUAUAUAAUCCAUUACACAGCUAAUCUUUUGAUUAUACCCUAUCCUGAAUUUGAUCAUUUCUUAUGUCAGGAAGAAUGAAUCAGGCUCUCUCAUGUUUUUAUGCCUUUGCUCGAUCUUGGUAUUCACAGUCCAUGCUAAUCGUUGGGUUUAAUGAGCACUUUCCUUGACUCCUCGUUAGUGGUAAGUGAUUUUGCAACAAUAUCUCUAUCAGCGUAAUGAGAAUUGUCAUUCUCACGCUCUGAAUUGAAUUUGCUACAAAACCUAUCCUUUGCUGUUGUCGCCAAGCCCGUCAUACUGAUGCACUGUGUCUAUUUACUUUCAGAUAACAUCGCAUCGAUGUGGAAAAGAAAUUCUGAGUCGAACACUUUUCCACUCGCUUUAUCUCUGGAAUGUCGACCCAUCAUGAUGUAUUAGUAAUUAGAAGCAAGCCAGUCUUGCUAAGGAGUGAAAAUUUUUUUUUUUUUUUGGUAGUUUUUUUUUUUUUUUUUAUAUAAGUUUCUUUGUACUACAGAACUAAUUCUGCGAUGGUAUUCAUGUCGAGAGAGCGGCAAGAAAAGAGAUUCCGGCAUAUUGCAUAUAAUUUCUUUGAACGCAACAUGUUGGAAACCGCCUCUAUUUUCAUUUUCCUGUAUCGUGCAUAUUAAAAGAAAAACAAGAGAACAGAACCAACUUGACCUGGUUAGUCAUUUGAUGAUUUGGUUCUGUAUUUUUGGCAGGGUUCACAAUUCAAUCGAUCCUAUUUAUUUAAGAUGAGUUGGUUUGUGAAAAGAAAUUUAUGUAAAAAGCGGAAACUUCUAAUUUGACUUCAUCUAGAGAUCGUCAGUUUUCUUGCCGGCUUGUUGGUCAUUCCUAGGAUCUUAUACUUUCACUUGCUUUCCUCACUUCUUGAAUCAAAAUUCCCUUGCGUGUACAUUCAAAACAACAGGCUUUGAUAAUUUGUCGACAUUUCCUAGUACUGACACACAAAAGUCAUCUCCAUGUGUGAUUUGCACCAAGAUUUGCAGUUUCACAUCUCAAAGGGGAGGAUGUUUGCUUGACCUCGGCACAAAUGUCUUUCGGGAUGUCUCAGAUGCCGGUCUCUUGAGCUGGUGAAUCCUUCUCCUGUUCUUCUGUUCCUUUCAGCUGGUGAAAUCUUCUACCCUGCUCUUCCUCCAGGAAGGCGUAGCGGUCGAUUGAUCUGUUUGUGGAGAUAAAAUUUCUCCUCUCUCUGAACCUUCAAUCUCCUCUGCAUUAAUUUGUAUAACACCGACCACUCCAGUUAGUUAUGGUACGCUCUGCCCUCAUGCAGAUCUCCUACUUCUUAUGUCCAAAUAGACUUGUCUUUGAAUCGUGUCAGCUACAACCCAUCAGUGCCAGUGAAACUCGGCCAAACAACAGUGUGCAUUAGACAGAGAAAAGAGAGCUCUUUCUGCUCACACACAUUUUAUCAAAUGUUACCAUGGUAUGAACGAUGAAGAGAAAUCGAAGGAUGAUGACUCUCCAUGAACUAACAAACGGCGGCAUCAACUGGCAUUUCCAUCUCAUAAGACUUGAAGUCUGAUUCACUCAGUUCCUCAUAAUAAGACAUUAAGUCCGAUUCACUCAGCUCCUCAUAGGCCUUGUAAUCAUCCGUAAUGGCGAUGUACCCAUCUCGCUUCAUCUGUCCUAAGAGAGACCUUAACAAAAAAUAAAUAUCACCCUUAUGAGGGUACCUCUUGUCCUUGACAAUGAAGACAAGAACUUGACCCUGAAUUUCUAUCCAUCUACAACCAGGCUGCUUGACUACUCCCCGUUGCCUCAUCAGCUUCCUUAUUCUGAGUUCUGACAACUUCGCCCCAUUUUUUGCGUUCUGCAUACAUGUUCAAAAGCAGAACGUAAGGUCCGGAGUUCGAAGGGUCGAUCUCUAAUAGCUUCUCUGCUACGUACUUUCCUAAUGUUAUACCUUAUGAACUUUGCAGGCUGCAAGCAGCGAACCCCAAACGACAAUCAGGUUGCAUGGGCAUUGUCUCUAUUAAGUCCUUAGCUUCACUGAGACAACCGGCUCGGCCAAGUAAAUCAACCAUGCACGUAUAAUGGUCCUUUACCACUGCCAGAUCAUACUCCUCAACCAUCUGCUUGAAAUAAUGGCGCCCCUCUUCGACCAGCCCUGCAUGGCUGCAAGCACAUAGAACCCCGAUCAUAGUGACACGGUCUGGUCUCUCGCCAGAUACCAACAUUUUCCUGAAUAUUUCAAGCGCCUCUAUUCCAUAACCGUUCUGUGCAUAUCCAACAAUUAUGGCAUUCCAUGACACCUUGUUCCUCUCCAACAUAUUCUUAAACACCCAUAAACCAUCUUCCACAGCUCCACAUUUAACGUACAUGUCUAUAAGAGAAUUUCCAAAAAAAAUAUCUGAUUCUUCUCCAGACUGGAAGCGGAAUCCAUGCUUCAGGACAUGAGCGUGAGCCUGCUGGCCCAACUGCAAAUCGGCAAGAUUCGCACACACAUUAAGCAAAUUUCCGAAUGUGUAGUGCAUCGGCUCAAUGGCUUCCCUCUUCAAAAGGUGAACCAAAUGCUUCUUCAUUCUGUCCAUUCUGUGUAUACUCUGCAAUGAGAGCAUUCCAAGAAACUACAUUCUUCUCCACCAUCCUCAUGAACAUUACUCUUGCAGUUUUGAGACUGGCUGCUUUUGCAUACCCGCUCACCAUGGAGGUGGCUGACACUAUAUUUCUGGUAGGCAUUCUAUCAAAAACUGCUCUGGCCUCACUAAUUCUGGAGCACUUAGAGUACAUAUCAACCAAUGCAUUUCCUAAAACAACAUCAUUCCUAAAUUUGUCACAUUUUACAAUAUGGGCAUGAAUUUGCAUCCCUUCCUUAAGUGCUGACAAGCUAGCGCAGGCGCUGACCACACUGGCUAAAGUAACCUCAUCUAUUUCAAACCCACAAUCUAUCAUGCUCACGAAAACCUCAAGAGCUUCACUGGCUGGACCAUUUUGUUCAUAACACGUAAUCAAGCUGUUUCAAGAAACGAUAUUUCGAGAAUUCAUUUCAUCAAAAGCCCUCUGUGCACAAGCCACGUUCCCACACUUGGAGUACAUGUCGAUAAGAGCAGAGCCCAUAUGAACAUCAGAUGAGCACUUGGACUUCAAUAUCAAAGCCUGAAUCUGUUGGCCCAGAUACAUAUCUGCUAACCCGGCACAUGCGCUAAAUGCACUACCAAAUGAGUACUCAUUAAGCACAUAAUUCUCCCUAUGCAUCUUACCAAAACGUUGCAGGGCUUCUUUGAAUCUUUUGUGCUGCGCAUAACCUGAGAGCAUCGAAUUCCACAAGCACUGGUCGGGUUCCGGCAUUGACCUGAAUAUCUUUUCCGCUUCAUCAAGAGACCCCGAUCUGAUCAACCCGCCUAAGAUCGCGUUCCACGUGAAGGUAUUCUUCUCGGGCAUUCUAUCAAACACCCUGCGGGCGUCGUCAGGGCACCCGCAUCUCGCGUAGACGUCGAUGAGCCGGUUCUGGAUAAAAACCUCGGCGGAGAACGGGGUCUUGAUGAUCCGAGCGUGGACGCGGCGUGGGUGGCGGGCUGACUUGGACAGGCCGCAGCCGUCCAGGAGCUUGGCGAAGGAGAGGUCGCCCGCCAGAGCCUUGACCCGCGCAUGCCUCGCCAUUCCAUCAUAUCAUCGUACGAAGCGAACUCUGUCGGAGAAGAUUCGCAUAGAUGCAAAUUGAGUGCGAUGGAGAGUUUCUGUUGACCGUUACAUGCUUCCCCACUUCAGCCAGACGGACGGGAAUAUGUCGAGAGCGCUUAUAUGAAGAGCGAUGGCAAAGUCGCAGUGGCAAAAUGGUAAUUUCGGCAUGACAAUAUAUUAAUUAGACUCGUGACCAUGAAUUAUAUUGUUGGUUAUGAGUAAAUCUAAGCUACAAAUUAAAAUGUGUCAUAGAUUUAAUAUCUUGUUGUAAGUCACUAAAUAAAAAUAUUUCAUAUUUAUAAUCUAUACAACUUAUUGCUUUAUCAAUUAUUAUUAUAAGUUUAAUAUAUGACAGAUCAAUUUUAUAACCGAGUUAUUUACAAAUCAAACAUAAAUUCUUGUCUAGUAAUUUUGAUUAUUUUAAGUAAUUCAUCAUUAAAAAAAUGCAAAAAGCAAUUCUAGAGAAUGAAAAUUGGAUCUAUGUCGGAUUACAUGGGAUAGCUUUUCAAUGGCCCCCCUCCCAUGAGGAAUAGCUAACCUUGAUUUUAAGAGUAUAGCAACUUCUCUGAAGUAACUAAUCUUGAUUUACUUCUUAGCCAACUAAGGACUAAGUGUCUCAUCAUGAAUAGGCCAGGAAUAGAUAGUUACUGUGUCGUUCUUGGAUUAAUCCAAAGUACUACUCACUUUGGUCCGUCCCAUUUUGAGUCUCAUGGUUUUGUCCUUCAAGCAUAUGGGCAAACACUUUUUCAAUAGACUAUUGUGACAUUUUUGGAUUAAUUCACUUGAAAUAUUAUCCGCUUUUACUCAUUUCAUUCCGAGUCUCACGAUUUUGUCUUUGGGCAUAUAGGUAGACACUUUCUGAAAAGGUAACCCAUGUUAAUAAUAUUCUAGUCUAAUCACACUCAACUUUGGAGUGGAAUUACAGAUAGGUGAAGUGCCUACCCAUAAGCAGGAGAUCGUCCUGUUUUGGUAAGAAAAAUCAAUUAACCUUCUAAAGUGUGCGUUCAUGUGAGCCCUUGCGAGUAGGGGUGAGCAUGGUCCGGGUUGGUCCGGGCCACCCCCUAAGCCUAGGACCAACGCGUACAGUGUCGGUCCUCAAUUUUUAGGACCGAGGACCGACCCUAUUAAGCUUGGGACCAAGGACCGGACCGACCCAAUGGGUUCGGUCCGGUUCCAGGGUCAACCCGGGACCGAUCAAUGAUUUUUUUCGUCUUAUUUUUUGUACUCCAUAAAAAAGCAAACCUACAAAUUCAAAUUACACAUCUAUCGACAAUGCAACAUUGUGCAACUAAACUAUAAUUAUCAAUAUAUAUUUAGCAAAUUUAAGAUGACACAAUAAUAAAAAUUUCGUACAUGCUAACCGCUCAUGGAGAUAUGGGACAAGAUGGAAAGUUUUUGUAAUCAUCACUUAAUUAGCAAAUCACCGUAGAAUUGCAAUACUACUCUACUCUUCAAAAACUUCUACUAUUUGACACAAAUUGAAAAGCAAAGUGCAGCUGAAAUUUAUUAGUAGAAUACAAUUAAAUUAUAAAGAGUUCAAAAUACUUAAUAUAAACCAUAAAUAUAUAACUUCACAUAUUGUUAAUUCACCUUAAUUUCUAAAAACCUGAAAACAAAACAAACGACACAUAAUUAAUACUCAACAAAAGUUUUAAAUUUAAAUUACUAUUAGUGCUAUUGAUAGAAUAUCUCAAUAUAAUAUAAUAUAACAAACAUUUUACUUAGGUUUGAAUAUAUAAAAGAAUUAUAAAUAAUAUAAUAUAAUAUACAGGGUUGGUCCAGGGUUGGACCAACCCAAAACUCUUAGGACCGAGGACCAACCCACACAGUGUUGGUUCUGGAAUUUCAGGACCAAGGACCGACCCAGUCCCCUUGGGAACCGGACCAGGACCGGCAGGGUUGGGCCGGUCCAGGGUCGGUCCAGGGUUAACCCUAAACCACUGCUCACCCCUACUUGCGAGGGAGAGCUUCGUGAUAAGAAAUGAAGCCCAUCUGAAUCCACAUCCAAUUUUUCAAGGCUUUGCAACUCUUUCGGCUUUAUGCGACCAAGAACCGUCAUAGCUGAGAGUUGUCUCAGGUUUUAGAAAGGUCUAUUGAUGUUCUUAUUUCCUAGCGAAGUAUGAUAUGUAAGACGGACAAAACUCCUGGGAAGUCUAGGCAAGAACCUGAGGUUCUUAAAAAUCGAGAACAAGUUUCCUGAGCUUGCAACUCCAAGGACUUCAGAUGGUGUAACCUGUCAAUCCACCGAGGAUCAUGGAGCUUCCUCACGCCCGUAACUGUCAUAAGAAUACCUCGACACAUACAAACGCAAGCUUCUCGGAUUUAAUUGGUAUGGGAGAUCUGGAAAUCUGUACAUUGAGAAAAUUACAAGCACAGAUUAAUUCCAAGCCCACAACACCGUAGAAUUUUGCCCUAAAGAUUCAUACAUUCUCUACUUCUGCAACAAGAACUUAAAUCCCAAUUGAUAAUUUCAAUUGUUCAAACAUGAAACACAGUCAUUAAUCAUUCAGAAGCCCCUGUAGAAAUUUGUUCUAAGUCAUCAAAACUAAAGGACCUUUGUGACCAUUGCACAUGAUGACUUAUCAAAACCAAAGGACCUUUGUGACCAUUGCACAUGACCAUUAAAUAGUGAGGGUUAUGUUCAUGCUAGACAAGAUGUUUUGCCCCUACUUCUUCAUUUUCUCAAUGUGGAGAUUUUCAUGGGAAAUCCGCAACAAUUCUGUGAAUAUGGUCACUGAUGUCUAAUGGAAGUCACGACACUGAAUGCAACACAUUGAACAUUAAUCUCUGCGAAUAAAUUCUUAAGCAAGUCAUCUUGAAUCCUUGAUGAAUUUCUCCCAUGAUGAGAUUAAUUACUAAUUGCAACCGCUAAAAUUUUUAGAAGUAGGACCAUAACAGACCCAAAAAGGAAGAAAAAUUCCAGAACCAAUCGAUUAUAGUAAGUUUUCAUGCCUUCUAGGACAAUGAUUCGGUUUUAGCUAGACUUAACAAGCUCAGAAGAAGAACUGCUUCCCAUGUAUGUUUUGAACUACUUCCUAAGGAGCGAAAAUCAAUUCUCUAAUUGGUGCAGAAGUGAACUGAUGCACAGGAGUUGCAAUGUGUUUCAAUAGAAUGUGAUUUGGUUAAGGCUAAAGCUAUCAAAGAUUAGAUGCGCAGAUGGAACAAUAUCAAUUGAGUCAGCUGCCGAGUGGGUUCAUGGAAAGGCUGUUUUCAUUCCGUAUAUAUGAUAAGUCAUGACUGAAAAUAAUAAGAACAACUCAAUCCGUCCAAAUCUUUUCCUAAUUUAUCACUGAUGCAUUAAAGAUUUGCACACGGACCCAAUUCAUGCAACAGCAAAGAGACAAUUACCAGAAAAGGAAUACAAGUGAAGAACUGCGUCUAUACAGAGUUUUGAGUUGCUGGCCAACCACUGAAAUCAGGUGCGCAACCAACAUUUACUUUCUACCAUUAACCAAACUCAGAAGUCCAAGAGAUAAAAGUAUCUUAAAAACAACAAAAAGAUACUCUAAGUUGGAUUCCGCAAGAUCAGACUGCGUCUAUUCCUCAAGUACUUCACUGAUCAUCAGCACUCAAGAGAACAUUCUACCUUCUCACGCUUGAGUGUAUAAAAUGAUUUUAGCUUCUUGAUCCGGUAACUUCUCCAAAGAUUUAAAAGGAACCUAUCGAAAGUUGCCUCCAACGAUUUUACUCUGCCUCGGAUCUCAACCACUUUAGGACAUCACUGCAGGUAAAAUUUCUGGAGCUUCUUCAGGUUCGUCAGGUCAGGCAACUUGUCCAUAGAUGGAACUCCUUCAAGCUUGAAGGCAAUUGGGUUCUCCAAAACUUGGAGGCUUCCGAACUCUCUCACUUUAGGGCAACGACCAACUUCCAAAUCUGACAGCGCCUUCCAAUUUGAAAGGUCUAUUCACGUUUUUAUUUCCUUGCAUGAUUCGGUAUCUAAGUACAACAAAUUUGGGGGAAGGCCAGGUCGGCAGUGCAGCUUCUUGGAGGGGACCAGUUCAG
rnacentral:lncRNA from 1 species